UUUUUUUUUUGUUACAUUCAAACCAAAGCGACAAUGAUUUGUGGUGAUCCAUUCUUUUUAUAACCCCUUGUGGAGCUUCUAGGAAGGACAAUAUGCACAAAGGUUUGCUAAUCAUAAAAGCCCUUAUAAGAAAAACUCCACCCAUAGAGAAGGGAUAUUCCCUUUCACCCGAUGGCGGAGCCACCUCCCUGCGACCCUGAAUAUUUUUGUAACUUACAUUCAGAAGAGAAAUAGGUCAAAUUUUUUGAAUAAAUGUGGCAUCUUGAACUUCAGGUACGAUUGCAAUCACACAAUGGUUCAUUCUUUCAAUGUUCAAAUCACACGUGUGUAAAGUAUCCAAUAGCUUACUUGCAAAAAAGAGAGUAUCCAAUAGCUUCUUUCAAAUCCCUUUUGAUUUCCUCUCAGAAUCCUUGAUCAAAUUUUUGUAAGCCAACCAUCUACACUUGCAGAUUCAUCUACUUCUAUCAAACAAAACAUGUUUUAUCUCCUCCAUUAUAAAUUUGAGGUUAAGAACUAUCUGACUUUAUUUGCUCACACUCGAUCUCACUGAUCUCUAUUGUGGUCAUCUCAGAUGGCACAAAUAAAUCUUUAUAUAAAUCAGUAACAUGCCUUAGCAAGUUAUGGUCUCCCUGAAUUUCCUUUCCUCCGGACCUUGGCAUAGAAAUGUAAUUAUUAUUUUCUAUCACGAGCAUUACGGUGGAAAAUUUUAGUGUUUCCAUUGUCUUCUUUUUAAUCCUUUUUUUAACCCUAUGUUUUCAUUUGAAUAGUAUCUCUGAGUUUUUCUUUCCCCUGCAGACAGGGGAUUGUUCAGAGCAGGCUGAAUGGACAAUGGGGAUGAAAUAGGUACCGGGCUCGGAGUCUAGAACAUGCCUAGGAUCUCUACUCCUAAUGAAGCAGUUGGUAGUUUCCGCCGGUCAAUUUUCGUCCCACCUCCGCUGGUUUUUUUUCGUCCUUAAAAAAUCUACGAAAUUUCGUAGGUUAACCAGGGACAACUCCCACCUCCCGCCUCGACAAAAAACCCAACCAAAACCAAAAAAAAAAAAACCCUCGAACUCCGACGGGAACGAGGCUCCCCUCGAUCUCAAACACCGUACAUCUAGCGUCANNNNNNNNNNNNNNNNNNNNNNNNNNNNNNNNNNNNNNNNNNNNNNNNNNNNNNNNNNNNNNNNNNNNNNNNNNNNNNNNNNNNNNNNNNNNNNNNNNNNNNNNNNNNNNNNNNNNNNNNNNNNNNNNNNNNNNNNNNNNNNNNNNNNNNNNNNNNNNNNNNNNNNNNNNNNNNNNNNNNNNNNNNNNNNNNNNNNNNNNNNNNNNNNNNNNNNNNNNNNNNNNNNNNNNNNNNNNNNNNNNNNNNNNNNNNNNNNNNNNNNNNNNNNNNNNNNNNNNNNNNNNNNNNNNNNNNNNNNNNNNNNNNNNNNNNNNNNNNNNNNNNNNNNNNNNNNNNNNNNNNNNNNNNNNNNNNNNNNNNNNNNNNNNNNNNNNNNNNNNNNNNNNNNNNNNNNNNNNNNNNNNNNNNNNNNNNNNCUCCUGCCAGAGCCCACACCCCACCAUACGUAGAUCUGGCCGGGAGCCCCUCCACCACCAUCCCCGCCCCUCCCGUGCGGCCUUCCUCGUCUCUGGUGAUGAAGUUCGUCCCCGGAUCCGUGACGACGGCGCCUCGGUGACAACCCCACGCGUGCGGCUUGGCCGGCCCAGAUCCGAUCUGGCGACCCCCCCCCCCUUCUGACUGGCUGAUGCGUCCUCCGGCCCGGCAUGCCCGCCUCCUCCCUUGGCAGCGGGGACUUGGUCUUGCUCCUCCCCUGGCCGCAUCCUCCCUCGGCAGCACUCUCUCUUCAUGUUGCAUUCUUGCUGGUGGUGGUUGGGCUUGGUCACUUGAUACAUGUCUGAUUGAUGAACUUGAUAUUGCGACCUUUCACAUCUUUAGGUUCUGGAAGUUAGAUUAUCUUGGCCUGGAUGUGCAUACUCGCCUGGUCAAUAUGAUUUCCUGAUUUGAGCAUAUGUUCUGUGUUGCAGGUCCUUGAGUUUGGGUGUGACUGGCCAUUAAGCUUGGUGGCUCAUAAUAUUUGCUCGAUGGAAACCAAGCAUACCACGGGAGGUAAGCAUUCCCCGAUUCUGGACACUUGAAUGUCAACUUAUCUCAUCUUGGAGAUCUUCUGACGUUCUGAAUAUGUGCACUCACUGUAAUCUGUGUACUGUUUUAGAUGUGUAAUAAGUGGAUACGUCCCUAAUAGGGCACAGGUCCAUAUGGCAUCUUUCUGCAGAAAUUUGAUUUAAGUGAUCUUAUUACUGUCUUAUGCUAGCUAAUAUUUUUGCGAUCAAGGUUGUGUUGGAAGAACUGAUGGUUGGGUCCUCUGAAUAUCAUCGUGUUACAGAAACAAUGAUCUUUUCUUAGUCUACUAUAAUGACUGCCUAUUGUUGCACAACAUCCAUCCAUCCUUAUGCUAUUCGGUUAUUAUUAUUUUUGAACUGGGUUUAAUCCCUUCACAUUUCAAAGUGUUGUGUGUGCAUUCGCAUAACUACUUGUGUUACGAGUGCAGGAUUCAAAGAAUUUCUAUUGGGAAAUCAAAGGGGGCAAUAACUUCAAUUGGGAGAAGUCGCUAGAAAAGAAGGUCAGAGCGAUAACCUUGGUUAAACACAUUCGUUGUUAAUAUUUGGCAGACGUAUAGAUGAUGCCUAUGAGGCUAUGACCCAAUAUCAUUAUUCUUUAUCUUGCAGACUCAAGAAAAAUAUUAGAUUAAAUGGAUUGUACAAGAGAAUUAUUUCUACUUUGGUAUGACGAUGUUCGAAAGGGCUAGAAGUAUAAUUGAUUCUCAUACUGUUUUUUUAAGUUGAUGCUCAUACUAUUGAACUUAGCUAACUAGAUGUUUCAAAGCAAAGGCACAUGAAGAAACACAUAUUAGUUUCAACUGGUAGCUCUCAUCAAAAUUCCUAGAAAAGGUUUAGGAAUAUUUCCAUGAUAAAUUUUUAUAUUAAUUACUUGUACGGGUGAUGGUAAUGUUAACAUGUUUUUUUGGCUCCUUUGUACACGGAUUAGGCUUGUUCAGCACAACUCAUUUUCUCAAUAUUAGGCUUGUUCUUUCUGUACUGAAAACAGUAUUAGUAGUAGCAUGCAUUUUGACUCAGUUUUCUUUUGUAGGAGACCUCUACCUGGUAACCACAUUCUCCACGUGGACGUGGGAAUAAGAAAGCGUAGCAGAGACAUGAAAAGGUGGGGUGCGACCUUGAAAUGCUCAUCAAAUUGCUGGCUCCAUGUUGCCUCUCCACUGUCAUCAUACUUGUCUGCAUCAAGAAUAGUGUAGGCACUGCUGCUGGGGGAGGGGCGCCGGUUGAGCUCCGUCGGGCAGCACUUCGAGCUGCUAUAAAAAUAUCAUGAUCAUCUUUUGGUGAAUACAAAGAUGUUUGUAACCUCAUAAGCAGAGCUCUGUACUGCUGCUUGUAUAUUGAGAGAUACUACAGGAAUUUAUACACUCAUAGCUUAUCUUUCUGAUAACUGUCAUGCAUAUAUUUCAACUAAAUUAUGGUUAUUGUUUAUGUUUGUCAAACUAAGCCAUUGAUAGGAUAAUCAAAAGUAGUUGUUGAUUGACAAAGCUAGACAACUUACAGACAUUAUACCAGCUAGGAAUUUAUUGAUGGGACAAAAUUAUGUCAUGGUUUAUAUACAGGUGAUCGAUACUUCAGGUAGCUCACUACUUGAUUCCAUAGAUCAUACACUAACAAUUUUUCUUUGGAUACAGCAAGGAUCAUACCCCACCCACGCGGCGGCACGACGCAGAAGGGCUACAUGGGUUAAUAGCGGCGUGUGCAAUGGAAGGACGCCUACGAGAACAAGCUCGCCGAGGUCUUGGAAUUCCAACCUAGGUAAACAAGUGAGCUCACUUUAACAGUUUACCCUUUUUUGGUGAUGUGGGCUAACUCAUUAAUUAAGGGCUACUCAGCUCUGUAUUUUUCUCUCUUUGGUAAUAGAAAUCCCCCUACAUCGCCUCUGUUCGAUUUUGGUAGCUAUCCUUGUUCUAGAUCAUAGGGUUGUCAUCUUCAUAUGUCAUAUGAUAUAUAAUUGAUGCAAAUUGCAGCUGACCCAUCGUCUAUCUGUAACCAUUUAUCUGUAGUUGUGCUCUUUGGCCAGAACGGUGGUAUCUUUGGCCAGAUGACUGGACCAUCUUCUAUGAUCCAGAAGAAGCACCUCUCGCACAAACAUGUAUAUUUAUUUGUGAAUUCGAUCCUAACAAGAGUAUUUGACCUUUAACAUUUUUCUGACAGAAAGUAUGACCACCAAAAUUUCUUGGAAUUCAAUAGCUCCUAAAACAGAUGUUUUGUCAUAGUGAAGGAACCAGAGGGGAGGAUAUAUAGGUAUGCCCCGCCGUGACGCAGCCCUUGAUCCGUCUUUGGUCAAGCUUCUGUAUUAUCUAAUCAUACUGAACAUAUAUCUAUUGCAUCGCUAGAAGCUGAACUCACCAUGUACUGAUUAUAUAUUUUGAAGGAAAUAUGCCCUAGAGGCAAUAAUAAAGUUAUUAUUUAUUUCCUCAUAUCAUGAUAAAUGUUUAUUAUUCAUGCUAGAAUUGUAUUAAUCGGGAACAUGAUACAUGUGUGAAUACAUAGACAAACAUAAAGUCACUAGUAUGCCUCUACUUGACUAGCUCAUUAAUCAAAGAUGCUUAUGUUUCCUAACCAUAGACAUGUGUUGUCAUUUGAUUAACGGGAUCACAUCAUUAGGAGAAUGAUGUGAUUGACUUGACCCAUUUCGUUAGCUUAGCACACGAUCGUUUAGUAUGUUGCUACUGCUUUCUUCAUGACUUAUACAAAGUUCCUACAACUAUGAGAUUGUGCAACUCCCGUUUACCGGAGGAACACUUUGUGUGCUACCAAACGUCACAACGUAACUGGGUGAUUAUAAAGGUGCUCUACAGGUGUCUCCAAAGGUACAUGUUGAGUUGGCAUAAUUCGAGAUUAGGUUUUGUCACUCCGAUUGUCGGAGAGGUAUCUCUGGGCCCUCUCGGUAAUACUCAUCACUUAAGCCUUGCAAGCAUUGUAACUAAUGAGUUAGUUACGAAAUGAUGUAUUACGGAACGAGUAAAGAGACUUGCCGGUAACGAGAUUGAACUAGGUAUUGGAUACCGACGAUCAAAUUCUCGGGCAAGUAACAUACCGAUGACAAAGGGAACAACGUAUGUUGUUAUGCGGUUUGACCGAUAAAGAUCUUCGUAGAAUAUGUAGGAACCAAUAUGGGCAUUCAGGUCCCGCUAUUGGUUAUUGACCGAGAAUGGUUCUAGGUCAUGUCUACAUAGUUCUCGAACCCGUAGGGUCCGCACGCUUAACGUUACGAUGACAGUUUUAUUAUGAGUUUAUAAGUUUUGAUGUACCGAAGUUUGUUCGGAGUCCCGGAUGUGAUCACGGACAUGACGAGGAGUCUCGAAAUGGUCGAGACAUAAAGAUUGAUAUAUUGAACGACUAUAUUCGGACACCGGAAGUGUUCCGGAUGAUUUCGGAGAAAACCGGAGUGUCGGGGGGGUUACCGGAACCCCCCGGGAGAGUAUUGGGCCUUAUGGGCCUUAGGGGAAAGGAGAGAUGGGCGGCCAGCAUGGGCCACGCGCCCCCUCCACCCUCUGGUCCGAAUUGGACUAGGAGGGGGGCGGCGCCCCCCUCUUUCCUUCCCCCUCUUCCCCUUCCUCCCCCCUCCUAGUAGGAGUAGGAAAGGAGGAGUCCUACUCCUACUAGGAGGAGGAUUCCUCCUCCCUUGGCGCGCCCAAAGGGGCCGGCCGGCCUCCCCCUCCCUCCUUUAUAUACGGGGGCAGGGGGCACCCCAUAUACACACAAGUUGAUCUACAGAUCGUUCCUUAGCCGUGUGCGGUGCCCCCCUCCACCAUAUUCCACCUCGGUCAUAUCGUCGCGGAGUUUAGGCGAAGCCUUGCGCCGGUAGAACAUCAUCAUCAUCACCACGCCGUCGUGCUGACGGAACUCAUCCCCGAAGCUUUGCUGGAUCGGAGCCCGGGAAUCGUCAUCGAGCUGAACGUGUGCUGAACUCGGAGGUGCCGUACGUUCGGUGCUUGGAUCGGUCGGAUCGUGAAGACGUACAACUACAUCAACCGCGUUGUCAUAACGCUUCCGCUUACGGUCUACGAGGGUACGUGGACGAACACUCUCCCCUCUCGUUGCUAUGCCAUCACCAUGAUAUUGCGUGUGCGUAGGAAAUUUUUUGAAAUUACUACGUUGCCCAACAUAUUUCCCUGGUCACAAUUAGAUGGUUAAUAAUUUCAUGCACACAAUAGCAGAUAUUCAGAUAUUUGGAAUUGUUUUGCUGUGUUCUUUCUAUGAAAGAUAAGCAUGAAUGCAGCGAUGGCAAAUCUAAACAUCGUUGCCAAUUUUCUCUUUCAUGGAGUAGGAUGAAUGUCAUGGCAGCAACUGCAAGCUGCAAAAACAUUAUUGUUACGGGGUGCACCAGUUUCAACUGUGUCUUCUUGCAAGCUCCUUGUCAAGGAGAGUCCCAAGGUCAGUCUGUACUCUGUUGGCUAAUUAAUCCAUUGACUAUGUCCUAUGAUUCUCUAGGAGCACUAAGAAAUUGUAUGUUUUUUUAUAAGGUGACUGAAACAAAAAUAAUAAUAUUUUCACGCCACAUCCAGGAGAUGAAAACUUUAUUGGUAAAAAGACACAAGCUUACCCUUUUCAGCUUGUCUCAAGCAAUUAAGAGUUCCGUUCUUAUUUUUGAGCACUUCGAAUGUGUAUCUCUUAUGGACUAAUACUUUCUGAUCUGACACCCUAGUAACAUCAUGAUUUUGUGUAAUUUUUCUGAGUGCAAGGCUGGCUGACCCAUUUUUUUACAAGGAUUUGCAAUACUGAGAGACUCAGCCUGCACUGGUAAAAAUCCCAAUUGACUUUGCCCUUGAUUAUUGCAAUAAUGGGUUGAUUUUAGUGGUUUGGUCUGUGACGUGAAUGUGAGCUAGAGUAUAGGGAUUACCUGUGCCACUAUCAGUUGGCUUACAGUUUGGUGAUCCAGCACAAUCUUUCUAUUUUCUUCAAAUUCUUAAGCAAUUACUCACGUUUGAAGAAUGACGAUGGAGCAUACCUUCUUUUAGAAAACUAUACUGUGGACCAUGGGUGUUCAAGAUUAUAUUGUGGUUUGGGCAAUUGUGAGACGUCUAUCACCAUGAAUUGCUUAGAUGAUGCACCAAAGUGGACCUAUUUUGCAUUCAUGGACUUUGAUAUUUUUACUGAUCUCAUGGUUGUGAACAUCAAUGGUGUAAAGUAUAUGUAUUGCUGCUCAUAGAUAAAUCUUUACCGAGUUUUCAUUUUAUCAUGUACACUUCAAGUCUUGCUUGCCAAACUUCCACAAGUUCAUGUUAAAUUGUUAACUGCCUCAUGUUUGUUCUUCAUUAUUCCAUAUCAAAGUGAUGUUGUCCAAUGCGUCUGUUCCUGUCUGAUGAAAUUGCUUUCCAUGAGGUAUGCCCUGAAGAUGACACAAUAUCAUUCCUCUUGGUGCCUGUGCUAAUAUAACUCUUAUUUUGAAAAAAAAAACAGUUUCUAUGUAUUUGGGAGCAGGAUAUUAGGUAGAAAUCUUUUGGUGAACUGCAGAUUUAAGCGUCUCUGGCGAGUUCUUUGUCGGUCAGCACCACCUCCCUUGGCGCUUGACCUAGCAGAUGUGUGUGCGUGUGCAGAUCACCCAUGCCUCCACUACGCCACCUGCUGUUGGAUGGCACUGGCCGUCCAAGCGUGUGGAACUGGAAGGACUGUCCUUCAUGGUGGCACAACUCAGCUCGGAGGAUAAAAGACCAAGGUCCUGCAGGUAACAUCCCAUCAACUACCUGUCUACUCCCUCCGUCCCAAUAUAAGUGACUCAACUUUGUACUAACUUUAGUACAAAGUUAGUACAAACUUGAGUCACUUAUUUUCGGACGGAGGGAUUACUAAAUAGAAAGCUUCCAUCUUGAUGUAAUUUACUGGAGGUUAAUCCUACUUGCUUGUUUGAUAAACCUUGUCAUAUGCUUCAUGUGAGGUUUCUUGUAUUGGUAGCAGGCAAUGAGUUACUAUAUAUGAUAUCAUAUUCCAAAUACAAUUAUUCAACUCAUCAGUUCAGCAGAUCCUACAUAAAAGGAAAAGUGAACAGACAACAUGCAUUUGCUUUGGUUUAUGGUUUUUUAGAGCAUCACUAAGUUUGCCAAAAGAAAUUCGCCCAAAACAAACAUCACGACACUCCGUUUUAGCCUAAACAGAAGUGGCUUCAGUUUAUGACAUCUCUGAAUUUUGAGAAUAGUAGGACAUGAUCUGCAAUUGCGCUUUGCAAGUUUUACUGAUUUCUUGUGCAAGAUCCUAAAACAGUUUACCAUUUUGAUCCCUAGAUUUUCUUAUAUUGUCGAAGUUUCUUCCAAAUAAAUAUACAAUAUGUUUGGGGUUUAUCUGAGUGCCUAGCAUGGUGCAACAGUUAUAUUUUUCUUCAACGACGGUGAAAGAGCUAUCACUUAUAUCGAUCUCCAAUUCAAGUUCUUUUUUUCUAUGGAGGGCACUGUAACUAUCUCAUGGUCAGAACAUUGAUCCUGUUAGUAAUUUAGUCUAUAAUAUUUAGUUUCAAAAGAUAAUUUCUCUUGAGUGAGAAGUUUCCAUUUCUCUUGAGUGAGAAAUUUCCAGAGGGCGGCGGUGUUGAAGGGAGCCGCUGGCGCUGGCCAAGAUCCCAACCGAUGGACGUGCCUGGUCGCUGGAUCCAGUUCACGCGUUGGCUUGGGGGCACCUCGGGGAUGUCACCGGUGUUGGAGGCGUCCACAAUAGUGCGGGAUGGGGACCGAGCGUCGGGGCAUGUCGCGGGUUCCGGUUGAGGGCUUGAUCAUAUAACUGAAUUCUUAUUGCUUGCUUUCUGACAUUGUGACAUUGAACACUAGAGCUGAAUUGACUCUCUUCACAAGACUCACUUUGAUACAGCCUUCAUGUGAAGUUUUCAAGUACUACAUAUAGGAGGGGGCAGGAGUGGCUGCAAUCUUGCUACGAAAUGACACUUAUGGAGCUUCUUUACCUAACAUGGCCAAGAAGUCUGCAAACUCCAGUAAUCGUAGAGUAGAGCCGGUUGGAUACAUAUUUGCAGAGUGCAUGUAGUGUGUGUGUCAGAUAUACAGUGGGAAAACACAACAAUGCAAGUGUCAGAUCCUGUUCUCGAUGCAAUUUUGCGACUCUAUUCUGGACUGUAAGCAAUUGGUUGAUGUUAAGCUGAAACUCGGAUCAGUCUUGUGGCUCUUGUGUACCUAUAUGCCUAGAUUAUUUAAUAAUGGUAUAUGAACUAUAUCUUCCUGUAUAGGAUGAUCAAUUGCCAGGAAUAGAAAGACUAUGGUUUUGAUUUUUAUCAUGUUUUUGUGAUUAGCUUCCUGGUAGACUGGACUUCCAGUUAUCUGCUAGACUAAAUAAUUUCUAGCUGAUUUUUAACUAUUGAUUAGUACACAGAGAUGAAUUAUGUUGGUCUCAAAAUGCAACACAUUUCUUGGAUGCCUUGACUGCAUGCAUACUUGUGUUAUAUUCUCUCCGUCCCAAAAUAAGUGUCUCAAGUUUGUACUAACUUUAAUACAAAUUUGUAAUAAGCUUGAGACACUUAUUUUGGGAUGGAGGGAGUAUGUGAUAUGCUCAUGAUAUAUGUUGGAUGGUGUCUUCCUUUUUUAGCUUGAUUAGAUGCAAAUGUGGACGUGUUUGUGGGAGACUUUGCAUGGCCUGGUCCUUACAACAUCGUUGGUGGCCCGAUUUUAUGUGUGGCUGGUAGCUGGUCUAUUUUUUCUUGGGAACAGUCAAAAUGAGUUGUAUGCUGCUAGCUGUGGACGGGAAAAUACAUGGAUGAACCCAAGUACAUCUGCACCCACUUCGAAAGACAUAUUUAUAAGUUUUUUAAAAAUCUAAAAUUGUUGCACAUGUACAUUUUCAUAUUCUAUGUGUGCGCCGAGCUGUGGUGGAGUGUGUCCAUGCGGUGACGAUGACAGGCGCUCGGUGGUCGGUUACGGAGGGCACGGUCGGCGCAAGUCCUGCAUAUUUCCCUCGUGAUGAUCGUCGUCAGAGUCGGAGUUGUCGGUUGUUCGCGCGUGUGGCCUUCUGUUGGCAUGUGCUGCAUGGUUUCUGUGCAGCUGUUGUAGCUUUGUGAUCCCAUGUUGGUGGCCAGGUUGGCCGGUGGUACCCAUAUUAUGUGGGUUGGAUUGUAUCGGUUUUAGCCCGGUUUUCCAUCAAUUAAUCGGGCAAUUCUCUUCUUAAUCAAUGAAAAUGGCAAGUCUUUUGCCUCGGUUCAAAAAAAAGAUUCGAAGGAAUUAUUUUUCGUGUGCAAAAAAGUGUCUCAUGGAACCCUAUUUUCAACCAUUGAAAUUUGGCUUUUUUUGUAAUGGCAAAAUAAAAUGAUGUAUCUUUACAAAAGUUUGUGUUGCGCACAUAUUUUUGCAGAGAUGUAGGCGAGAAAUCUUGUUUUAGAAUUAUUUAUGACAUUUAAAAAUGCGUUUAACAUGCAUUUCUAAGAGAUGGGUGCAUAUACACUCAGGCUGCAGGUGGGACUAUAUAUGGGAGUCCCAUCACAAUCCACCUAGUCCCAAUAUCGGUUUGUGUUGAAAAAGUGGACAUCCCACUAAAACAAACAUAGAUUAAGUGGAAAUAAGUGGGAUUCCCAUUUAACAAAGCAAAGCAUUUUACCGAGCAGCAGUACGCUAGUACAGAGAAACAUGGCCACAUUCGGAAGCACAUUCAGAGCAGCAUGCACACACCACCUCCAGCGCGACCCAGCACCGGCUCUCCGGGCCGCCGCCGUCGUCGUCGACGAAAUAAUCAUUGGUGCGUUGGUGCUCGCCGUCGUUGAAGCCUGCCAUGGCAUGGUACGUUUGCCAUCUGAUUUCAGGAAUGAAACAGGGGAGCUGGGGCUCCUUCACUCGAAAAAAACUGAAACAACGACCUCCCAUGCACGCACUAGCAUCGAUGGCGUUCCUGUCGGCGCAUCUGAACGCGUCGACGACGCCGGGCGCGUCCUUGGCCGCCACCAUCCUCGACGGUGUGAGGUCCUCGCGGCGGCCGUCAAAGCUCACCUGGGGGCUCACCUAAUGCAUUUUCCUGACGGCACCGCCGGCGCCGGCCGCGGCCUGCCGGAGCUAGCAGAAGAAGACAGCGCCCUUGGUGUGCACAGCGUCCGUCACGAGCUUCACGGCGCCCAGAUCCCUCGAUUGUUCCCGGCGCAACGCGAGUAGCCUCGGUGUUGGGGAGGCCGCCGGGGUUGGCGCCGUGUGAGGAGGAAGAAGCAGAGGCGCGAUGGCGGACUGACGGCGGCCGGAGCAAGCUGCGGCACCGUCCUCUUCUCUGCUGAUUGGGGCACGACCUACUAGGGUCGAUGUAUAAUAGGCAAAGGUGGACUCCCAACGGGAUAGGUGGGCUAACCCGAUUACUAUUUUUUCUUUCCAAUGGGCUCCCACUAAAGCAAAUUAAGUGGAAUGGGCUAAUUAGUCCCACUUAAUUCCACCUCCACUUGCAGCCUGAAUAUACACGGCGAUCUUCUUUUUGUACCUAUGAACAUUAUGAUUCAGUAAUAAAGCUUUGUGAGAUUCUCAAAAUAAAAAAACCUAACAGGCGGUGGUGGAUCGACGCAAGUAAACAAAGCUGGAGAGGAAAUUCACGACGGCGGAAAAGUCUACAGAAGCAGAGCUUGGGUCUGCUCUGCACCAUCGAAGAACCCACGGCAGUACGAGUGCUCCGGUACAACCUGCAGCAAUCGCUGCUAGCACAGAAGGCCACGCCGAACGCAGUGUGUACCACCCAUCAGUCGCGCUCACCAAGCAGAACACGCACAGGUACAGGUACACUACACUGGGCCACUCGACACACCAGCUAGCAGCUACUGCAGGCCAUAGCAGCUAGUAGUACAGGCCGGAAAAUUAUGAUAUUCAAAUCCCAAUAUUAUUUCUGUAGAUUACAGCUGACACUUAUAUCAGUUGUAAGCAUACACAAGUCCCAAAAAUAAAAUUUGCUUCUUCCUUUUUAUUUUCCAUCUAACCAUGUUAUCUUCCACAACCUAGUGUAAUGCAUCUACCAGGGUUCUGCUAUAUCUUACUACAAGGUCCUUUUGAAUAUGAUAUAUCUCCGACCUUCGUCUUUACAUUUUGGUACUGUAACUAGCUUUGUGAAAGAUAUGAUGUACAAUCCGCCUAGAACUGGGUUAGCUCCAUUGGCAACUACUCUCUCAACGUAGCUCUAAAAACUUGGUUCACAUUCAUCAAAACCUAGCAAAAGUGUAACCCUCUAGUCUAUUUUUAUUCGAUAGAAAUGGUUUUUGAAGAGAUUUCUUAGUCAGUAGAGUUUGCCAAACCUGAGUUUCCCAAGUCACUUACUCAAAAAGCUACCCCCUCCGUCCCAAAAUAAGUGUCUUAAUCUUUAGUAAAAAGUUAAGGCACUUAUUUUGGGACGAAGGGAGUAUGAUUUAUGGUUGUCAGAUCCAUAAUUCCCAAACCACAACAACCUUGAGGCAUAACAAGCAAUAGGUCAAUUAACAAAGUUUUUUUUGUUACAUUCAAACCAAAGCAUCGAAGAUCCGUGAUGCUCCAUUUUUUAUAACCCCCUUUUGAGCUUCUAGGAAAGACAAGAUGCACAAAGGUAUGCUAAUCAUAGAAGCCGUCAUAAGAACAACUAUGUCCACAUAGAUUGAAUGUUUCCUUUCCACCCAGUGGCGGAGCCACCUCGCCGUGACCCCGAGCAAUGAGGAGAUUACCUUUGUAAGUUUUUGUAACCUAAAUUCAGGAGACAAAAAUAGGCAUAAACUUCUGAAAAAUGUGGUAUCAUAAACUGUAGGUACGAUUGCACUCCUAAUGUUUAAAUCACACAUGAGUAAAGUAUCAAAAGAAAUACCUCCAAAUCCCUCUUGUUUUCCUCUCGGAAUUCUAGAUCAACUUUUUGUAAGCAAACCAUCUACUUUUUUCGAGGGUACGCCAAAGGCGUACCAUAGCUUUAUAGAAGAAGAGAAAGUUAUGUACAAGAGAUUACAUGGUAGGUAGAUGGCCCUGAAAAGAAACCUCCACCGUACCCUCCACUCCUAGCAUCAAAAACCUACUACUCACACAACGUAGUUACUCUGGUGCCUCCUGCUCUAGACCACAGCUCUAAUUCUUGCCAGAUCAGGUCCACGGUUCCUACUACAUUCCUCAAGUCAUUCCUUCCAAAGACCCUCCCAUUGCGUUGCUUCCAAAUGUUCAAGCAGAUCGACGUGAUCACCGAGUCAAAACCCUUCCUCUGCCUCUUCGGGAUAUGCUUCCUCGUGGUAUGCCACCAGUCAUCAAUUGUGGAAUGUUGUGUCGGACAAAGGUUUGGGUUAAUGUUCAUUCUGCAGAAGCAAAUGUACCACACCUGCCUUGCAAACACACACUGCAUAGUGAUGUGAUCAACAAUGUCCUCCUCCUGCUCACAAAGAUAGCAUGGCGACCUUUGGUCCUGUAAACCAUGACAAAAUCGUCUGUCCGCCGUCCAGAGUCUGUAUUGCACCGCCAGCCACAUGAAAAGCUUGCACACCAGCAGUGCCCAACACUUCCAUAUGGCCGCAUAAGCUCGAAACCUAAUACCUCCCAUGCAGAGCAUCUUGUAAGCUAAAGACGCAGUGUAGACUCCUUCUCGGUUCCAAGACCAAAUUGGCUUGUCCUCGGUCCCAGGCUCCAGCUGCAGAUCCAUCAGAAUCUCCCACAAGCGAAUGAAUUGAGCCAAACCUUCCGUGCAUAGCUGGCCUACAAUGUCAUCCAUCCACUCGUGCAUCCACAACGCAUCCUUCACACGCCUUCUAUUCAGAACAUGUGUUCUGACUUGUUUAUAAACCAGCGGUGCCAACUCUCCAAUUGUAGCUCCGCUGAUCCAUCUAUCUCUCCAGAACAGAACUUCCGUUCCCUCGCCCACCUGCCACUUCACAAGACUAGCGAAUGUUGCACUUGCUUGUUUGUCCGGGGUCCAGUUCAAGCCUUGCCACAGCCUCGUGUCAUCUGUCCUAGAUAACCACUUCCAUCUCAUUCUGAGGGCAAUCCCUUGCUUAUACAGGUCAACCACCCCCAGCCAUCCAAGCUCUUUUGGUCGACAAACAAGCUUCCAUGACACCAAACAGCGGCCACCGUGGACUUCCUCUGAUCCAGCCCAAAAGAAAGCUCUACAACCCUUAUCCACCCGCUCCAAAGCCCAUUUUGGAGCUUCAGCAACAAUCAGAUGGUGGGUCGGCCUUGCCCUCAUCACAUGGCUGACCAGAAUCAAUCUUCCUGGCCUUGUCACAAACCCUCUCUGCCAUCCCGGGACGAUACGAAGUGCAGCAUCCACCACCAGUUGCUACUCUGAUCUCUUAAGCUGCUUGAUACUAAGCUGCAACCCAAAGUAUUUGCACGGGAAAGUCUCCAUCUUCCAAGGCAAGGCCUCCUUCACAAGUUGUUCGUCUUUGAUCUCUGCUCUGAUCAUAAUAGCCGCCGACUUAUUGUAAUUGACUCUCAAGCCCGGAGCUUCUCCAAAGAUCCCAAGAACUUCCUUGACAAAGAAUAAAUCUGACACCGUGGGCUUGAUGAAGAACACCACAUCGUCCGCGUAAAGGGAUAAACGCUGCAUUGGGCUACAACCAUUCAUCCUGCUCAACACAUCUGACUCAUGGGCUUUGAUCACAAUCUCGGUCAACACGUCCAUGGCAAUGACGAAUAGGAGGGGUGAUACCGAAUCUCCUUGCCUCAGCCCCUCUGCAUGCAUAAAUUUUAGCCUGACUGAAUCAUUCACCACCAUUCUAGAGCUUGCCGAAGUGAGCAGGGACCCGAUCCAUGCAAUCCAGUGCUCCGUGAACCCUUUUGCUCUAAGGACCUCGAAAAGGAAAGGCCAUGAAAGUGAAUCAAAAGCCCUAGAGAUGUCCAACUUCAGCAAAACACCUCUGGCCUUCCUUUUAUGGAAUCUUCUCGCCAUUUGCCGGACCAACAGAAAAUUGUUAUAGAUGUUUCGGCCAAUAAUGAAAGUCGACUGGUUUAUAUGCACCAACUCUCCCAUUCUCGGCCUUAAUAUGGUUGCCAACAGCCUGGAUGCUAGCUUUGGCAUGCUAUGGACAAGGCUAAUUGGCCUGAAGUCAUUGAUGCCGCAAGCCUCAGGGGUUUUAGGAAUGAGUGUUAUGAUAGCAUGGUUAAGCCGCCCAAAACCAACCCUAUUGCCCAGAAAGAACUUGUGCAGAGCUGCAGUCAAAUCUCUUUUAAUGAUCUCCCAUGCCUUUUGGAAAAACAGGCCAAUAAAUCCAUCUGGCCCUGGAGCUUUGUCCGUCGGCAUCUCCUUCACCACCUCCCAAACUUCCUCCUCCAAGAACAUAAGCUCCUGGUCAUCAAGAUUGACAGGCUGAAUGCCCAACGCCUCAAGGUCAAGCGAGUGUUCCCUGGCCCCCUUUCUCCCCAGCAAAUCUCUAUAGGCAUUAUAGAAGUGCUCCUCCAAUAUAAUUUCGGAGGUUAAAGAAGGACACAGAUUUUUUGUACGCUGUAUGCUUAUUAUUAUUUUCAAACAUUCCCGGUUGUUUUGCUAGGCGAGGAGGGAAUUGUGAGAGACUAAAAGCUACCCAAAGCUAUCUUUUUUGUUUUCCCCAAACAGAACCAAGCUUCGAAUACUUUCCCUCGAACUGAGCCGCACCACCCAAAGUCCAAGAGAUGGACUGACAGAUCAAGGUAGUGGUGAUCCGCCAGGCUCGAAAUCUCCAAGAUGCAUAGGAUCAGUACGUCACGCGACGACGGGGGUUGGGACGUCGUACUGCGAGCAUGGCGUACCAGCUCCAGAGUCCAAGCGAUUGACCGACAUAUCCUCACGGUGCUACUGGUGAGCUUGCCCCAGUUGGGCACCGGCUCGAACAUGGCUAGCUAUGAUUUAUGUCACGACUCGACGGGGGUUGGGACGAUGGCUCUCAGUCUCAGAACAGUCGCGUACAGUACCAUCGUACCCACGAGGCUGCGCGGGCCAGCCGCGCCGACGCCGGCAGCGGCAGGACACACACCACAUGCGACGCCCAGCCGGUUCGUACGUAUGCAGUGCAGGGGCUCUCAACUUGGAACUUUCGGUGGCUGUCGCGUGGCGCCUCUCUAACUGACACGACGACGGUGGCAAAUUUUCGCCCGACAACGGCCGCGUCAAGCCGUCCACUGCAACGUACCGGGACGACGCACCAUCUCAAAUUGGCCUGGAUCAGUCUUGGAUGUAGAUGGUUUUUGCAAAACCGCGACCAGACUUUCCUGGGCUUUUUGCAUGUGUUGCAUUCGAAUCACUGGAAAAGGCAUUUCCUAGUGUGCUCGACUCAUAAGCUUUGUCGAAUAUGAAAUGCGGUUCAAUAAUACGUCCUUGGGGUGUGUAUGUCUCACCGAACUGCAUACUGUAUGUGCAUUGUCUUUAGGAAGACAAAAAUUAUCAAUGCUUAACGAUUAAGCAAGUAAGACAUUACCUAGGUCUAGCAUUUUUGCUGGAGAGGAAAUUCCCGACGGCGGAAACGGCAACGGAAGCAGAGCGUCGGUCUCCGUUGGGUCUGCACCAUCGAAAUCGAAGAACCCAGUAACCCACGGCAGUGCCGGUGCAGGCUGCAGAGCAGCUACUGCCGCGGGCACAGAAAGCAGCGCCCAUAUAUGCCAAUGCCACCCAUCGGUCGCCCUCGCCAAGAGAUGCACUGGGUCUGCCACUGAGCCACCAAACCAGCGCGGCCAUGGCGCCGACGUCUCCGACCUCCGCGCCUCGUCUCCUCCUCGCGCUCUCCCUCAGCCUCCUCCUCACCAGCGCGCACCAGCUGACGACGCCAUCGCCGCCCGCGCCGUCGGCCGCCGGCAUCUCGCCUGAGCUCGUGUCCACGCUGCGCGAGGCGCUGGGCGCGAUCAAGGACGUCGCAUCCAUCGUCUCCUCCUUCCCCAUCGUCGGAGGCGUCCUCGGGGGCGACGACCUCCGGCUCUCCUCCGCCAUCACGGACUGCCUCGACCUGCUCGACCUCUCCUCCGACGAGCUGUCCUGGUCCAUGUCCGCCGCUUCGCCGACGACCGCGGGCGUGGGGGCCGCAGGCCGCGUCGGCACGGGCGACGCGCACGCCGACGUCCGGGCGUGGCUCAGCGGCGCGCUCGGCAACCAAGACACCUGCAAGGACGGCCUCGACGACACCGACUCGGUGCUCGGCUCCCUCGUAUCCAUCGGCCUCCAGGCCGUCACGUCCCUGCUGGGCGACGGCCUCGGGCAGGUCGCCGCCGGCGAGGAAGCCGCGUCGUCCGUCCGCACCAGUGGCCGCCGGGGGCGCGGCCUCGGCCAGGGGGCUCCUCGCCACCCGCACUGGCUGGGCGGCAGGGAGCGCCGGCUGCUGCAGAUGCCGGUGGGUCCGGGAGGAAUGCCGGUGGACGCGGUGGUGGCGCAGGACGGGAGCGGCAACCACACGACUGUCCAGGCGGCCCUCGACGCGGCGCCGUCGGAGCGCGACGACGGCCGGUACGUCAUCUACGUGACGCGCGGCGUGUACAGGGAGACGGUGGAGGUGAAGAAGAAGAAGUGGAACGUGAUGUUGGUGGGCGACGGCAUGGGCGCCACCGUGAUCUCCGGCCGGCUGAACUACGUCGACGGCUACUCCACCUUCCGCACCGCCACCGUCGGUGAGUUGGUGCUCUGCUGCUCCAUGCAAUUCCAUCAAUCUAGCAGUCCUUCCGUUAAUUCCAGAAAAUUAAGUUGAUUGUGCGAGUUUAAGGCGUGGUCAAGGUCAAAUCGUAGCAUGCACCAUGCACUCAAUGGCUCUUGUGAUGCUUCGGAUGCAUGCGCCCCCACACACUAGACCAGCCUAUCUCUGCCAUUGCUUUGCUUAAGCCUGCACGGUCGAUCACCUGAGAUGUUAGCUCGUGACCACCUCCACGAGAUGCAUGUAGCUGGAGUGGCACGGUCAAUGUGCCAUAAUUGUACUGUCUGGACGAGAUGCUGCGGCUGCGGCAUACGGUUCCGUUAAGGCGCAUGCCGAGUUGCAGUACCGUGGUACAACUCUGCUCCAUCCUUAUCGCAAUGUCACUGUGUAGUACUCGCUCCGUUCGAAAUUACUUGUCGCAAAAAUGGAUGUAUCUACAUCUAGAUACAUCCAUUUUUGCGACAAGUAAUUUCGAACGGAGGGAGUAUUUUGGUUUUCUUUCUACAGUGGAUAUUGUUACCUGCCUAGGUCGCUUCUGGUGCAUGUACUACACGCACUGCACUCCAGCUACCCACCCAGCCAGUGUCUAAUACACCGUUCGUCUAAUCUUGGCCGUGGUGUGUGCAGUGUGCACAUUCAAGUCCUGACUCCUCCUGACACCUUCCCGGAUCGAUCACGCGCCUAGCUUGAAUAAUGUAGAACAUGCAGCAUCCAUUAAUAGAGCUAGGGGGUAGUUGCACUUGCAAUUCAGCGACGAAUUCAAUGGACGAUACCACAUGUCGCACAGGUUGGCCUUGGUUGCUUGGCUCAACGAGUCAAAGUACAUGGCCCGCUCCCAGGCUCUACGCGUGGCACACUGUUGUCCGUGAGACAGCAGGUCGUGCCGGUGGCCAUGCGGUGCGGUGCACGGCAUGAAACGUUCUCUUUGCAGCGACUCGUACUUCUUUGUACUGGCAGCGCCGCGCCGUGCUUAUACUUUUCCCAAAGGGCCAAGCUGCCGAGUGCCAACCCAAGCCACGAGACCUCGCAUCGUACUACGUUCUGUAGUCGAUCAUGGGAUGCAGAUGCAGGGGUCACGCUGCUGAGACUCAGAUGGGCACGUCGUUUUCUCCUUUUGCUUGCCGUCGGUCGCACACAGUGCCGGGGGAGAGAUCGCCGACAGACACAGCAGUGAUCGGGCUGGUGCUGCCCGAUCUUUUGCUUCUAGUCCGGGCGUCAUUCAGCUCUGUGGUGGCGUAGAAAGCUUCAGUUCCAUGCAUGGCUUUAUCAGCAGCUGAUGCUGAUCGAUGCGUGCCAAACCCUCGUCGGUCUGACAAGCACGUUAUACUAUCACAAGCUUACCACUACUACUUGUCGCACGACCGACUUGGUUAACUUCAUUGUCAGCGGAUGUUCGGAUCCAAAUGACCAAAUCAUGCGAGAUAUAUAUGCCUAUAUAUGCUUCUGACCCCCAAGAAUUACUGUUACUGAGUACUGACCUCAUUGAUCCUGUCAUUUCAUAUUCAUAGGAUAUUCAUAGCUGUGCGUGUGAAUUGUGAUUAACACCUGAUGUUUUUUUCUGGCUGACGUGGCGUUGUUCAUGCAUGCAUUGCAGCUGUGGUGGGGAAGGGGUUCAUCGCGCGAGACGUGACGUUCGAGAACACCGCGGGGCCGGCCAAGCACCAGGCGGUGGCGCUGCGGUGCGACUCAGACCUCUCUGUCUUCUACCGCUGCGCCUUCGAGGGCCACCAGGACACGCUUUACGCGCACUCGCUUCGCCAGUUCUACCGCGAUUGCAACGUCACUGGCACUGUCGACUUCGUCUUCGGCAACGCCGCCGCCGUCUUUCAAAACUGCCACCUCCUCGCCCGCGCGCCGCUGCCUGGCCAGAAGAACUCUAUCACGGCCCAGGGCCGUUUCAACGCCUCCAUGAACUCCGGCUUCACCUUCCAGUUCUGCAACGUCUCAGCACACGACGACCUCCUCCGCGCGCAGGCCAACCAGACCGACAAGGCCGCGACCACACAAACCUUCCUGGGCCGGCCGUGGAAGGCAUACUCACGGGUGGUGUUCAUGCAGUCGUACAUCGGCGCCGUGGUGCGGCCCGAGGGGUGGCUCGCGUGGGACAACAACCAGUCCACGCUCGCCACGCUCUACUACGGGGAGUACAUGAACACGGGGCCCGGCGCCAGCGUCGGCGGCAGGGUGAGGUGGCCGGGCUACCACGUGAUGAUGAGCCCCGCCGAGGCCAGCAACUUCACUGUAGCGCAGUUCAUCGAGGGCAACAUGUGGCUGCCGACCACGGGUGUCAGGUUCACGUCUGGGCUGCUUGCGUCUUGAACUCUUGAUCAUCAUGUGAGUCUGCGUGCUCUGACUCUUGAGCGGUCUAGAAGUACUGGGUGCUGUCGUUCCUCAUCACGUACUAAUAGUACUAUGGUUGGAACAAACUUUAGGGAAUUAGUCGAUGGGUUGUUAUUCUUGAAUGGGACAUAUUAAGGUUAUGAAUGGAUGAAGUGUUUUUUCUCCUUUGAUCAGUACGUAUGAUCUUUACCUACAACGGUUCUUCCUGUAGAAGCAAAUAGUUCUCUAUCUCGACCUUGCGCCUGUGUUCACAUUCAUCUCUCACCGCCUUGCCACUUUUCCUUUUUGCUUCCUUCUCUGCGAAGUCUAACUUGGCUUGCAUGGCUUCCACCACCAAGCCCUUUGUUGUGAUCACCUCAUCGACUUGAUGCGGCUUCUCAUUCUAUUGUGAGCAUAUCCUUUGUCCUAUUUCUUCCAUCGAGCCGCCCCUUGCUUGACCCUUCCUAGGCCUCCUCUCACCCUUAUCACCAUCUUCAACCUCCCAAGAAGACGAGUUACUUGACAUCUCGCUUUCUUCGAUGGAGCAUCAUCACUCCUUGUCUUCUUCUCGUUGUGCUCAAGCAAGUUUCAAAAUGUCGAAACACACAAUACUUGCCCUUUGACUUUCUCAGUUGUUUGUACCUCUUUUGAACAAUCCCAUCGUAAAACAUACAAUUGGAAGCUGAGCAACAUUGUUCAAAUACAUAUAAGGCUCGGUCAAUAUUUCCAAUGUUCACAGACAUGACAAACACUCACAUAUUCAUCAUUGUGGCACCACUAGGAGGCACAUCCCCACUAGGAGGCACAUCCCCACUUCCUCCAAACAACCCGUUCAUCGAUUGCAAGCCUAAAAAAAUGAUGCUCCGAUGACUUGUGAGGGACUUGAGUGAGCGUUGGGGCGUUCCCUUCACAAAUUUGUUGUAGUUUCCUCCUCGACAUGUUUCAGAUACUUUACACCGAUAUGAUCAUUCCUGUGACCACAUCAAAUAUGAUGCUCUCCAAUGCUCGGACCAAGGUAUAUCUUCAUCACUCGUGUAGUUUGCUUGCCUUGACCUCUUCUUGAGGCUUGAGAAGUAUCAAAUUGGUCCAUGUGCAUCUCUCUCCUCCUCCUCCUCCUCUCUCUCUCUCUCUCUCUCUCCUCUCAUCAUAUCCAGGGCCGGUCCUGAGAUUUUGGGGGCCCGGGGCGAAACUAAAACUCGGGGCCCUUGAUAUAGACAUCGUAAUAAUAAUAUGAAUAUAUGUAUACAUGAAAUAUUUAUCAGUAACACUUAAAUGCAUAUAAAAUCAGUAUGCACGUCAAAUGAUUUAUGUAUAUAGUACCUUAAGAGUUUCUUCUAGCAUACCUCGAUGCGAAGUCACUUAUGAUGGGGUUGAUGUCAAUGUCAUCCACUGAUUUCUUCUCCAUGCAUAUAAUGAGCCAAACCAGUUAAUCUCUCUAGAGUCAUUGUUGACCUCAAUAAACUCUUCAAUAAUUUCAACUUCGAAAAGCUUCUUUCGGUCGAUGCAUUCCAUCUUCUUAAUAAACUAAUCAUUAUCUAUCAUGUUCCUUUCCAUUGCUUCAUUUCCUAUGAUAAUGAGCACAUGAAAAAUGUCUUCAUACACCAUCUACACGGUAUUCCAGUUCUCCCUCUCUCAUAGGCCCUUUCUCAACUAAGAUAUAUCUUGCUUUAUUAUGAAGAUUGUCCCAAUUUCCUAGAUCAUUAGUAUCGGGAGUAUAAACUAGAUAUUCAUCAACAGUAUGAUGUUGUGUUUGCGCAUGUGAUGAAUUACGUACAUUCUCAGAGCCACUUACAUUGUUGUUGCCGAUGUUGGUGUCGACAUUUUCUUCUUACUGAUCUGAUUCUGAAUCCCCAUUAGUUGGUUGAUCUUCCUCUUUCUCUAUGGCAACCAUCACCAACUCAUCAUCUUGGUUUAUCGAAGCAAUGGGAGCACUAGUAUUACUCUUAAGAAAUUUGUGAAUAUAUCUCCGUGCUGUGAUUGUACCAAUUUAUCAACAACUUUCUUUAUUUUUCUUUUAUCACUAGCCGAUGGAUAAGUCCUGUUUCUGGGCGGCAUGAUUAUCAGUUGUAACACACAAUGCUGGAAAAAGAAAUGGUUGCGUCAGUUGCUAAAUGGUGCCGGCUAUGCAUCAAGGGACGGUGAUACAUAAUAUACAUUUGUGAUAUACCUGAUGGUCAACUCUGUGAUGACUGAUGAGUGUCAGUGCGUAUGCCUAUAAAGAACCUGAAGGCUAGAGCGGGAGAGCAAUUCAGUUGGAGCCACCGGGAAUUGUAAUCAGCAGCUCCGGCGAACUGGAUUAGGAAGGAAUUACUAGCAGCAGUAUGGGCGCAGCAGUACGGCGGCGGCGGCUAGGGCUGGGACAGGUAAUCGCUGCGAGAUGGAAAUCGUGGAAUAGAAAGGGAUCGUGAUCGCUCAUUUUUUUUAGGUGAAAGGGGUCGAGCCGGAAUCGAUCGCUAGGUGGAUUCAGGCUAUCGGCCUGCUGCUACUCCUUGCGCGAGCGCGCCUGCCAUCAAGAAAGCCCAUCGCCCUGGCCCCUUUGAACUUUUUUGGGACAUAGGCCAUAGCCUGCCUACGUACCUGGGUGGGGGCCCCUUGAUUUUGGCGGCCCGGGGNNNNNNNNNNNNNNNNNNNNNNNNNNNNNNNNNNNNNNNNNNNNNNNNNNNNNNNNNNNNNNNNNNNNNNNNNNNNNNNNNNNNNNNNNNNNNNNNNNNNNNNNNNNNNNNNNNNNNNNNNNNNNNNNNNNNNNNNNNNNNNNNNNNNNNNNNNNNNNNNNNNNNNNNNNNNNNNNNNNNNNNNNNNNNNNNNNNNNNNNNNNNNNNNNNNNNNNNNNNNNNNNNNNNNNNNNNNNNNNNNNNNNNNNNNNNNNNNNNNNNNNNNNNNNNNNNNNNNNNNNNNNNNNNNNNNNNNNNNNNNNNNNNNNNNNNNNNNNNNNNNNNNNNNNNNNNNNNNNNNNNNNNNNNNNNNNNNNNNNNNNNNNNCCCUUGAAAUGUGAAAGAGGCAAGUCAAGCGAUAUAGCCCAGUCAAGAUCCGCCAAGUCCUCAAACCCACCUAAAUCUUCCAUCAUGCUCAAGUGGUCGCCGACCUAUUCUCAAAAUUGAAAGCUGCAUCACGGUAUGAGAAGCACACUUGGAUUCACAUUCUCAGUUGAACCGAACAAAUCAAAACAAACAAGGGGGGAAAUUUCUUACCUUGUCGUCGUUCCAUCGAACACCUAGUGGCAGCUCGGGUUGAUCACCAUAAUGGAGGUUGUCAAGUAGACCAGAGAGGCAUUGAGAGGACCGGCAUCAGCCAGAGGGGAGAAUGGAGCAGACACAAAGGCUGCCGCGACCAACGUCUCCUUCCUGUUCUUGUUUUUCAUAUUUUCCACUGGCAACGAGUGGUGCCACCCUUGGGUAUUGGCGCCUUAGGGGGGAGCCUGGAUGGCGCUUGGUCAAUGUGAGUUGCGGGGCUACCACUCAGCGUUACGCUCGCAUCGAUGCUACCGAAAAGACAACUAGGUGCUGCCCUAGGCGGCGAGACUGCACGGUGGAUAUGGCUGCAGGUGCGGGACCUCGAAUCAAGAAUGGAAUGCAAACACCGGUCACGAUAGGGUUCAUGGCAUCGUUGGGCGGACCGCUUUAGUGAAUCUGUUAGAGUGGAUUUUUGACCCCUUAACCUUUAUGUUGACGUUCCUUUUUUUGUAAAGGAAUGACGUUUUAGAGAAUAUGCUAGAGUUUCUCUAAGACAUUUUGACCCCAAAAUACAGAUGGUAAACCAAUAUGCUAAUGAUUCAGUGGAAAUAUUUUUGUAAAUACCUUAUAUACACUAGAUUUUUCUCUUUGCUAACACCUAAUUAUAAACUAGAAUUAAUUACCAAGAUAUUUCUGACAUGCACUUUAAGGAUAUCAUGCAAGCGUCGGAAAUUAAUCCAUAAAGACAAACCAAUUUUCUUCUCCAGUUUAAGAAAAAAAGGUUUAGACAUAUUUUAAAGGCACGGUGCAUUGAAAAUAAAAACUAAUGUAAUCUAUUAAUGCAUUUAUUAUGUAAAAGAAUGUGUACAUAUUAUAAUGAUUUGGCGAAUUGGCUUGUAAAAGGUGUAAAAGUUUAGUAUAAAAUACAAUAUAGGCUUGGGCUUUGUGAUGAUGUCGUGCAUGCAUGCAUUGCAGCGGUGGUGCGCAAGGGGUUCAUCGCGCGCGACGUGACAUUCGAGAACACGCCAGGGCCGGCCAAGCACCAGGCGGUGGCGCUGCGGUGCGACUAGGGCAUGUCAUUCUUAUACCAUCGCACCUUCGAGGGCCACCAGGACACGAUGUACGUGCACUCGCUUCGCCAGUUCUACCGCAGCUGCCGCGCCGCUGCCACCGUCGACUUCGUCUUUGGCAUGGCCGCCGCCGUUUUCCAGAACUGCCUCCUCCUCGUCCACACGCCGCUCCCGGGCCAGAAGAGCUCCAUCAUGGCCUAGGGCCGCUUCAACACCUCGAUGGACUCCGGCUUCGCCGUUCUCCAUGGACGACGACCUCCUUCAAGCCAACAUGGCCAACCAGACCAACAAGGUCGUCGGCAUGCAAACCUUCUUGGGGCGGCCGUGGAAGGCGUAUUCGCGGGUGGUGUUCAUGCAGUCCUACAUCGGCGUUGUGGUGUGACCCGAGGGGCGGCUCGCGUGGGAUAACAACCAGUCCAUGGUCGACACACUCUACUGCAUGGAGUACAUGAACAUGGGGCCCGACGCUGGCAUCGGCGGCAAGGUGAGGUGGCCUGGCAACCAUGUAACAAUGAGCCAGGCCGAGGCCAACAACUUCAUUAUGGCACAGGUCAUCGAGGGCAACAUUGUUGGGAAACAUAGUAGAAAACAAAAAAAAAUGUCUCAACUCACUGAACUACUCCAUAGUUUCUUCCUUCCCGCCAAAGUAGAUAAAAAACAGGGCAAUAAGAUCAAUGACUUUGAUCAGUUAUACAAAACAUUAAGCAAUUACCAGAUAAACCAAUAAACAAACAUGACAUCUAUCGUUGGCAAAUUGAGCACCAAAUGACAUGAUUGACCAAGAUUUCGACAAGCUAUUGAACAUUAACAUUUUCGUUAUUCGCUACUGACCAUUGCACUUAUCUUGGAACUAAGUAAAAAGAAUAAAUCACCGAAAAGAACCACUACUAGACUUGAAAUUUGUUUAACGGCAAAUGCACAUUACUGUUGUUUAAUAAAAUGUGAGCAUACUAGCUUAUUAUACUAGAGAUGAUACCCGCGCGUUGCAGCAGGAAUUGGAUGGAGUAAUUUCUAUGAGAAUAGACGGUAUGAAACUUUAGUAUUUUUAUUAGCGAUAUGGGAAUUGAAACUCAAGCACAUAUAUAAUGUAAUAUAUUUGAUUAUUAUAUAGUUAUGAGAGUGGCGUUUUGGUGGCCGAGCACCCUGCAGGCCGCAAUCUCCCGCCGUGGAGUAUAGCGCUGCGAUGUGUGCAUGGCUUUUUAAUCAAAGGUAUACGAUAGCUGUUAGAUUGAAAUACAUGCGUGUCGUGGGGUGGUGUGCUAGCGUUAUACGUGGGCCUCGGGUGCACACUGCAUAAUCAAGCACCUCUUGUCCUUGCUGGGCUGGUUUAAAAAUAGCACAUAUAGCUGGUGGCAGUUAUGGGCUGGUGCGACAUUAAUUCCGGGCCUAUGUGGCGCUGCAGCUAAUUAACCCCAGAAGCGGUGAUGUUUCUUUCCCUGGUCAGUUUAUUCAUCCCCUUCCCGUGGACCGUGGUAGCUAUGCGGCGCGGCGAUUCACCAUGGAUGGCCUCGACUUCUUAUAGGAAGCAGAAUCAGGGUAAAUACAAUGUGCAGGUUGAUUGUGAUGGUCGAGUCAAGACUUUGAUGUGGACAAUUGGGGGAAGCAUCGAGCAGUUUAAGUGUUUUGGCGAUGCUGUCACGUUGGAUACCACAUACAAAACUAAUCUAUAUGACAUGCCAUUUGGUCUCUUCGUUGGUGUCAACAAUCUCUUCCAAAGCAUUAUUUUUGGAGGUGUGCUGAUGUGCGAUAAGAAAAUCGACACCUUCAAGUGGAUAUUUACAGAGUUCUUCCAUAUGAUAGGAGCUCCACAGCCGCGCACAAUCCUCACAGGUAUUAAAAAAUGUUAUCGAGUGUUGAUCUUCUUUUUAAGCAUGAUGUAGAAAGGCUUUCCUCCUGGUAUGUGUUGACAAAAAGCUGUUGGUUUUAGACCAAGCUCGUGCAAUGGAGGUUGCCAUAGAAGAUGUCAUGCCACAUACAACACAUCGGUGGUGCAAAUGGCAUGUGUUGAAGAAAGCAAAAGAGUGUCUUGGGACACUGCUAGGCAAGGGUAGUGAGUUCAAACAGGAGUUCAACAAGAUGGUGCAUCACAUGGUUAGUGAGAAAUAAUUUGAGGAUGGUCGGGCAUGUAUGGUUGAGAAGCAUUGUCUACAAAAAAAAUAUGCAUUUCUCACCCAAAUAUGAGACCCGGAUGAAAUGGGCUAAAACUUUACUUCAUGGAUGCUUUUUGCGCCAAUAUAACCGGCACACAGCAUAGUGAAAGUGCAAACCAUUUGACCUGCACCAACACACACAAGGCUGAUUUCUAUGGUUGAUUUUAUUUGUUUUCUAUGCUUGAAACAUGACAGUUUCAUGUAACCGUGCUUAUGUGGAUGUCAGACUGCUAAUGACUACUCCACAUAUUAGUGAAUCUCUAUAUUUGUAGUAUCAUUUGUUGUCGGAGAAUUGCUUGGAAACGAUGUGUGUUUGGUGUAAAAAUCACUUGUUUGAUCCUUUUCGCUCAAGCUGUGUUGCUUUGAUUGGUCUACCAUUUAGGAUGAGCGGUCUCCACCUAAUGUUGGUCUCCACCCGAACCUCGCCGCAUUCCAGGCACAUGAUGAGUGGCAGGUGCUGUCGCCUUUCCCUGGAAUGAACUGAGGAUGAAGAUGAAGCCAUGUCGUUUUUGUUUGAGCUGGGUGCGGCAACCAUAGAGAGCCAACUCCUAUAAGUAGCCAUGAGACCAAGGCAACGGCAGGACCUCAACGGUCGACCCAAACGGCUCCCUGCCCAUCUACCAAGCGCACAUGUUGACGGAGUCAAAUCCGUGCCAUGCAGCGUGACCGCGACAUGCAGCUGUGCUGCACUCAUGUGCCUGCUAAAGUAUGUGAGCCCGCACGGUUUAUUUGGUAGCAAAUACGGGGCUGUGCAGCCGACUCUCCUAUAAAUACAGUAAAAAUACGGUAGCAUCAUACUCGCGUGGCACCGAUCGCAACGAGCACCGACGGGGCUGAUUCCGGCCUGCAAGGUGCUCGGCCACCAAAGGCCAUUUUCGUAUAGUUAUAGCAAAUUUAUUUAAUAUAAGUAUAACAUGCAUGCAAAAUUACAUUGGAGCACACGGCGACUACACCCAUUGAAAUCUUCUUCAUUUAUUUGCCUCGGGAUUCACACUGCUAUAUAGAUAGUACUCCCUCCGUCCCAAAAUACUUGUCGGAAAAAUGCAUAAAAAUGAAUAUAUCUAGAACUAAAAUACAUCUAGAUACAUUCAUUCCUCCGACAAGUAUUUUCGGACGGAGGGAGUAUGUAUAAGGAGAUUAUGAUUCAUGUAUCUCUCAUAUAAUAUAGGCCUGUAUUUGGUGUCCUUUUCGGCCUGACUUUGUUAGUGAGGUGCAGUCGUGCAGACCACACCACACGCGAGGACCUCAACCACCAGCUCCCAACAACCUAAUUAAUGCACUGACUUUCACACGAAGUCAUCUUAUCAGGGACGCCCUUCUCCACCAUAACUGGCACCGCUCAUGUUCUUCUUCCUCUCUCUACUUUUUUGUUUCUUCUUUGCGCUCAUCAUCUUCUCCUUUGGCAACAUGCACAUGGGGAAAACCAGGAGGAACAAGGAAGGCAACAUGGACAUGAGGAAAAACCAGGAGGAACAAGGAAGGCUAUGUGGCCGACGGGGAACAAUGUUGUGGCCGAUGGGGAAAACGUUGAGGAUGAACAAGGUAGCCGUCCGAGCUUGCCGCAUCCCGUGCAAACACGGCCACAACGACAUGGUGUCCGCCCUAGCUGCUGAAACCAAGUCCCAAUUUCCCGCGGUAAGUGAGAAAUGUCUAGGAAGAAAGCCAGGCGGAUGACUACGCCAUUGACAACGAGCAAAUUAUGCAACCAUCGUCCAAGCUCGUUGUGUCCUGCACAAGCCCCAUGGCUGUGGCCAUCGACAUCGCGCCUGCCCUGGAUUUAUUGUCAUAUGCAGUAUACUUCUUGUACUCGCGUGUUAUGGUGGAGAAGGGCGUCCCUGAUAAGAUGAAAGCAAACUUAAACAUCAUUAACUGCGUUCCAUCCCCAGACAAUAUUGGACGUGUAGAUUACAGGGAGUGGAGCCUCCGUGUGCUCCUCGUCCGCUUCCGCUUUAAGGUGGGCCUUUUCUCAUGCAUAGUGGCAUAAUGAGUUGGCAUAGUUGCAUGUUGAGAGAAUUAAAUCUAGUGGGCAUGCAUGAUGCAUAGUCACAUGGGAAGGUAAUUGAGUUAGUGUGGAUCAACUAUUUACGUAUAUAAGAUUCAGUAUGAACUAAAAAAUAACCACUAACAUUCAUCACAAAACAAUGACCAAUGUACUAUAUCCAGUAUGAACUCACUAAACAGCUGACCAAUCAACUAAUUAACCACAUGGAAACAUUCAACACAUAGCACUAAUUAAGCACAUGUUUGCAAAUCUAAUGUUCCAACUAAACAUUGAGCAUGGUACAUAUCCCAACUAAUUAAUCACUACAUGACUGCAAAUCCAAUUACCACAUGAUUGCAAACAUGCCACCUAUGCACAGUGCAUAUCCCAACUCACUAAACAAUGUCGUACAUGGUAGCAGGGAUCUGUACGAGCAAAGAACAACCAAAUAUUUGGAAGAACAAUUCAGAUCGAGCUCCUUGUAUUAAUCCCCAACUCACAAACCCUAGCCCUAGCAAACUCACCUUGAUGAUGUUGUCAGAGGAGGAGACGUACUGGAUGGAAUCCUCAUUGGUUUCGCCGUCAUUCUAGGACACCAUAGCGUGGCGGGGCAGUGGCCGGCGGUCGGCGCGACAACAACGACGAAGAACAGAGACAAGAGUGCGAGAGGGAGAGAGUGCGAGCGAGAAGAAAGAGUGGGGAGGGAUUUGACCAGUACCGGCAAAACGGCUUUGGCCGUCUCCUCUAAUGACGGCUUGUGUGAACAAUUACAUCACGUUAGCUUUUUCGGGACCCACAUGCUAUAAUCGUUAUCAAAUGGACAAAGCUAUCAACCAUUAUUUCUUUCUUGAGUAGUUUUAAGUUAACAUGCUCCUUUUUAUUUUAUUUUCACAUAUAAAAGGUAAAAGUAUAUAAUAGAUCUAACUGUUGACCUUAUUAAUUAGUGGUCUGAUUAACUCUAUCUUUUUACCUUGUAAAAAAAGGAGGUAAGAGAAAAACAUGUAAAAAUUUGCUUUCUUGUACUCCCGAUCUAAACGCUCUUAUAUUAGUUUACAGAGGAAGUAAAAGAUUAGUCCAAGAAUUAGUGGUGUUUGUGCCAAACCUGCAAACCCACGUAGCGCACAAACCUAGCCCAUAAUGUGGUGAAUUUUUGUAAUUAACUCACGUUUAACUCUCUUUAAACAUUGUCAAUAAACAUUUUCAAAUUAUGCAAUGUACAAUUGCCACAUGGACAAAACUUACAAUCAUUAGUAGAGUGCCCAUGCGUUGCCAUGGGCUUUUGAAUAUAUUGCUGGAAUUAUAUAAACAUAAUACAUGUUAAAUUUCACGUGAAGAGAAUAGAUAGCACAUGCAAAAUCAGCUAAUAAUUAAAGUCAACUUCACUUGCAACGUAAAUUGAUAACAAAAAAAGGCAAUCUGAUGAGUUAUACAUAUAGAGAGAUUAUCUAACUAAAACCAAUUACAAAUUAAGAUCCAUUUGAUGCGCUUAAGAAAUUCUUGCACAAUAUUAAGAAUAUUGACUUUAGCUCCAUUCGCAUGAAAUUUGAACAAGUAUAACUAAAAAACCCUUCCUCAACUCAUACCCAACCCGCACAAGCAAUAUAUGUAAUUAGCACGAAGAAUUCACGUCGAAGGUCUUAAAAUGUGUAAUGGAGAAUACUCAUUGGGCAAAGUGGAUGAACUAAUUCUUCACCGUUCCACCAAAGCAUAAAAUAAUAUAAAUAGUCACACACAUCCCUACAAUUUUCGAAAUUAAUAUUAUUUUGAAUGUUAAGAUAAUUCAAUAUAUAAAUUUAUUGUUCGUCUAUGCUCAUUGGAAUACCAAGCAGAAAUUAGCAUGUCCACAUUUUGGUAGUUGACAGGUUAGUCUGCUGGGGUGAACGUUUGACAUGGGCCAGGUGAUAGUUGUUGGUGCGCUAGGUUCCUCAAAAAUAAAUUAGCAUGUCCACAUUUUGGUAGUUCUAUUAUUCAUGAAUGCAAUCUUUGAUUAACCCUUUUUUAGAAAUCACGUAAGAGGGAUUUCCACCACAUACCCAAACACUUGUUUUCAUUUUCAAUGCUCAAACGUGAAAACAAUGGAGCACAUGUCCAGUUCUACCGUCAGAGUAAGUGUCAAGUAUAAUCCUUGGGCAGGAAUUUACUAAAGCUAGUGCUUAACCUAACAUUAAUAGCUUGAUAGAGAUUUGCCUCAAAACCUCCAUGGCCAAUGAACUGCAUAGUCCAACAGAACAACUUUGCUACCAAUCCCACCUAGGAGAAAAAACAAUAAUUUAUGAUCAAUCAAUUUAUGUUAUGUGAUCUUUUUUAUUUGUUAUUCCCUCCAUUUCUAAAAAUAACCCUUUUUCGAUAUUUCAAUGCGGACUACAUACGGAUGGAUAUAGACAAAUUUUAGAGUGUAGAUUCACUCAUUUUGCUCCAUAUAUACUCUAUAUUGAAAUCUCUAAGAAGGCAUAUAUUUAGGAACAGAAGGAGUACAAAGCAUCUUCAACAUCACAAACUGAAGGCUUAUAUUUAGGAACGGAGGGAGUACAAUUGACAAUCAACAGCACAAACUAUGCUCCAUCCUACAUCCUAAAAGCAAAUGAAUGAAAAAUUUCAGGGAGUUAGAGCAACUGCAACACACCGACCCAUUUCGUCUGUUUGUGUCCGUGCAGACGAAAAAGUUGGCCCAAUGCAGUCAUCGCCGCCGCAACGCCAUCGCCUCCGCUCCCCCGUGCACGCAGGAACAACAGAUGCAUGAGCAACAUCUGUAGUCACCGCUGUCGCGCAAGCAGGAACAACAGCAGCCAGUCACCGCAGCAGCAGUUGCAGUCGCCGCCGCCGUGCUCGCCCACCGCGACGGCCGUCGCGCAGUUCUGCCGCUGCGCUCUGGCUCCAUGGAUCCCAAACUGGACCUCGCGAGCACCGUGACAGGCAGCGCCCGCCCGUGACAAGGAGUCCCUCGCGAGCUCCACGACGGAUAGUGCCAGGCCACAACAUCCCUCCGCGGGCAUGUGCUCCUCGUCGACGCAGGUGACAGCUGCGCCUGCCUGGUGCUCGCGAGCCGCCUCCCACGCCCGGUCGCCCACCUCCGCGCCCCCGUGCACGCAUGAACAACAGAUGUGUGAGCAGCAUCUACAGUCACCGCUGCCGCGCAAGCGGGAACAACAAUUGUUGAAGUAUAAAAACAGAUGCACCACAUCACAUAAGCAUGUCCGUGGUCAUAGCAUAACACAGUAGCAUUGCGCAACACCAUAUCCAAACCAUUCGCGCAUCCAGAAGUUAGAAAAUCUCACCCACAAAAAUGAAAUAUUAGUGGCACACAGUGGGAGAACAAACCUUCCGGCGCUUGAAUGUACACAUAUUGCAGAAACACACAUGUGGAGAAAGAAGAAAAAAACUUGUAUAAUCAAAAAACUGGUAAAAGCUAAUUAUAUAUCCCCAUGAGCAAAACGAACUGAUAAACGACUAAAAACCACCUGUUACAGUUUUUAGGUUUCUUGUGAAACCUUCUGACAGUGGUUUAAUAAAAAAAAAAUAGUUCCAAAUAGAAACUUUGAAAAAGAGUAAUGCAUAUUGAUCAUCCCAAAGGGUACAGUGCAGAGAAGCAAGAAAAAACACAUGGAUAAAGUGAACUGCUUUGGUUUCCGAAACAAAGCAAAAAUGUACAAACAAACCUACAAAAUUUGACUUCCAUGAAGGCUACAAGACUACAUGGAGAAAAUCCAUCGUCCUACAAAAGCACUAUAACUAUUUUUGCCCCCACUCUAACCUAUCAUGAAUUUAUUUUCAAGCAACAUUUCGUCACAAACCAAUCUAACAAUUCUUACCAUAUCAAUAAAUUCCUGGUGAAACUAAAUAGGAGAGUACUUAACAGUUCAUUUCACGUCCAUCCGCAAACAUUCCUUUCUAGCAUGCACGUGAAGAAGGUAUUAAAUCUUUCAUACAAUCACCACAAUCUACAUUGGCUAGAAACAAUAAAAACGAUUGGUGCCGGUAGAAAUAAUGAGUUGGCCAAGCUGCGUGCCCGUUGCUGUGAUACUGACUUCUCAAAAUAAGGAAUCCUCCAACAGUGAUAAAAAGUAGAGUAAUCUCCUCAACUAAAGAAGGCAAGGGAUGAGACUGACAUUUUUCUGUAAUUGGCUUUUAGUUAUAUGUAUGAUAAAAAGAAAGGAACAAAGAACACAAUAAAAGUGGCUACAAAUAUAUAAGUAUAAAAAUGUGCAACUACAGAAAUACCAAUUAUCUAACAAAAGUACAAUGAUACUUUCCCGAGAUGAUUGUCGAUUGAUACAGUGAUCUAAUCCUCUAAUUACCAACUUGACAACUAACCUAAUGUCUACAGACACAAAGCAAAUACUCUUGGAAAAAAAUCAACACACAGAAAAAUACAUAUGUUCCUGGACCAUUCAAAGUGUACAUGAAAGCCAUACAUAUGAGUGGACUCCCACGUCCAUAUGCAAAUUUUCAAGCCUAAGAUGUGGCUGUACCUGCUUUGGUCAGUUUGACAGCCCCAGCUUCAUUAGUCUUUGGAUCAGUCUAGGAAAGGCAUCUGGGUGAUUGGUUCCUAUAAAUAAAUUGGACAAUAUAAAUUUAAACAAUUUGGCUUACCCAUAAAUCUAACAAAUCUAAGCUGGAGCUGCAAGCUAUGCUGAGACAACCAAAAGUUUAAAGAUAAACUAAUGAAGAAAAAGUAACCACUUGAAAAGGAAAAGAAAUAGGAACAAAAACGAUGUCGCUCUACUAUCGUCUCUCCCAACUCCAUUCCCCUAGCUUGCCCUCUCACCUCCCUGCAUAUCAACCAAAAUAUCUGAUCGAGACCAGACAAAAGCAAUGGUGGGAGAGUGAUGUGAGCUGGGCCAAUGCUCCCAAGAGAAGAGUGUGUCAGUGAUGGGCGUCGUCUAGUCGAUGCCAGUGGUGAUACCUAGGGUGUUCUAUGUAACAAGUUCACUGCACAUUUUUUUUGUCUAAAGCAACACAUAUAUGUGGAAAUCAUGUAAGAAUAAUUAAACUAUUAUAAACAUAUGUAUUUUACAACUUUGAGUUAGUGUCAUAAACAUAUUGAAUGGGACUGUUGUAAACCUAUCGAAAUUGAAGAAAGAGUAACAAGAUGUGUUAGCAUUACCUUGCAGUUGGACCACCAUAUCCGAGCACAUCCUUUGACUGCCCAGCAAAGGUCCUCCCUCUCGCUCAAACAGGAGGCACACACCCAGCUAGCAGGCUGUUUCGCAUACACGCUGAUAAUUUUGCCUUGGUUGUAGGCAAGUAGGCUGGUAUAUUCAGCUAUCAUCAGGAACUCCUCUUCACAACUGUAUUUUGGCGGAAAAAAAUCUACUGAGACCAGAUGCAUAAUCAUGGAGCUAGCUCAGUUUUCAAGGCAUAAGAUGGGUAAGCUAUCCCAAAAAAUGAACAACCAUCAUGCAUAUCCAUAUGGGAAGGGAGUAUUAAUUACUAACCUUGAAGAACUUUCUUUUUGGAGAAAAUUACUGUGACGCCCCCGAUUUAAUCGUACACUAAUCAUGCACGCAAAUGUGUACGAUCAAGAUCAGGGACUCACGGGAAGAUAUCACAACACAACUCUAAAACAUAAAUAAGUCAUACAAGCAACAUAAUACAAGCCAGGGGCCUCGAGGGCUCGAAUACAAGUGCUCGAUCAUAGACGAGUCAGCGGAAGCAACAAUAUCUGAGUACAAACAUAAGUUAAACAAGUUUGCCUUAAGAAGGCUAGCACAAACUGGGAUAUAGAUCGAAAGAGGCGCAGGCCUCCUGCCUGAGAUCCUCCUAACUACUCCUGGUCAUUGUCAACGGGCUGCACGUAGUAGUAGGCACCUCCGGUGUAGUAGGGGUCGUCGUCGACGGUGGCGUCUGGCUCCUGGACUCCAGCAUUUGGUUGCGACAACCAGAAAGAAAGGAAAGGGGGGAAAAGGGGGGAGAAAGCAACCGUGAGUACUCAUCUAAAGUACUCGCAAGCAAGGAACUACACUACAUAUGCAUGGGUAUAUGUGUAAGGAGGCCAUAUCAGUGGACUGAACUGCAGAAUGCCAGAAUAAGAGGGGGAUAGCUAGUCCUAUCGAAGACUACGCUUCUGGCAGCCUCCAUCUUGCAGCAUGUAGAAGAGAGUAGAUUGAAGUCCUCCAAGUAGCAUCUCCAAGUAGCAUCUCCAGUAGCAUCGCAUAGCAUAAUCCUAUCCGUCGAUCCUCUCCUUGUCGCCCUGUUAGAGAGCGAUCACCGGGUUGUAUCUGGCACUUGGAAGGGUGUGUUUUAUUAAGUAUCCGGUUCUAGUUGUCAUAAGGUCAAGGUACAACUCCAAGUCGUCCUGUUACCGAAGAUCACGGCUAUUCGAAUAGAUUAACUUCCCUGCAGGGGUGCACCACAUAACCCAACACGCUCGAUCCCAUUUGGCCGGACACACUUUCCUGGGUCAUGCCCGGCCGUGGAAGAUCAACACGUCGCAGCCCCACCUAGGCACAACAGAGAGGCCAGCACGCCGGUCUAAACCUAAGCGCACAGGGGUCUGGGCCCAUCGCCCUUAGCACACCUGCACGUUGCGAGGGUGGCCAAAAGGAGAACUAGCCCCCUUAAUACAAGAGCAUGCUUACAUUCCAAUCCGGCGCGCGCCGCUCAGUCGCUGGCGUCACGAAGGCUUCGGCUGAUACCACGACGUCGGGAUACCCAUAACUACUCUCGCGUAGAUGGUUAGUGCGUAUAGACCAAAUGGCCAGACUCAGAUCAAAUACCAAGAUCUCGUUAAGCGUGUUAAGUAUCCGCGAACGCCGACCAGGGCCAGGCCCACCUCUCUCCUAGGUGGUCUCAACCUGCCCUGUCGCUCCGCCACAAAGUAACAGUCGGGGGCCAUCAGGAACCCAGGCCCACCUCUACCGAGAUGGAGCCACCUGUCCUUUCAGCCCCCUUAUCCGAAUCACUUGCGGGUACUCAACGAGCUGACCCGACUUUAGUCACCAUCUGUAGUAUGUAUAUAUGUAUAGUAUAUACCCGUGAUCACCUCCCGAGUGAUCACGGCCCAAUAGUAUAGCAAGGCAGACUGACAAGAAUGUAGGGCCAAUGAUGAUAAACUAGCAUCCUAUACUAAGCAUUUAGGAUUGCGGGUAAGGUAUCAAUGACUGUAGCAACAAUGACAGGCUAUGCAUCAGAAUAGGAUUAACGGAAAGCAGUAACAUGCUACACUAUUCUAAUGCAAGCAGUAUAGAGAAGAAUAGGNNNNNNNNNNNNNNNNNNNNNNNNNNNNNNNNNNNNNNNNNNNNNNNNNNNNNNNNNNNNNNNNNNNNNNNNNNNNNNNNNNNNNNNNNNNNNNNNNNNNNNNNNNNNNNNNNNNNNNNNNNNNNNNNNNNNNNNNNNNNNNNNNNNNNNNNNNNNNNNNNNNNNNNNNNNNNNNNNNNNNNNNNNNNNNNNNNNNNNNNNNNNNNNNNNNNNNNNNNNNNNNNNNNNNNNNNNNNNNNNNNNNNNNNNNNNNNNNNNNNNNNNNNNNNNNNNNNNNNNNNNNNNNNNNNNNNNNNNNNNNNNNNNNNNNNNNNNNNNNNNNNNNNNNNNNNNNNNNNNNNNNNNNNNNNNNNNNNNNNNNNNNNNNNNACAAGAAGGAGGGGGCGUCAACACCGUAGUCGAUCGGGGUACCAGCAGCAGCAUCAGCCUCGUAGUCUACCGAAGAGAAGAGGGGAAAGAAACAAUAAAUACAAUGCAACAUAAGCAUGAUGAUGCGUGACAAAGCAAACGGCGGUGUUAGGUGACCCUCACGCGGUAUUAGGUGAUACCGGCGAAGGGGAAAAAACAUCCGGGAAAGUAUCCCCAGUGUUUCGCGUUUCGGGCAGAGGAGCCGGAGGGGGAAAGUUGCGAGUUUGAUAUGAUAAGGGUGUGUGGCGGACGAACGGGUUGCGUAUCCGGAUUCGUCUCAUCGUUCUGAGCAACUUUCAUGUAUAAAACUUUUUCAUUCAAGCUACGGAUUAUUUUAUAUUGAUUUUCAAAGCUUUAAGCAAUAUCCUAAAAAUCCCUGAAAUUCUACUAAGUCUGAGAUUUCGUCAGUUUUAAACAUCACUUUGCUGUUUUCAAAACGCUACAACUAUUGUUCUGUACAUCCUCUGUUUUUGUGCUUUAUACCAAUUUUGAGCAUUUUUCUAUGAUCUACAAGAUAGUAGCACUUGCAUCUCUGUUAGAGUGCAUUUGCUUGAUCAUCAACAGCUCUAAAGUAGCUAUGAAAUUAAAGCCAUUUUCGGCUUUUCUAUUAACAGAACAUUGAACUUUGUGAUUUUCGUAUGAUUUAAUCCAGGCAUCUAACGGAUUAGGUCCAAUGAAAACAUUUGAGCCUUGUCAAGUGUACUAUCUUCCCAUAAUAUUUUUGCUCCUGUUAAAAGUCAUUUAGUCGAUGUUUAGGGGCUGUUCAGAGGGUUAAACAGUGUAGAAUUAGAAAAGCUAGCUCGCAUCAGCUACAGUAACUAGCAGCAUUACAACGGCAGCAACAGAGUAGCAGAGGCCGGGUGCUUGCGGGCGCGGCGGUUGUGAGCAGGCGCCGGGCGGCAGUGGGUGCGGGCACGCGCGUACGCGCAGCCGGGCGCAACCGGUCGUGGCCAGAGGCCAGCGAGCGCGGGCACGGCGUGACGGCGCGAGCAGCGGCAUGCAACGGUAGAACGCAUCAGCAACACGCAUCAGUUUUAGAGGAGCGGCAGCAUGCACGUACGCGAACACUGAACUUUUGCCAUGGUGGACAAAGCUCACGGGACGGCCACAAACGGAACGGAUCGAGCCGGAGAAGAGGGGGAAUCGGACGAGGAGCUCACCGCGGAGGCACACGGAGGCCCGUUGGUGGCUUAGGAGCUGCAGAGGCGACGGAUCGAUGAAGAGCAGCGGCGACGACCGAGGAAGAAGAAGGCGUCGAUCCGGUCGAGGUGGUUGCUCCGAGCUCGAGUUGAUCCGCGUAGGGGAAGCAGGGCAUGCUGGUGGAGCUCCUGGGCAUUCUCCGAUGGUGCUGGGAGGCUAGUGGCCGCGCCUACGGCGGCGGUAUGGCGACGGCAGCGCCGACGAGGUCGGGCGUGUGGGAGAGGGGCAAAGAGAGGGGGAUCUGGAGGGCAGCUAGGGUUCAACCAGGGCAUGGGUGUCCUUGUAGGUCGAUGGGGGCGACGGGGACGGCCGCAGGAUGGCCGACGUGUGGCCAUGCGCGUCAUGGACGCGUGUGCGGCGUCCACCGCGACGGUGAACAGGGGGAGGGAAGGGAUGGCCCGGGGUUGGGCCAGCUAGGCCAGUUGGGCCGGCACUGUGCACUAGGCCUAGUGCACAAUGUCCCCUUUUCCUUUUCUUUAACCUUUUCGUUUUCCUUUUGUCUGUUUUAUUUCUUUUCUGUUUCUUUUAGUUGUUGUUUAUCCUAGCGUUAACCAUAUACCAAAGUGGCACCUAAAUGGAUGUCACCAAUUAUGCCACUGCCAAAUUAAAAUUUUCUACCCAAAGUAAAAUAGUUUUGUAAUUAAUUAUUAUUUAGAAGUAUUUAAAUAAUAGUUUUGCUACUGUUUUAUUCAUCUUAGAGUAUUUAAGCAUUCUAUAAAAGUGUUGUUUCUCCACCAUAAUUACCUAUGCGAUAUUUGGUUCUCUCCGAACAUUUUAGUUUUAAAAUUUAAAAACUUUUAUUGUUUGUUUGAUUUUGGAUUUGAAUUCGAACCGGUUUCGAACUAACGUGAGAUUAGCAACAGUAAUCGAGGUGAUGUGGCAUCAUUAGUAGAGGUUCACUGUAGCUUGAAUAUCCGGGCGUCACAAUUACUAACCUUGAAGAACUUUUUUUUAACCUGAUGCUUCGGAACGGUCAUUAUGCGUGCCCAAAUAAAAGGAACUGCUUAUAACUUGGCAGAUUAUGCAUACCUAAAAGAAUAAUUGAGUAGUGGAUGUUCAAGCAUCAAAAACUUUUCAACCGGAUGUUCCUUACCACACAUCAAGUCAAUCUUAACAUUUUUCUGACCCCAUGUCUUCUUCAUUCAGCAGCAACUUAAAAGAUUGUACUUAAUUAUAGAAUAAAUAAAAUGCAUAUCAGACUUGAGUAUAUAUUAUAUAAAAGAUGUGAGUCCAGAAAGAAGUCCAAUUUUAGUCCAUGAUGUGUAAAUAGUCCAAUUUUAGUCCAUGAUGUGUAAAUAGUCCAGAAUUUAGUCUGCUUGGCUAGCGAGCUAGUGUCACCGCACCAUUUUUCAACCUCACCCUUUGAGCGUCAUCGCUCUCUCGUGAUGUGGCUUCCUGGAUGCCUUGCCUGCGGUCGACCUAGUGCUUCUUGACAGCCAACACGUCAAGCCCUUCAUGGUUGCGUUGCCACAUGGUAACAGAGGCAACUGCAAGUAACAACGACAGUCCAAGUAGAACAAAUAAGAUGAUUAUGAACUGGUCCUUCUGUUGCUUACCUAUCUGGUGGUCCAUGCUGCCCACAUAUUUGAGGAUUUACAGUGAGGAAAUUGAACCUUAAAUUAGAUGACAACAAGCUAUAUAAAUAAAUAUUUUGCAAGAACAGAAUGAAUGUAUACUAACUUCAAAAUGUAGUUAUCUGAUUAUCUAGGUGUGGUUAGUUGGGAGUCAAUUGUCGUUUUAUCUGAUUAUCUCUCAGACGAAAUCAGUAAGACCAAAAAUUGCCGUGCACCCAUCAGUCUGACAAAAUCAGUAAGACCAAAAAUGUAAGUACUCAUCAUCUGCUACCCGUGAGGAAUCAGUGGUUUGCCACCAAAUGAUGGGUAAACAAAAAUGCAGCUGAAGCAUGUUGCACAUGCCCUUGAAAAUAUAGAGCCAACGCUGAACCAUUUCAAAAAAAUGAUGACAGGUCCACUACGCCCCCUUGCUAGCUCAACUAAACACCUAACAAUGCCCUCAAAAUCAACACUGACACUCGUGGCUGAAUAAAAAAAAUCAACAACACUUCUCGCAACUAAACAUUGGCCUGGACAUGAAACUGCAUGGAUUAAUUAAUAACGAUCUUAUAGUAUGCCUAUGUGUGUACCCGCGCGUGGUCGUCACGACAAGGCAGACUUUGUCAUCCAUGGUAACAAGGCUUAAGUUGUGCACGCCAGAGGAACUACGCGAAGAGGCACUAAAGGGGUGCUCUCCCUCACAAGUAUUCCAUGGUCGACCACCAUAGCGAGCCGAACACCACAGAUGCAGGGACCCCUUGACUGACACGUCAACCAUGCUUGUUUCAGUAAGAAAUUUACAUGCACUUUUAGCGAGUCAAGAUAUUGGCGCCAACAAUUACAUAAACCAAACAAUGAUAUAAGUAUAGAAGCCAUUCGAUUAUUUAACUACAACACAUCCAUCUAGCUAACUAAAACAAUAACCAAAAUAUAUGAAAAAGGGAUAAUACUAACCAUAAGCUUGUAUAUCUUCAGUCUUGGCUCAUAACCAAACAACUUGAAAAGGUAGAAACUGCUGAUAGUAAAAAGAAGGUAAGUGAAACAAUUAUGAGAUUUUCAAAGAGAAGUUCACUUUAGUUGUAUGCAACCUUCGGCAACCAUGUCUUCAUGUGAGCAUCUCCUCAAGCUAGCAAUAGUUCACCGUGACCCUUCUUUGCUUCUCACCCAGCCUAUAGGAUCGGCAAUCAAUUUAUUCAAUGAGAGAAACAAACUUAAGUACAAAAAUGAUGAAAUUCGAACAUAAUUAGAAAUAACCUAAUGCAAUCAAAUCAACCAAUAAACUGAUUAAGAUUUUUUUCAAAAGGGGAUAACCCAACUGAUUAGAACAUUACUUGCUAGAUUUCCUGUCCUUGUGUAUCAUAUGAAUACUCCAUGCACAUCAACAUGUCAGGGGUGAUGUGGCCACACAUGGGUUCCUCUUGUGUACCGAUCGAAUGGAACCACUUCAUCCACGGAGGCGGCGUCCCUAGGGAUCGGCAGAGGCGGCGGCGUGCCCUCGGCUUCCGCAGGUGGUGGUGGGAGGUGGGACGGAAAAAAACCGAACGAAAGUGGUGGGACAAAAAAAACCAUGCCGUGGACACAAUCCUACCAACUGCUCCAUUAGGAGUAGAGACAAAAGCAAGGCUGCACACACCUAGGUUCGGCGCUCUUAAUUAAAUUUAACAAACAACAAAGAAUUGAAUGUCAAAAUUCAUCAAAGUUACUUAAUCUGUUGUGAGCGAUGACUUGUUGCACAUACCAGAGGUCUAAUAUUCUUUCAUUCUCUUCUCUUCUCUUUCGGAGUAAUAUGCAAAAUUAGCUAGAUCCAUGCCCAGUCUACACUAAAAGAGCAUAAGAACUUAUUUCUGGGAUUAUAGGCUAAACAGAAGUAUGGCAAGCUACGCAGAUAACAAGGCAACUCGGAACUAUUUUUUCAAGCAAAUGUAAACAGUAUCAGACACACAUAAAUCAUACCACAGUAUCAUACUUCAGACGUAAACCGAACAAACAAAAUUCAUAUCAGAGUAUUUAGACAUAAGUUGUUUACAUCAGCCAACAUUAUAUCCAACGGAACUUGAGGAAAUUAUGUUCUUAAAUACAGAGAAGGUUUACCUCACUGAAUGGAUCUUUUAUAUCAUCACGCUCGAUGCUGCUUUCCUGUAGAGUGCAGACAUGCAAGUUAAUUACUAUGCAUAAGAAGUCCAGCAGGUGUAUUAGGACCACCAUAUACUUACAUAGUUAGGAAAAAUAACCAUGUCAACAUCAUCAGGGACGUCAGCUAACAGGCGUCUGAUGGAAUACUACCGGGAUAUAACAACUCAUCGGUGUCUAGAUGCAUUAUCCAAUCCAUGCCAGAUUCCUACCAUGAAGAAAAAUGCUUUUUGUUUAUGAUAAAUACAAUACACUAAACGGACACUAUUAAUAAUUGCUGGUGAUAAGCCGAAAACAAACAUACAUACCCGGGCCAUCACAAUGGCCAUCUCCAUGUUGAGUGCUUGCUUCAAAAACAGUUUGUGGUUGCAAGGCUUGUAGAAGAAUCCUGCGAGCCAGGUUUCGUUCCAGAUUCGGCUGCAGGUGAAACAUAUACAUCAUCAGAAUGGGCAUCGAAAUGAAUUUGUGUAAAGCCCGACGAGGCAUGCGGGCGGCGAAGAUUGUUUCAGACCACCUGGCCUGCUGCUCCUCAAACUCCUUGGUCCUGUACACCACCUUCACACCCCUAAAGAAGAAGAAGAGAAACAGAGUCAGAGAUUGAGAACAAGCAGAGUGAAAUUGGUACUACUGGAUUCUUGGAAAUCUCAAGCGAGGAACGCACGGGGAUGGACUCGAGGACCCCGGCGACGCUGGGCUUGGCGGCCUUGCCCUCGACGAAGAGCAAAAAGUGUGUGAUGCCGAUGACCUUGUGGUAGAAGAGCCACGGCAGGAUCUGGUCCAGGCCUGCGGAGGUGCUCGUUUGCACGCAUACCUGGCAAGCAAGUAAAAGAUCAGCAGGUCGGACACAUCGGCCAUGGUGAGUAGCUUCAUGGUGGUCCGUGCUGAGUAGCUUCAAGUGUAAUCUUGAAAAGCAAUCAGUAUUAAAAUCAGUUGAUUCAGAAAUAGAAAAGGCAUCAAGGAAGCAACGUACCUCAAACUCUGGAACAAGACCUUGGUCUGCAGCAACCUUUUGCAUCAACCGGAACCAUGGGCCAAUUCGAGGGUUUGGCACCGCUGCCCAUCCAGGCCUCCCACCUUGAGGGGGGGGGGUCUCAUCCUCCCUCAGAUGUGGCACACCUUCAGAAGUAGAUUCACAAGAAUGAGCAAACCAUCAAUUAUAAAACAAUGAUUGUGGUAAGAAGGAACCACUAAUUAGUAAUCAACAUGCCUGUAUGCAUGUGGGUUGAAAAGCAUGGACAUUGCUCACAAACCAUGAAACCAAACAAUCGCAGGCUCACAGUAUACAUGGAAAUCAGGAAAAAUAUAGAAUAUAAUUAACUGCCAGUAUGCUAGAAGAAUAAGUGCAGUAACUUUCGAAUGUAUUAACAAUUUGUAUAUGGUAUCAUAUUUACGUAUUUAAUAGGAUUUUACACAUAACAUAUCGAGGUUUGAUUGCACCUAUGUGUUAAACAAGAUACAGACAGAUGAAUGCGGAACCAACUGAUUGGAUGGACAGUGAGUGCAGGGCGGUUGGAGACCUCGUAAACAGCCUCUCAAGUGGCUUCCUGCCCCCGAUGGUCAAGAUCAUCAUCUGCAACAAUGCUGCGUUCAUGCUUCAAUAACCUAACAUUCCCAUUUGUAAAGCUCUCCAUCCCCUCCUAAAAACAAAUAUCAGCAACGGUUAGUUGGGAACAUAAUGGACCAUACGAAUAAAUAAAAUAAGGAUAAAAAUUGCAGGUAACUUUUAACUGAGAUCAGAGCCAGUGGAACAUAAUGGACCAUUGUUUUGUUACAUUAGAUCCCUAUACACCAAUGAGGUAUGCAAUUUACUACGGUAUACUCAUGGAUAAAAAAAUCUAGGGACAACGCACCUACUAAUCAGUGUGCUUGUUACUCCCAGAUUGCGCUCACUGCCACUAUGUUGGCAGCAACAGCGGCCAUGCCUCCGGUAACAAGUGUACUUCCAGAUACUGAAAUAGUCUCCAUACACAGCUUUGGCAACAAAUUUCUAUUUUUUGUAUCAAAACCUAGAAAUAUAGGUUGAAUCUAUUCUUCAAGACAAAUCUAACCAAAUUAUUUCUUUUAGACUAACCAAAAUAAUGAUACGGAAUACAGUCAGAAUAAUUUUACUGCACGCAUUCUAUGAUGACAUCUAUCCCCACAUGGAGGUUUUCAGUAGACAAACAAAAAGCGAAAUUCUGGCCUUCACGAAGCAAAUCGUGAGGCAGGGAUUUCUCUCAUCGAACAAGCUUCCUGCUUCACAGGUCGGAUACAUCGGUCGCCGACCGGCGAGGAAGAGGGCGGAGGUGAGACUGGAAAGGUAGUACUCUGGGGUGGUGUGUGUCUGACGCGUCGAAGUGGAAGGACCAGCCGCAGAGGUAGGGGAAGGCGGGGGCGGCGAGCACCUCGACGCAGGAGGCGGCGAAGGAUUGGAGGGACUGCAACCUCGACGGGGCCGGCACGGCCAGGCAAGGGGAGACGGCGUCGUCCACGCCGCCGCCACGCCACUGGAGCGCGAAUGUGAGGAGGGCGAGCGCGAGCAGUUGGGCGGUGAGGAGGAGCAGCAGGUGGCGCCGCCGCCGACGCGGUGGAGGACGGCGAUCGGAGAUCGGGCCGAGGGCGACGCGCCGACGCCAGAGAAGAGCACAACCCUAGGUGGUGGGGGGGGCGCGACGGGAGGUGGCGGGGGCGGCCGCGAUGGGCGGCCGCGUUUGAGGGAGGGAGAUGGGGGAGGGGAUCGGCGGCGGCUGCGAGGGCGAGGGCGGCGGCUUGAUGUGUGAGGGCGACGGCGAAGGAUCUGGUGGGGCGUCGCCGGGAGUGAGGGAGGAGAUGGGGGCGGGCGGGGUCGGCACCGGGAGUGAGGGAGGAGAUGGGGGCAGGCGGCGCCGGGAUCGGGGAGGAGAUGGGGGCGGGCGGCGCCGGGAGCCAGGGAGAAGGUUGGGGGUUGGAGGCAUCGAUCGUAGGGUUUUUUGGCACGGUUUUUUUUCACGGGUGGGUUGCGAGUUAACAAAGGUGGGAGGAUGACAAAAAAACCAGCAAAAAUAAACCGCACAGAGUAUUCACCAACUGCUCCAUUAGGAGUAGAGAUGAAGUGGCACAGAAAGCUCAAGUAAAAGGGGAAAUAUAUUGUGUAUACCAUGAUUUAUUACUUAUAUUUGUCCAACCAAAAGAAAAUUUACACACCAAAGUACAGAUCACAAAACGUCCGGAGUACAUACUAGAAGCCCAUAUUCAACUCCACAAAACUCAGAACUCGGAUAUUGUGGGAAGUUUUAUUUCGGGAAGUUGUAUUGUAUCUCCAUCUUAUUAUUCUGCAAGAGGUGGCCAGACCGGCACCUCAAACUUUCACAAGUAGCGGCCGCCAGCCAGGCUCAGUGCUGCCCGGGCAGCUUUUCCUUGAUCUUGUCCAUGAUGCCCUUCUUUUCGCCGGCGCCAUCGGUGACAUGCGUCCCAGUACCGGUCAUUCCGGUGUGUCCUGGCUGCCCGUAGGUACCGCCUGUGGCCGCGGAGCCAUGUGCCCCGGUGCCGGCCAUGCCAGUACCCUGCUGUCCGUAGGUGCCAUCGGCGUGCUGCUGGUCACCGUGGCCACCAGGGAGCUUCUCCUUGAUCUUAUCCUUGAUGCCCUUCUUCCUCCUCCCGCCCAUGCCAUCAUCCUCAGACUAUCACGCCGAACGAGAAAAUUCAGUCGUUGAUGCUUUUUCAUUCAAAGUCUAAACGGGAAAAUGCAACUAUUGCAAGUGUUAGCAAGAAGUAUAUAUAUACGCACCGAGCUGGAGCUCGAGCUGCCGGAGCGCUGCAGGAUCCCGCCGGCCUUGUGCUCCUCCCUCGUGGGCUGGAAAUGCCCACCAGUGGCAGCGCCGGUGCCGCUGCCUCCGUGCGCGCCCAUGCCGGUGCCUACGCCAUGUCCGGCAACCGGGUUACCGUACUCGUCGACGCGGUUGGUCGCCUGGCCGUGCUGCUGCUGUCCCUGGUACUCCAUCUUGCAGACUUGCACAGGUGUUGAUCUUGGUUGUCUUCCCGACUUGGCUGCAACUCGUGGCUGUGUUGUGUAAGCAGGUCCAGCACGAGGCACAAUUUAUAGCCGACGGGAUAGGAUCGUCGGAGGCGCUACGUGUGCUCGCGGGAGCGGGUUGCCGGUGACUGAUGACUAGCCCAUAAAGAGAGGCCGGACGUGUGCAGCUACUGGGCGCCUUCGGGUUGCCACGUCUGAGCUUGUUCUCGAAGAGGUGAUGACACACAAGGGACACUUCCAAAAGUCGUCUUGUUUGCUUCGGAAACUGACAGCUCGAAGCGUCGGCAUGGAACAAAAAUGGAACUAUAUGGACCAAAGGUAUCCUAUCAUUAAAAGUAGGCGCGUUCGGGUUAUUAUGAUCGAGCAAUAUCAAAUUCAUUUUUAUGCCCGCGAGGAUGUCCAUCGCACGUCCAUGAAAAUAUGCAUCGACUGAAAAUCAUAACCCUGCUCAUUAAAAAUGGGAAAAUGGGUCGGCAGGUGAUGGUAUGCUAGCAACACAAGGCGAAGUAGGUUAGGUGACAGAAGUUGAGUGCAAGGGCUGAGUCUCAGGGUGAAAACUUAUGAUCCACCUUCAUUGGUUGAACAUGGGAAUGUUGUUGUUCAUAUGACAUUCUCUAGUUGAAGACAUUGCAUGAAGUUUACUCAAACUCCUCUUCGAGGUGAAAAUUCACGAUCUAACCUUAGUGGUUGGUUACAACGACGACAGCGCUCAUGUGUUGUUCUCUUCCUGAAAGCAUCAUUGUUGAAGCACCUAUACCUCCCUAAAAGCAUCAUUGUUAAAGCACGUAUACUGUUACCUAUGGGUGCUAUCAUUGAUGCUUGUCGUCAUUGUUGUUGUCGUUUGCUGGGGGUGUUGUUCACCUUUUUUUCUUCUUCCUUUCGUAAUAAUGUUGUUCUAUGCAUUUGAGUAAUAAAUAUCUUCCCAAUAUUUUAUAUUUCAUAUCGGAAAAAAUAUACGUAGGGCUUCAACUGAUCGAACUAGUGGAUCCCAUCUGCCCCCGCGUCGCGCCCUCCCCAGGGCGACACGGGUGGCGAAAAACACCAGCCUCUCCUCGCCUCACCCAUCCCAUCCACCCCCUCGCCAUCGCCGGUGGCCUCUGACAUGCAAAGCAUGCGUGGAGCCGGCGGCGGCGGGGCUCGUGCUCCUCGCCGGCUGCUCUUUUGAUGGGGAGAUCUCAGGCGGCUGGUGAUAGUCCGGAGCUCGUCUUCACGGCGGCGUCCUCGAUUGUGGCAGCGCUAGUCGCUUGUGCGCAGCGCGGUGUCACCACGAUGGGAGCUCCGUCGCGGGCGUGCGGUUGUAGGCCAGCCACAAGCAAGACUCAUGUUACUUCAUUCAGUUUUGGUUAGGAGAACAAGUAAUCGAGGAAAGGAGGUCGGUGAUCUGAGCUAGGAGCCUAGAACAGGACUGUCAUUAUGCUGAAGUUUCCGGACGAGAUUUGAGCUGACUUGUAACUUGUCGGGAUGGCAUUUGUCAAGAUUCAAGAUGAAUGAGAGAGACAACAGCCUGGUAUGAACUUCCAUGAAAAGCAAGUAUGAAACGCCAUGCACAAUACUCUCUUCGUUUUUAAAUAUAAGUCUUUGUAGGUAUUUCACUAUGGACCGUAUACAAAUAUAUAUAGAUGCAUUUUGUGUGUAGAUUCACUCAUUUUGCUCCGUAUGUGGUCCGUAAUGAAAUCUCUCCAAAGACUUAUACUCCCUCCAUCCGAAAAUACUUGUCAUCAAAAUGAAUAAAAAGAGAUGUAUCUAAAACUAAAAUACAUCUAGAUACAUCUUCUUUUAUCCAUUUUGAUGACAAAUAUUUCCGGACGGAGGAAGUAUUUAGGAACGGAGGGAGUACAUUCAUCCCGAAUUCCACACGUAAGUGAGUACGUCCACUCACACUCCACACGCGGUGUGGUGUGUUGCGCGUACGGCCGGUCGCCCUCUCAUUUCAUUGCACGGCAGUGAUCGCGCGCGCGAUGCCAAAGUUUAACACUGCCAUCCUGAGUGGCCAGUGUGAUAUUAUGGCGGUACCAAUGAAAAGAAAGCCUAUAGUUGAACGUUGCUAACAAAUUUUGAUGCCCCGUCUUAUUGAUUGGCCCUUGAUAGAUCGAUAUGCACGUGCCUUGGAUUACUUUAACAUAAAUAAACAUGGUUGUCUGAGCUACUCCCUUCGUUCCUAAAUAUUUGUCUUUCCAGAGAUUUCAACAAAUGAUUACAUACGAAGUAAAAUGAGUGAAUCUACACUCUAAAAUAUGUCUAUAUACAUCCGUAUAUUAUAGUCCAUUUAAAAUGUCUAGAAAGACAAUUUUUGGAAACUGAGGGAGUAGAAGCGUAGAAUAGGACUAUUCUUGUGCGGAAGUUUCCACGCAUGGUGUGAGCUGAUUUGUUACUUGGAUGGUCCUUGUCAAGAUGGAUGAGGAAGAGCAACAGCUCAUCGAAACGUGUAUGAACUUCCAUGAAACGGAGGUAUGAAAUGGCAUGCAUAGUAUUUCCUCCGUUUUUAAAUAUUUGUCUUUUUAAAGAUUUCAAAUGAACUAUCGCAUAAGGAUGUAUAUAGACAUACUUUAAAGUGUAAAAUCAUUCAUUUUGUUCCGUAUGUAGUCAUUUGUUGAAAUCUCUAGAAAAGCAAUAUUUAGGAAUGGAGGGAGUACAUUCUUCCCGAAUUCCACGCGUCAACUCACACUCCACACGGCGGUGUGUUGAGUUGUGUGUACGGCCGGUCGCCCUCAUGCAUACCAUUGCACGGCCGAGAUCAAACGGGUUCACAGAACUAACACUACCAUUGACUCAUUUAGCCUAGGUCCUACCUGUUAUUGCCAAAGGUAUGUUGGUACUCCUACUCGAUCUCGUUGUCUCCACGGGGAAGAGCCGUGCUCGAAAAGUAUGCAUUCGAUGUGAAAAGCUUACCGCAGUCAGCUUGAACCCCCUGCCCUUCUCCGCCUUGUAUCUGGAGGCAGCGAUAUAUAACCGCCGCAGAAGCAGAGCAGCAAAAGAACACACCAAGGCGUGCUUUGGUGAGGAGAAAUUCAGGUAUUUCCCCAUCUCAUUCAAACAUUUGCGUUCUGCAAGCAAAGCUUGUGUCUCAAACAUGUCUUGGCAUGCUUCAAAAUCGCCCAGCUCCUCCAUGUCAUGUUCUUCUUUCUACCAUUUUAGGCUGAAAUUAAACGAUGCAAUACACCAUACAGAGUUGUCUGCAGGUUGUGCCCCCCAAUGUUCUUGCUUUUUCUUACAUUGAUCUUGCUCGCUUGCGAUUUUUUGUUAUUAUGGUGCAAAACUCUCUACUUGACGAGUUUACCCGACUUCAAACUAAAUUAUAUAUGAAAACCAUUGUGCUCCCUCUGUUCCAAAAUAACUUAAGUGAUAUGAUUUUCCUAAGUGAAACUUUCACUGACCUCUAUUCAUCCUCGCGUCUGUGGCCCCAGCGUCGCAGCACAACCCCUUGGCAUCCCAGCAGCUUCGCUAGAACCUCACAGUGCCCCCCCCCCUCCAUGUGCUUCCGUUUGCCGACAUGGUGGCUCAUCACCGUUGCCGCAUCCCCGCGUUGUUCCUCCCCGUGCAUAGCUAGUGCCUCCAUUUGAUCAAGUCUAUAUAAAAUAUAUCAGAAUUAUUUCAUUAGAUUCAUUAUGAAAUAUAUUUUCAUAUUAUGUAUAUUUGAUAUCGUAGAUCUUUGUGGAUUAUUCUAUAGACUUGGUCAAACCUAAAAAAGUUUGACUUAUGAAAAUCCUAGAACUUCAAUUAUUUGGGAACGGAGGGAGGACUAACUAUUACUACUCCUACAAACCACGAGCCUUUUAUUGGACAUAGUAUAUUGCACAAUUACAGUUAAAGUACUGUCUUGUAAUACUAGGUUGCAAUUUUAUGGCAAAAUCUCAUGACUCUGGCUCCUAUGUUUUUUUCAUGUCAAUCAUAUAAGCAUGCAUUCAAGGCUAAAUUUGUUGAACGUUGUUGAUUGCCAGGGAACUGCUCCAAAAUGUUGCCUGUUAUAAAAUUUGCUCUCUUGCCAUCUGUGCUCAUACUGGCAUCAGCUUCAAGUUUCCGGGCACUGGCAUCCAGCAAUAAGACUGAUCUGGAUGCCUUGAUAGCAUUAAAGGCGGGUCUAAGCCGUCACUCGGAUGCACUAGAUUCAUGGAACAUAACUGCUGACUUCUGCCAAUGGCAUGGUGUCAUCUGCAGCCUCAAUCAUAAGCAAAGGGUCUCAGCACUUAAUCUCUCCUCGGCGGGGCUUCGUGGAUAUGUAGCUCCUUCCCUGGGGAACCUCACUUACCUGAGAAGUCUAGAUCUCAGCUACAAUCUAUUUCAUGGUGAAAUCCCAUGGACAAUUGGCCAGUUGUCACAAAUGUCAUAUCUUGACCUCUCAAACAACUUGCUCCAGGGAGAAAUUCCUUGGACAAUUGGCCAGCUCAGACAGUUAUCACACCUCUAUCUCUCAAAUAAUUCAAUUGAAGGUGGGAUCAUGUAUGGCCUGAGGAACUGCACCCGUCUUGUCAGCAUCAAACUUGACCUGAAUAAGCUCCACCAAGAAAUCCCUGAUUGGCUUGGAGGCUUGUCAAGGAUUGAGGUCAUGUCACUAGGGAAGAACAAGUUCACAGGGAUCAUCCCACCAUCACUUGGCAACUUAUCAUCGCUGCGGAUAUUGAACAUCAAUGACAACCAGUUGAGUGGUCCAAUUCCUGAGAGUCUUGGCAGGAUCAGUAAGCUUGAGAAGCUAGGACUGCAAGUAAACCACCUCUCAGGCACCAUCCCAAGAACGGUCUUUAACAUGUCCUCACUCGCCCACAUUGGUCUGCAGAUGAACGAGCUAAGCGGCACACUUCCCUCCGAUUUGGGCAAUGGGCUACCAAAAAUCGAUCACCUUAUCCUUGCUUCGAACCAUUUCACUAGAAGAGUUGCAUCUUCACUUGCAAAUGCAACCACAAUUCAGUCACUUGACCUCUUUGGUAACAAACUCAUUGGAUCCGUGGCUCCAGAGAUUGGAGCACUCUGCCCGAACUUCCCGAUUCUUAAGGGAAACCAGCUGAAGUCAAGCACUGCCCAGGACUGGGGGUUCAUCACUUCAUUAACAACUUGUACUAGUGUUAAUGGUGUCAUAUUGCGACACAACAGGUUUAGUGGUGUGCUUCCAAGUUCUAUCGCAAACCUGUCCAGGCAACUCGAAUUUUUUGAUAUUAGUUUCAAUGAGAUUUAUGGCAAGAUACCAGUUGGCAUUGGAUACUUCCCUUAUCUAAUCAAGCUCGGACUCUCUAGCAAUCGAUUUACAGGUGCCAUACCAGACAACAUAGGGAACUUGAAAAUGCUCCAGUGGUUGACACUAGAUAAUAGCCGUAUUUCUGGCACGAUGCCGUCCUCGCUCGGGAACUUAACACAGUUGGAGGACCUUUCAGUAGCUAACAAUGUCUUGCAAGGAUAUCUUCCAGCAAACCUUGGAAAUCUCCAACGGCUCGUUGAUGCAAACUUUUCAAACAAUGCGCUUUCAGGUCCCUUACAUAGAUAGUUUUUUAGCCUGUCAUCCUUGUCAUACAUUCUGGAUUUGUCUAGGAAUUGUUUCAGUAGUUAUCUUCCAUCCCAAGUAGGUGGCCUCACAAAGCUCACAGACUUGUACAUCCAUGAGAACAACCUAUCUCGGACGCUGCCAGAUGCUCUCAGCAAUUGUGAGAGCUUGAUGGAGCUCCGUUUGGAUGUUAACUACUUCAAUGGUAUCAUUCCUAUGUCCAUAAGCAGAAUGCGAGGCUUGGUACUGCUGAAUUUUAGCAAAAACGCGCUCACAGGUGCAAUCCCUCAAGAGAUAGGACUCAUGAAUGGCCUGAAAGAACUGUACCUUGCACACAAUAAUUUGUCUGCAUAGAUUCCCGAGACCUUGGAAAGCAUGACAUCACUUUACCGGCUAGACAUAUCCUUCAACCUUCUUGAUGGGCAAGUCCCAGCACGUGGUGUCACUGGUAAAAAAAGAGGCUUCCGUCCAGCCCCAUUAGUCGCGAAACUAUAGGAACCGCGACUAAUGAAGUCUUUAGUCGCGGUUCGGCAGACGAACCGCGACCAAAGGCCUGGGCCCAGGGCGCUCGGUGGCCAGCUGGUGCACGUGAGGGGAUUUAGUCGCGGUUGGCCAGGCCAACCGCGACUAAAGGUGCCCAAAGGCCUUUAGUCGCGGUUGACUAAAGCUCCUCCCCUAUAUAUACCAGUUCAGCACGCUCGUCGCCUUUAGUUUUAUUUUUCUGAAUUUUUUAAUAUAUUAUUUGUAUUUUUAAGAUUUUGAAAAAUACCUUUAGUCGNNNNNNNNNNNNNNNNNNNNNNNNNNNNNNNNNNNNNNNNNNNNNNNNNNNNNNNNNNNNNNNNNNNNNNNNNNNNNNNNNNNNNNNNNNNNNNNNNNNNNNNNNNNNNNNNNNNNNNNNNNNNNNNNNNNNNNNNNNNNNNNNNNNNNNNNNNNNNNNNNNNNNNNNNNNNNNNNNNNNNNNNNNNNNNNNNNNNNNNNNNNNNNNNNNNNNNNNNNNNNNNNNNNNNNNNNNNNNNNNNNNNNNNNNNNNNNNNNNNNNNNNNNNNNNNNNNNNNNNNNNNNNNNNNNNNNNNNNNNNNNNNNNNNNNNNNNNNNNNNNNNNNNNNNNNNNNNNNNNNNNNNNNNNNNNNNNNNNNNNNNNNNNNNNNNNNNNNNNNNNNNNNNNNNNNNNNNNNNNNNNNNNNNNNNNNNNNNNNNNNNNNNNNNNNNNNNNNNNNNNNNNNNNNNNNNNNNNNNNNNNNNNNNNNNNNNNNNNNNNNNNNNNNNNNNNNNNNNNNNNNNNNNNNNNNNNNNNNNNNNNNNNNNNNNNNNNNNNNNNNNNNNNNNNNNNNNNNNNNNNNNNNNNNNNNNNNNNNNNNNNNNNNNNNNNNNNNNNNNNNNNNNNNNNNNNNNNNNNNNNNNNNNNNNNNNNNNNNNNNNNNNNNNNNNNNNNNNNNNNNNNNNNNNNNNNNNNNNNNNNNNNNNNNNNNNNNNNNNNNNNNNNNNNNNNNNNNNNNNNNNNNNNNNNNNNNNNNNNNNNNNNNNNNNNNNNNNNNNNNNNNNNNNNNNNNNNNNNNNNNNNNNNNNNNNNNNNNNNNNNNNNNNNNNNNNNNNNNNNNNNNNNNNAAGAAGAUGAUAUCUCUUCUUAUCUGAACCUUGACGGUGAAGAUGAAGGGCGCCGUCAGCAAGAUGAUGCCGAACAAACGUCGAUAAACGACGAUCUUCAAAUGGAAGUAGCAACCACCUCCGGCGCCGAGGUAUAUAUAUACAUUGAGCCUCUGGUGAUACAAACUAACUGAUUUGAAUAAAUAUGUGUGUACUAACGCGCGCGACUCUCUUUCUUAUUUUAGCCCUCGGCCGGAUCGUCGAAACAAUCGAGUACGUCGUCAAAGCGUGGCGCAACCAAGACGAUGAAACAAGGAGAAACAUGCACCAUCGAGGUUGUCGACAGUGCAACCGGCAGGCCGCUGGAGCCCCGCAAGAACGCCACCAAGUUUGUCAACCAAUGCGGAGCCAUUGUUAGAGACAACGUCUCGAUCACCGUCCAGGAGUGGAAUAAGCCAAAGAAGGCACGAAUUGCUGGUUUCACUUUUGUCGAUAAGAGAACAAAAAAGAUUAAGGAAUGCAGAGUAAGGAACAUCCAUGAUGUUGGGUUCAUUGACCCACACAUCGUUAAUGGAUAUGUGUUGGAGCAUCACCCCGCCGACAUGGAGGCAGACCUGUGGCAGUUUCUUACAAAGCAGGAACUCAGCAGGAACUCAAAAGUGAUAUUCUAUUUCCUUACCAUUUUGGGUGAGUGUUUCUGUCUUGAGCACAUUCUCUUUUGUUUACUCCAUGCAUGGUAUGUGGCCGGCUAAUCGAUGAGUUAUGCAUGACGUACUGUGCAUGUAUCGUGUCCGCAGGUUCCACUGGAUUCUGCUAGUAAUUAAAGUUGACACCUCAGAAUGUCUCGUCCACGACUCUCUGAAUAAGGAUCCAAAGCUUUGGGGCGGCAUGAGAAGAAUGCUGCAGAAGUAAUUAUUUUCAUUCAUUUGCGCUCUAUAUCGAUCGGCCUAUUUCGUUCAUUUCCUAAUAUCAAGUAACUAAUAACUCUCUUGUUCAUUUAAUUUUCUUUGCCUCGUAGGGUUUGGAGACGGUUCGUAGAUACAAAGGUCGGUGAAUUCAAAAAAGAGCUAGAAUUCAAAAGGUCAAAGGCUAAGAAUGGUGAGGAUAUUCAGCCAGUGGGGACCAAUCUAUGUGCAUACUAUGUCUGUGAGAUGAUCCGGAGAUACACCUCUGAGCGGGUUCCGAGUGAUACCAAUGCUCAGAGGAAUAACCUCCGGAUGAUGCUUAGUCCAGAAGCUCGCUUCCGACCACUUCAAGAGGAACUAGCUGGAUGGUUCAGGAGGGAAGUCCUCCAUCCUAAAGGAGAACACCAUUACGAGGACGUAGAACUUUAUAUGCAUUAAAUUAUGUAUGGAAACUUGUUCAAAAUUGUAUAUGAUCAUCCGAUGAUAUUGAAUAUAUAUUGUAUAUUCCUCUUGAAUUCUUUUUGGUUCUAAUUUCAAAUUUGUUUGAAAUUGUACAUUCAUAUGCAUGUAUGUAGUACCGUAGAAUAUGUGAAACUCCUUCAAAAUUAAAAUAAAGCACAAAAGAAAUAAAACAAUACAAAUUAAACAGAAAACAGGUUUAGGGGGGGGGGCUAAAACCCUAAACCUGCGGCGGCCUUUAGUCGCGGUUGGCCAGAAGAACCGCGACUAAAGGUCCUCCGCCCCGACGGCCGCCUGGCGCCCACGUGGACGGGCCUUUAGUCGCGGUUCUUAAGCAACCGCGACUAAGGGGGGGGGGCCUUUAGUCGCGCCUGUUUGGUCGCGGUUGCGCAACCGCGACUAAUGGCAGUUGCGAACCGCGACCAAAGGCCCUUUUUCCACCAGUGUGUGUUUGCCAAUUUGACCGGAUUCUUAUUUUAUGGAAAUGAUAAGUUUUGGUGGUAUUUCCGAAUUGCGUUUGCCUUCAUGCCCAACCAGACCAGUUGUGCACAAUCAAAGAAUAACACGAGUUGUUUGAAAUGCAGUGAUUUCUAGUGCUAGUAUCAUCUUACUUAUCUGCUUGAUCCUAGCACUAGUUGUCUUCUCAAAAAAUAAAUUAAGAGUACCAUCUGUCAGAACAGCACCAUUAUCUCCGUCGUUCAUGGAUGACAUGUAUCCUCGAGUUUCUUACUCAGACCUGGCCCAGGCAACAGAUGGCCUCACAGACAAUAAUAUAGUUGCCACAGGAUGGUAUGGAUGUGUUUAUAAGGGCAGGCUGCUGCUGAAAGAGUCCGUAAUUACUGUCGCUGUGAAGGUUUUUGACGCUGAGCAAUCUGGAUCUUCAAAAAGUUUUGUGGCUGAGUGUAAGGUGCUUAGCAAAAUUCGCCACCGGAAUUUGAUUGGUAUCAGAACUUGCUGCUCUGGCUUGAACCAAAAUGACUUCAAAGCCAUUGUAUUUGAUUUCAUGCCUCACGGUGAUCUUGAUAAGUGGUUACAUCAGGACACAUAUGCACCUAAUUCAGUCAAAGUUCUAACACUAAUGCAGAGACUGAGCAUUGUCGCUGAUAUUGGGCGGCACUAGACUAUUUGGACAACAACUGCCAGCCAGCAAUAGUUCACUGUGACUUGAAGCCCAAUAACAUUCUUCUUGGGGAGGGCAUGGUUGCUCAUGUCGGGGACUUUGGCCUGGCGAAGAUUCUCAUGUGGAAGAUUGUCGAAGCGUCUCAACCUCCAAACAGGAGGCCCGCAGGGUAUAUAUUGAUCUAUUGGGGCGCACCACCCAAUAGCGCAUACAUAUCGUAACAGAGAGGAGAUACAUCGAGGGAUUACAGGAGAAGAGAUAGAAAGAUAAAUGAGUACAUUGUUAAGAUAAAUCUAUCUCUAACUACCUAUGCGUUCUACACAAGAUAAUGGUUAACACUUCCCCUUAAUCACAACUACACAAGUUGAGAUUAUGCUUAAAGUCUUCAAAGCUUCUUGUAGGAAGUGCCUUUGUGAACCCAUCUGCAAUCUGAUCUUUAGAAGGUAUGAAUUUGAUAUCCAAUUCUUUGUUUGCAACUCUUUCUCUGACAAAGUGAAAAUCUAUCUCAAUGUGUUUAGUUCUUGCAUGAAAAACAGGAUUAGCAGAAAGAUAGGUUGCACCAAGGUUGCCACACCAAAGUAUAGGCGUGUGAGUAUGUGAUACUCCAAGUUCUCUUAACAAAGCUUGCACCCAAAUAAUUUCAGUUGUAGCAUUAGCUAAUGCUUUAUACUCUGCCUCAGUACUGGACCUGGAAACAGUAGCUUGUUUCUUGGCACACCAUGAAAUCAAAGUAGGUCCAUAAAAGAUAGCAAAUCCCCCUGUUGAGCGUCUAUCAUCCACACAACCAGCCCAAUCCGCAUCAGAAAAAGCACUGAUGCGAAGAGACGAGGAUUGUUUAUAGCUAGACCAAUGUGUGUUGUAUUCUUUACAUACCUCAAGAUGUGCUUGGCAGCUGUCCAAUGGGUUGUAGUAGGUGCAUGCAAAAACUGGCAAACUUUAUUGACUGCAAAGGAAAUGUCAGGUCGAGUAAGAGUCAAGUACUGUAAUUCUCCAACAAUGCUCCUGUAACUGGUGCUAUCUUCCUGAUUCAAAAGUGCUCCUUCUGUCAAGGAUAGCUGUUCUGAGCUGGACAAGGGAGUUGGAGAAGGUUUACAAUUUUGCAUACCAACUCUGCCUAACAGAUCAGUCACAUACUUUCCUUGUAAUAAGUGAAUGCCAUGUUCAGUUUUCUUGACUUCUAUGCCUAAGAAGUAAUGUAAGUCCCCUAGAUCCUUUAGAGCAAAAUCUGCCCUAAGAUAUUUUAACAGUGCUGUUAUUGCUUCAUUAUGUGAACUAGUCACAAUAAUAUCAUCAACGUAAAUGAGAACAAAAAUGAUGGUCUGAAACUUGUUGUAAAUAAACAAAGAAGUGUCAUUCUUGGAUGGAAGAAACCCAAGCUUUUGCAAUUUCAUACUCAACCGAGAGUACCAUGCUCGAGGUGCUUGCUUGAGCCCAUACAAAGCCUUGUCAAGUUUGCAGACAUGAAACGACACAUUUUUGUCCUCAAACCCAGGAGGUUGUUUCAUAUAGACCUCCUCUUCCAGAACACCAUAAAGAAACGCGUUCUGUACGUCUAGCUGUCUGAGACUCCUCCCCCUGGAACAACAACAGAGAGCACAAGACGAAUAGAUGCAGCUUUGACAACAGGGCUAAAAGUAUCUUCAUAGUCAAUGACAUAGCGCUGUUUAAAUCCUUUUGCUACCAAACGUGCUUUGAACCGAUCAAUUUUGCCAUCUACUUUCUCUUAAUUCUAUAGACCCAUUUGCAAUCAAUUAAAUUGAUACCUUCACGAUGAGGAACUAGGUGCCACGUCUUAUUGCGUGGCAAAGCAGAAAACUCAUCCUCCAUUGCUUGUUUCCAGCGUGAAUCACCAAGAGCUUCAUGCAGAGUCUUGGGUUCACUAGAUUCACCUGUCAAGCAAGUCAUGCAAUAUUUUUGUAAUUACCCCCUGUUGAAGCCGUGUUCGUGGAGGUGUAGGAACGAUCACAGGGGAGUCAGCCGCAGGAGAUCCGGGCCACUGCAACAGCAGAUCCUCUGCAGCACGGGAUCCCGAGGCUGAUUCAAGGGCAGCGGCGCGCGAUCCGACCGCGCUAGGGGAAUCAUGCGCCGGUCGGGCCUCGAGAGCAGGUCGGUCAGUUGGUGCAGGCCCGCGCCAAUGAGGCGCGACUGGUAAGGUGGUGGCGGGCCUAGCAGCGCCCGUGACGGGCCCAGCAACGCCUGGCGAGGGAGAUGUGGGGCCCUCGGACCGACCAGCACAGCGUGAGCAUGAGAAGCCGGGUGGGGAGCCCGACAGGAGCGGAGAGGCGGGCCCUGGCGUGAUCCCGCGGCUGAUCCGCCAGCGAGAGAUUCGCCUAUCCCAUCUGGCGCAGGCACCUGGGGGAUCCCGAAGCAGAUCCACCGGAGGAAUGCGUGCACAUGAAAUAUUGCCCUGUAGCUUGAUUUUGGACACCAUUUUCAGCACUGUUUGCACCACUGUGAUCUGUAGUAACUUCUGAAAUAGAGUACUCAGGUAAACCAUUAGGAGAGUUAGGCAAAACUUGAUCAUCACAAUUAUUUGCUUCCCCACUAUCACUCUUUAUGAGAUGAGGAGCUAACAGUAGGAUCUCUUUGUGAAGGAGAGCACCGACAUUUGGAUGAUGUUUAGCAAAAGGAAAUUGUGUUUCAUCAAAGACAACAUCGCGAGAAAUAUAGACACGACCAGUGGAGACAUCUAGACACUUGACUCCCUUGUGUUGGCUACUAUAACCCAGAAAAACACACUGUUUGAAACGAAACAUGAGUUUUCUGUUGUUAUAUGGACGAAGAUUGGGCCAACAUGCACAACCAAAAAUACGAAGAGGAGCAUAAUCUGGUUUAGUGUGGAAAAUACGCUCAGUGGGUGUUUCAUUCUUAAUAACUCGGCUGGGUAGGAUGUUAAUAAGAUGAACAACAGUGAGAUAGGCUUCAUCCCAAAACUUGAGGGGCAUGGAAGCAGCCGCAAGUAGGGAGAGUCCCACUUCGACGAUGUGUCUGUGUUUCCGCUCUGCGGAGCCAUUUUGCUGGUGUGCGUGGGGGCAUGAUACAUGGUGAGAAAUGCCUAGCUUCUGAAAGAAAGAAUUUAGCUUUUCGUAUUCGCCGCCCUAGUCAGACUGGACAGCGGUGAUCUUCCUAUCAAACUUCCUUUCUACAAGAGCUUGGAAAUUGAGGAAGACUUGAAACACAUCAGACAUUUUCUUAAGAAGAUAGAUCCAUGUAUACUUGCUAUAAUCAUCAAUAAAGCUAACAUAGUAUGCAUGUCUCCCAACAGAGAGAGGAGCAGGACCCCAUACAUCUGAAAAUAUGAGUUGUAAUGGCUUAACAGAAAUGCUAGUGGAAACAGGAUAAGGCAACUGAUGGCUUUUUGCUCUUUGGCAAGAGUCACAAAUAGUUUCAGAAUUGUGCUCCCCAACAACCGGGAGUUUAUUUUUACUAAGAAUUUGUUUGACAAUGGAAAAAGAAGGGUGGCCUAAACGGGCAUGCCAUCUCUCCAACGACAACUUGAUGGCACUACACACUUGUUUAUUGAAUCGCUAACUUGAGGAAUCAACGAGUACAGUCCAUCCACGCAUCUACCUCAGAUAGAGGAUUUGCUUCGUGACCUGAUCCUUGAUCAAAAAGAAGAAUGGGUGAAAUUCUAAAAAUACAUGAUUGUCAAGGGCAAUGCGAUGAACGGAUAUGAGAUUUUUUGAUGAAGUUGGACAAUGCAAAAUAUUAUUGAGGUGGAUAUCUCUAUGUGGGGAAGGAAUAAUUGAAUGACCAAUAUUGCUUAUCUCCAUACCUGUACCAUCAGCGUUGUGAACUUGCUCAUGACCAUGAUAUUUCUCAUGCAUGGUGACCUUCUCGAGCUCAUGGGUGAUGUGGUUGGAGGCACCAGAAUCAGCAUACCAAUUGGUAUCUACUCCAUAAGACUUGUUGGCUGCUGUGGCAACUUUCUUUUUCUGUGAAUUAUCAUCUGCAUAGCGCCACUUGCAUUGCUUUGCAAUAUGGUUAGUUUUUUUUGCAAAUCUGACAUUUUCCUUCAUAUUCAUCAUACCCUCUGAAGUUAUUAUUGUAGUUGUUCUGGCCUCCCCUGUUGUUGUUGUAGAAGGGGCAACCACCAUUGUUGUAGUUGUGUUCUCCGCUGUCUCCGGAGUUGGAGUAGUGGCCACCAUAGCCACCACCAUGGUUGCCACCACCAUCACCGUAGUGGCCACCACUGCCACCACCGUGGGAGUUGGGGUAGUGGCCGCCACCACCGCCGCCGUCAUACCCACCAGGACGAGAACCACCGCCACCGCCACGGUAGCCUUUGGAAGGGCCACCUCAUCCACGGGAGGCAGCGUUGGUCGAUGAUUUGAAGGCUUGGCCGCCGGUGCCUUGGAACAUCUCAACCCUCUGGUCGAAGGUAGACACCAUGUCGAAGAGUUCGUCGAUGGUGGUUGGCUCAGGACGCACAUCCAUAGCGCUGAUGAUGGGCUGAUAUUCCAUGUCGAGCCCGGAUAUGACGUGAGACACGAGUUCGUCCUCAUCUAUGGGUUUCUCGGUCGCUGCAAUCUCAUCAACAAGACCUCACAUAUAGCCCAGCAGCAGACUGGGUUCCCUUCUGAGCAGUGGUGAGGGAGAUGCGGAUGUGGUUGCAACGGGAGAGGGAUUGGGCAAAGAACAUGUUGGCGAGGGCAGACCAGAUGGCAUGGGAGGUUUCAAGAGAUGCUACUUGGAUUAGGACUUCUUUCGAGAGAUUGCGGAGAAGAUAGGCAACAAUCUGUUGAUCUUGGAUAAGCCAAGGCGCAUAAGCAGGGUUCACAGCCACCUGAUCUUUGCCCUCGGCGUUCUUGCUGGUGAUGGUUUUGGGUGGUGCUUCUAGGGUUUUGUCGACAUACCCGAAGAGGCCCGCCCCCAUGAUCUGGGAACGAGCUUAGGCACACCAGAGAACAUAAUUGGAACGAGUGAGGGGUUCGGAGACGUUGUUGUUGAGGCCGUUAGAGAUAACCGAGGUGGACGUCGACAUUGUCGAGUUUGGAGGUGGAAGAAGGGUGGACGGGAGGGAUAGCUAGACGAAGGGGAAGAGGGUAGCUCUGAUACCAUGUGGAAGAUUGUCGAAGCGUCUCAACCUCCAAACAAGAGGCCCGCAGGGUAUAUAUUGAUCUGUUGGGACGCACCUCCCAAUAGCGCAUACAUAUCGUAACAGAGAGGAGAUACAUCGAGGGAUUACAGGAGAAGAGAUAGAAAGAUAAAUGAGUACAUUGUUAAGAUAUAUCUAUCUCUAACUACCUAUGCGUGCUACACAAGAUAAUGUUUAACAUCUCAUUGAUCCAGAAGGCGAGCAAUUGAUCAAUUAGAAGAGUUUAGUGGUUGGAACAAUUGAAUAUGUUGCUCGAGGUAACUCAUUUUUUUAUCCUGUUUUUAGAUCCAACAAGUGUUGGGGUGGUUUGACAUAUUAUUAAUGUGGGUUUGUGCACUGUAGAGUAUGGUGAAGGUGGUCAGAUUUCUCCAUGUGGGGAUGUCUAUAGCUUUGGUAUCGUGCUCCUUGAGAUGUUUACAUCAAAGACGCCUGCAGAUGCAAUGUUCACAGAUGGAUUUACCUUACUAGAGUAUGCAAAGAUGGCAUAUCCAACACAACUAAUCGAGAUUAUUGACCCUCUUCUGCUAUCAGUUGAGAAUACACGGGGAGAUAUCAAUAGUAUCAUGUACUUUGUCACAAGACUUGCCCUAGAAUGCAGUAGCAAAGACCAACUGAAAGGUUGUCCAUCAGAGAUGUUGUAACUGAGAUGAACAAGAUAAUGGCUUGCCAUGCUGCAGGAGUAACUAGGCAAAGCAGUUCCGGGUGAUUGAACUGUCACUAGUAGAAAAGGGGGCAUCAGUCCCGGUUCAUAAGGGCCUUUAGUCCCGGUUCUUGAACCGGGACUAAAGGGUCGUUACUAAUGCCUCCCCCCUUUAGUCCCGGUUCAAACUGGAACCGGGACUAAAGGUCGCGGCCACGUGGAGCUCCACCUAAAGGAAAUUUUAUGAUUUUUCUUUUUUGAAUUUUUUUUGAAUUUUUUUUAUUUUCAAAUUUCUGAAUUAUUUUAAUCUCUAAUCUCUAAUCACCAUCCCUCAUCACUGCUCAAUUUAUCCUCUAAUCUCUAAUCACCCCUCAUCAUUUCUAAUCAUCUAAUUUCCCGAAAGGUCACCCAUCCUCCCACUCCCCCAGCCUGAGCACGCUUAACUUCUGGGUUCUAUUCUCCCUCGUUUCCAAGUCUGCACUUGUUGUUUUCCUCACAAUAGUAAGAUGUCAAUCCUAUUAACCCUCAGGAAUUUUGCGUGAGCAUGAAGUGACACAUUUCACUGUUUGAGUCUGAAACUAUUGUUUUAAAAAACAAUAAUUAUUUAGUAACACUAAUAUUUCUUGAAUAAUUAGUUUGACCACAGUUUGACCAGAUUUGACCAAAAUUCAAAAUAACUGAAAUAAUUAUGUAGUAACACUAAUAUUCUAGAAUAAUUAGUUAUACCAUUGUUUGACCACACAGUUUGAAAUUUUUUCGAUUUUUUCCGCUCUAAAAGCUCCGUAACUUUUUUCUGUUAGGUUUUUGAGGAUUUUAAAAAUGUUUAACGGGGUUCCCCCGUUAAAUUUGGAUGUAACUUUUUGAGUAGAUGAUUUUUCAUAUAAAAAACUUUUUCAUCCGAGUUAGUAUGCAAAAGUUAUUCCCAUUUUACUAAAUUCUAGAGAGAUUUUGCAAAUAAAGUCGAAAUUCACAUUUGCAAAUUUUCCCAACAACUAGACCACAUAUCACAUGGGAAACUUAUUUUCUUUUAUUUUUUUGACAUUUUCAUCAUUUUCUUUUUUUUUGAAAACUGAAAAGGCGAUCCACGAGGAGGGGGGGGGUUAGAGUUUGAAAAGGGGACCUUUAGUACCGGUUCGUGCUAUGAACCGGUACUAAUGAAUACCGGUUCGUGGCACGAACCGGGACUAAAGGUCUAACCCUUUAGUCCCGGUUGGUGCCACGAACCGGUACUAAUGGGCAUCGCACCCUUUAGUCCCGGUUCAUAGCACCAACCGGGACUAAAAGGUCCAGAUGAACCGGGACAAAUGGCCCACGUGGCCCGGCCGGCCCCCUGGGCUCACGAACCGGGACUAAUGCCCCCAUUAGUCCCGGUUCUGGAUUGAACCUGGACUAAUGGGCUAACCCGGCCUGGACCAAAACCCUCUUUUCUACUAGUGUGUAGUGCUUUAAUUUUGCAAGAUAUGCUAGCUGCGAGAAGAAAAAUCAGUUGAGGGUUAGUACAAGAGCAUGUCAGACAGUAGUACGCCUUCUUAUAUAUGAAUUGUGUGCACAUGUAUUCAUUAGUUCUCUACUUCAUUAAACAAUCAUUAUUUCACAUAUUUCUACGGGGAAAAACUGUCAGGUAGAAGAAGCACUUAUGAGCUGGCAACAGAGAAAGUAAGAAAUCCUAACCACAUUGUUUUGGUAUUAUAUUUUACCAGGUUCACAUGUCAAAUAUCCUUUCUGGCUCAAUGGACAUUGGUUCUCUGUCUGGUAAACUUAUCUGCAGCCCAGUAGCACUUAUUCAGAGUUUUGAGUUGCAGCGGCAGUCAUGCACAUUUCAAGGGAAAACAAAAUUUCAAGAAAAUCAGUUUCUUACUUGGGAACAUCAAAAUAUAAAGUGCUUAGUUAGUAACAAUAAAAUGCAGUGAUCUUGGGAGAAAGCAUAACUCUGCUUCAUUUGGAAUAGGGGGCACAACCGGAAAGUGAGAUAACUAAAGUCUUUAAAAAUAUGAAUGUGCAAGAAUUCUGAUGAAAAUAGUGUUUAGUGUCCACCUUGAUGUUCCAGAUUAGAAGGCUUGACUUCAGUUUCUUGCUAGAGCUGCAUACAGGGAGUCAAACAUGACAGUUUAUUCAGUUUCACUAUAACAUAUUGCCUUUUUUUGCGCAGAACAUAUUGCUUUUUUCUUGCCUAGGUAUGGGCACAUGACUACAUUUAUUUACACCUAAGACAACCAAUAUAUGCAUGUGUAAUUUCCCAGAGCGCUAGCCAUUUCGUGCAACUCCACGAAAGAAUACUCAAGGGGUUAACAGGUCAUAUUCGUCGAGUACUAACUGGAGCAGCCACAUUCAAUGUAAUGCCUGACAAUUUGAAAUUAUAGAAGGAAUUUUCCUAUUUCUUUAUUAAAUGGUACAGUGUAUGAUUUCUCAAAAAGACUUAGAAAAGUCUGUAGGUUUGGCACAACCAAGUAAAAGCAGGCAUGAAAUUUUACUGAAAUUAUGUUUCUUUAGUCUUUACCAUGAUGAACUGCAGUCCAUGUCAUUAGACAUUCUGAAGCUUAAAUGUUAGUCACACGGCAGAGAACUAGGCAUUCCUCAAUCCCUAUGAAAUAUGUAAGAUUUCUCAAACUUCGUCAGAUAAGUCUGUAGAGGUUGGCACAACCAAGUAAAAGCAGGCAUGGAAUUUUACUGAAACUAUGUUUCUUUACCAAGAUGAACUGCAGUCCAUGUCAUUAAACAUUCUGCAGGCUGGAGAACCCAGAAUCAUUCAUCGAGCCCGUUCCCUUCUUCGAUGCUGUUCCAACAUAUACAUUCUCUUAGAUCUAGCACUAAAUCCAAAACUGCAAACCUUUACGGAUCGAUGCCGCCAACAAGGAAUCCAUAACCGAAUCUUCCGUGCAAACCUCCAGCCAAGCUGGCACGGUGACUGAAUCAGCCGCGCGAGGUCGACCCGGAUAUUGCCUGAACAGGAGAAGGAGGCGACCAGGAAACUUUGGUGUCGGGCUCGGGCAGCAACUUCAGGUACCGGGCGAGGCAUUGGCUCCCCAAGACAGAGUCCAGCGCUACGUAUAGGGUGCUGCCCGAUUCUAGGACGGUAGUGGUGGGAUGUGGCGGGCGCCGGCGCGGGCGGCGAGGAAAGACAAAUCGUCGGUGAGGCGGCGCUAGCGCCGGCAAACUGUACGGCAGUGGAGGACGGCGUGGGCGGGGAGUAUCAUUUUAUAGCUGGCCAAACGGGCCAGGUCAACCAGGCCAGCCCGCGAGCAUGCCGGCACGGCCCGCCAUGGGCCAGGCAUGGCACGGGUUAAACGGGCUGGUCCUGGCACGUGGCACGCCUUGGGCCUGUUAAUUUUUUAUAUAUUUUUUCAGAAUUUUUUAUAUAAAUAUACAUGUAAAAUCUAUAUCUAUAUCUAUAUCUAUACCUACUAUUAAAGGGAGGUGAUACUCUUGGUUUGGUCCGUCAUGGUUUGGUCCAUCAACAUAUUUUUAAGAUUUUUUGUCGUAUCUCAUAGAUAUUUUCUUCUAUCGGAGGUGGUACUAAAUUUUUGCCCAGAAUUUCAUAUGUGGGCUGCGCAACGUUGUGGCCCAGUGGCUGCUAAGUUGGGCCUUCGACCUAAUAAUAAUGCAGCAAAAAAUAUACAUUAACCUGGGAUUCAAACCCCACACCUCACAAUAUCACUCUGACUACAAUGACCAACUAGACAACCAAACCACCUUGAUCAGAGAUGGUUGUAUUAGUUUUAUUUCGGACAAGCACAAAGGCCACACAAUUGGGCCUCUGCCCGGCGCUCCAACUGAUGGGCCAAAGUCCAUCAACGCAAGUAAACAUGAUCAGCGGGCACAAAAAUAUAUUUUCAACCCCGCGGUCUUAAUGACCUUAGAUAUUACAUGUUUAAUAGUCCCACCUUGCUACACAAAUUAAAGGAGGUAUUAUAUUACGAGAUUUGUGGGAUUAUAUUUGAAUGUUGCAUGGAGCAUAAUUAAAUGAAGGAGAUUUGUGGGCUGAUAUCUGAACUUUGCAAGGUGCAUAAUUAAAGGAACCCGAAAUUGUGGGCUGCUGAAAGAAUUAAAAUACAAAUCCGGAGGAUUAAGUACAGCUACCAUUGCAUCCCUAUAAUAAGGAAGCUGCACCGUACGAUCCAUGGAUAGGCGCAUAAGUGUAGCAUCUAAAGAAUAAAAGGAGGACGUUGCACAAUUAUUGGGAAUUGCAUUAAACAAAAAAAAGGAAUUUAUAGGAAGGAGUCCCCGUAAUCAAAGGAGGGGACGCACAAUGAUUUAAUGCUUGGUAGAUCGUCGCAAUUGGAACUAAUAUUUUUAAGUUUGUGCCAAAUUUAUUUUCUGUUGAAAUACACGAUGUAAUUUUUACUACUUUAAAUGUUCUUUAUAUUGUCAUGAUGUUAUGAAUAAAACAAAAGUUUUUUCAUAACAAAAUGUUGUCAAUAAGAUCAAUUUACUUCAAAUCGUACCCCAUGUUUUAAGCUCCCUGUCGUGAUCUUCAAAUAAUGCAUCUUUUUUUUUACAUAAGCCUCCUUGUCCCAUGACAUAAUUCCUGGACCCGACCAACAUGAACCAGAUUUUUUUCCCCGAAUGUUGCCAAAGGUAUUAAUAUUCCUUACUAAAUUUGCAUUAGUUUUAUUUUCCAUUGAAGCGCACAAUGUUAUUUUUAUUACUUAUUCAAUUUCAUUACUUUUGAUUUUCUUUAUAUUGCCAUGAAGUUAUGAAUUGUUCAAAAUCUUUUCAUAAGAAAACGUUGUCAAUCAGAUCAUUUACUACGAAUCAUACCACAUGUCCUAAGCUCCGUGCCGUGAACUCGUGAUCCUGAAAUGAUACAUAUUUUUUCAUAAGAUAUUGUUGUCCCAUUAUGAAUAGAUCAAAAUCUUUCCCAUGGCAUGUUGUGAAACGGAUUUUUUUUCCUGUUGCAACGCACGGGCAUUUGUGCUAGUACAACCAAUAGGCCUAAAAACAGCCCAACAGGCUAAAAAUGUACAGUCCAGCGUGCUAAACGGGCCAACCUGCCGGCCCGUUUACUAAAUAGGUUGUGCCUGGGCCUGAAGGCGCAACACGUGGGCCGGUACGGCACGGCCCGCUUAUUAAACGUGCCUCCGUGGGUCGUGCCGUGCCUGGCACGAUUAGCAUGGGCCGAGUCGUGUCGUGGCGGGCCGGCACAUUUGGCCAGGUCUGGGUAUCAUUCCCCUAUACUUUUCAUGGCCUACACUUCAGAGUGGGCUAUAGAAGGAGAGGUAGCCUAGAGCAAGACAAUGAAUAGAUUCAAAAAAAAAUCUAUCAUUAAAAAAAUGUGUUCCAUCUUCUGCUCCUUAUAGCUUCCCCUCUGCUUUGUUGAUUUCUCACCUCAAAUCUCUUUGUAACCCCAAACUGUAUCCGAUCCUUAGUACUGAUCCAUUUGUUCGUUACAUCUUUGUUGGGUCGUGACAAUUUUGUAAUCAAAACAAACAAAAAUCAUCAACCGCUUCCUGUCUAUCACUUGCUUGACACAAUGCCUGACAGCGGUUUCCAUCUGCACUUGCGAUCGCUGCUCGAACCGACGCGGGCGGAAACCAUGAUUUAGUACACGACGUUGUUCUCGGAGCAUCUACACCACGUGCUACGUGUCAACUUCAAUCUAAGAGCAUCACCAGCCGCGCCCCCAACAGGCCCCCCAGGCCCCUUUUUCAGCGCCAACACCCAAAAAAUGGCUCGGUCGCGCCCCCAGGAGCCCAUUUCACCGGUUAGGCCCGAAACUGGCGCUGGCGGAUCCAGGCCAAACCCNNNNNNNNNNNNNNNNNNNNNNNNNNNNNNNNNNNNNNNNNNNNNNNNNNNNNNNNNNNNNNNNNNNNNNNNNNNNNNNNNNNNNNNNNNNNNNNNNNNNNNNNNNNNNNNNNNNNNNNNNNNNNNNNNNNNNNNNNNNNNNNNNNNNNNNNNNNNNNNNNNNNNNNNNNNNNNNNNNNNNNNNNNNNNNNNNNNNNNNNNNNNNNNNNNNNNNNNNNNNNNNNNNNNNNNNNNNNNNNNNNNNNNNNNNNNNNNNNNNNNNNNNNNNNNNNNNNNNNNNNNNNNNNNNNNNNNNNNNNNNNNNNNNNNNNNNNNNNNNNNNNNNNNNNNNNNNNNNNNNNNNNNNNNNNNNNNNNNNNNNNNNNNNNNNNNNNNNNNNNNNNNNNNNNNNNNNNNNNNNNNNNNNNNNNNNNNNNNUCGUCCUCACAACGCCUCAGUUUCCCGCGGGAAAUCAAUGCCAAGCCUACCGCCGCUCAGCCUUCCAUUGAUUCCUCAAGGGCGACGCGGUGAGACGACGCGCCCCCUCCUGCCACAUGUACACGCGGCGACGCCCCCACCUCCCCCGGCCGCUAUAUAAAGCAGAACCUCCCCCGUUGGUGGACACACCCGCCCGCAGCCCCCUCUCUCUCCCCGUGCACAGCCGGCGCCGACAAGCUCUCUUUCCUCUCCCUUCCCACAGCCGCCGCAGAUGAUGGGCGAAAGGUUCCCCAGCGACGCGGCGGCGGCCAAUGGCUUCGGCCGCCGCUCUCUGCACGAGUGGGAAGCCCAUCUCCUGCACGAAGCCAACUACCCGGCGCCUCCCGACAUGAGCGCGCCGGGACGGUGGAGGCUCAACGCGGUGGCGUCCCUGCCCCCUUCCCCCUCCCCCGUGCCCGAUGUCACGCGCCUCGAUAACUUCCGCGCCGAGAUCGAGCGUGCGCGGGCGUCUCUGUCGGAGGCGGGCCCUCCCGGAGUACGCCGCCGGCAACCACGAGGAGUGGGCGGCGUACUUCGAACGCCGGCAGGCGGAGUGGCUGGCCUCCACCAACAACACGCCGAUGGUGUGGGGAGCAAGAACAGCGACGACCGCCUCCUGUGGUGGGGCGCUCCCGGCCACAUGCUCCAUGCCGUCCUCGAGUACCUCGAGGGCGACAAUGAUCCGCCGCUGACAUACCCGGCCGCCCCGGUCCCCCGCUGGAGUGGUGGCCAAUGGAUGCCAAGGAGGACCGGCUCCUCUUCCUCCUCCUCCCGAUCCUCCUCCCACUCCUCUGGGUCGCCGGCGCUCUUCAGCGUCAAGGCCGAGCCCGCGAAACGCCCCUCGGCCGGCGCACUCGCAGCACCCACAUCGUCAUCAACGAGGGUGGGCGUGCCUCCUCCUCGACUCCUUCCCGCCUCGUUAAGCCGAUGACGGAGCUAGGGCUCACCACCGUGAAGACGGAGCCGGGGCUCGCCAACAUGAAGACGGAUCCGGGGCUCGACGACACGGUCAUGAAGUGGGCGCGAGAAGAUUGCGCGCGGUUGGAGAUGGAGCGCCAGCGCCGCGCCCUGGAGGAGAUCGCCGCGCGCUGCCGUGGGCGCGACGAAGGGGGCGUCAUCGUGCUUGAAGACAGCGACGAUGACGCAUCGCCGGCGGCCAACCCUGUCCGCCUGGGCGACCCCGGGCAGGGUUCCAGCGGCGUGAAGAAGGAGAAGGACGACAGCGGUGACAACGACUACGUCGCGUUCAGCGAGUUCUUUGGCCUGUAGUCGCGGCUCCUUGUUUUUUUUAAUAAAUUUCAUGUUUUCUAUGUAAAAAAAGUUGAACGCCGAAGUUUAUGUCCUGUUCGCCGAAACUUUGUCAUGUUUGCCGAAUUUUAGCCGAUUUUUCUUUUCAAAACAGCUUAAAAAAGGGUGUCUAGCCCUGGGGGCGGCGGCUGGGAACCCGAUCGCCCCCAAGCCGAUUUUUAUCGCCGGGUUGCCGCCAGUCGGCGAUUUUAAGAGCCCCCUCGGGGCCAACCGCUGGAAUUGCUCUAAGAAUCUAGUCCUCCAUCCAUCAAUACAUGGAGCGCUUGCACAAGGAUAUUAAAGCAGUCGUGCAGUCGCAAUCACCGUCUAGCAUAACCAGAGCGCGUCAUGCCUUGCUCGGAUAAGGGAGGCAGAGAUCAUGAAUGAUGAGGCAAUGGGUGCCAAGGAAUGUGGCGAUGGCUACAACCAUGGAGUACAAGACCGCAUCAUUGAUGCUAGCAGGCUUGCUGCUCCCACAUGAACCAUGUACUCGACAGAAUGCCUGAGUCGCGACGCCACCACCAUCAAAGGUUUUCCAUGUUGAAAAGAAAAAAUUGCCAUGCUAGCAUAAAGAAUUGUCGGAAUUUGUCAUGCUGCAGCAGAGUAAUUUACCAUGUGUAUCAGAGAUUCGCACAUGUCAAAAAAAUUGUCAUCCUACAGCAGGAGAAAAUUGCCACAAAAUAUUCAUGAUUUGCCAGCUGCAAAGAGAAGAAAUCGCCAUGGUGCAAAAAAGAAACUGCCACAUGUCUUUAGGAAUUUGUCAUGUUACAUCAGAAGAAGCUGCCAUACUAGUAUAUACUAGUAGACUGCCCGUGCGUUGCUACGAGCUUUUGAAAUAUUUUGCUGGUGUUAUAUAAAAUUAAUGCAUAUUAAAUUUCACAUGUAGAGACAAUAUAGCACAAACACAAUUGCAUAAUAAUUGAAGUCCACUUCACUUACAAUAAUUGAUAACAAAAAUGCAAAUUGAUGAUGUAUACAUAUAGAAAUAAUUGAAGUCCACUUCACUUACAAUAAUUGAUAACAAAAAUGCAAAUUGAUGUUGUAUACACAUAGAGCAAUGAUCCAAUUAAAAAUCCAUUAAAAUUAUUAAGAUCUACUACUUGAUGCGCUUAAGAAAUUCUCGCCCAAUGGAAAAGAUUCUUUAGCUUCAUUCGCACCAUGUUUUAGAAAAUAUAAUAAAAACUGCUCCUCAAUUCAUACUCAUCCUACACAAGCAAAAAAAUGUAGUUAGCACGAGUACUUCACAUCCAAGGUCUUCAAACAUUUAACAGACAAUACACAUCGCGCAAAGCGGCUUAACCGGUUCUUUACUGUUCCACCAGAGCAUAAAAUGAAAACCAAAAUAGCGAGGCACAUCCCCGCAAUUUCCAAAAUUAAUAUUAUAUUAUAUAGUGAUGACAAAAAUAAAUGUUUGUAUUCCGAAUUUGUUACCCGCCUAUGCUCAUUGGAAUACCAUACAGAUAUAAACGUUGUUGUUCAGAUAUAUCGGAAUCCCAAUCGGCUUGCUUUAUUUCGAGUGCUUCUGUAUGUAUGGUACGGGCUACAAUAUGUAUAAAUGAAUCAAACAAAUGAUUAAGUUCAGCCGUGUUUGCUUUAUUUCGAGUGCUUCUUUAUGUAUGAUACGAGCUAUAGUGCAUAUAAAUAAAUCAAAUAAACGAUUAAGGCCGUUUCCAAGGUUGAAAUUCAUUUCUCUUACAUCCGGGCGUGUUUGAGCAUCAAACAAGCCCCUAACGGGCUAUCCAAAAUCCAACCAUCUGGACAGUCCAUCCACCCCCAAAUCCAGCCCAUGGGGGAGACAUAUGGUUGUCCGUACUAUCUGUCAUGUUAUCUUAAACAGGCGGUCCAAAGUCCCAACAAAAAAUUCCACCCCAUGACGCACCCUUCCCUUUUCCUGCAGGACCCUCCCUUCCUGCUUGAUUUCUUGUUGUAGCAGGACAUUUCUCACUGGAGCACUCUCCUCUAAAGGCAGAUGACGCCCGCAUCACCAUCGCAAUGACACAUCUCUCCUUCGCAUCGUACUUCCCCACGGACCGCUAAUAAAGAGUCCACCACCAACCGCCCUACUCUCUGCCCUAAUCCUCCCUUCCCGUGCUCACGCCGAUCCCACCGCCAGCAAGGGGGGCGAGGCAUGCGCCGCCCAUGACACCCCCGAGCCAAGAAGGAGGAUCCGACGUCUCCUGAUCCAUUGCCAUGUUGUAACACAGAAAUGAAUGUCGUGUAUUACGAUGAAACAAAAAUAUGAUAUAGCUGUUGGCAUGCAACUGAUACACCACCGUGUCCAUUAUUAACUCUUGAAACAACCCCCCAAUGCAUAUACCCUUUCAUCCUAACCAAAAAAAUGUAUGACUUAAUGAAAAAAUAUGAACCGCUCACUCAUGCAAUUUGCUGCAAUGCCAUCUCUAAUUAAAUGCACUUUGCCAUAUUUUCUAAGGUAUGGAAAUUAUUUCGCUCAGACAGCCAUAACUGAACAUAUCAACCCAAAUAACCAUCACCCACUCUUAAACCUCACUUUUAUAAUAAAAUCCACUAACUCGUGUUCAAAUUGAACCAGUAAUCGACGCCGCCUUGGCAGGCCAUCAACAAAGGACAAGGGCGGAAAUGACCUUCCUAUCUUAGUGCUAGUACCACCUGCUUAUAUACUGGACCCACCCUUCAUGCCGGGCUCUACCACAAUGGCGGCACAUAAAAUAUAUCAGAAUAAUGUACCACCAUUUAUGUUCUUCAAGCAUGGCGGUGUGAGCUUUUCAGUGGAGCCAGACACGGUGAUAAGGAUACUAACAGCUUAAUAGACGGGAAGGAACAUAACCUCAAAGAGAGCGAGUAGACAAUUCAACCUUGGUAACACACACAUUUAUUGAGACACUUCCUCUAAGUUGAAUGGCUCCUUAUCCACCUUCACCAUGUAGGAAGGCUCUUCUUCUAGUAAAGUGGGCAGAGAUCAUGCGGCAUGAAAAAUUGGAAAACACACAUUUGACAGUUCUGAUUGCAUUCAGCAAUCUUAUCUGACUCUCAUGUGGAUCUGUGAUUGCAUUCACCUUAUCUUCGACUCUAAUGUGGUCUAUGUUUUCGGUUUCACUUCCCUUGAGAUGGACUCCACCUGUAGCUUACACAUUAUUCUCCGCUAUAAGGUCCACUUUCUAUUUAAGGAUUUUUUUAAUAGGAAUUUAAAUCAUCAGCACUUAGAGCUUUGGCAUCACAAGAUUCAUAUGGAUUUCAUUCCUAUCAGUUUUGAAAAUAUAAAUCAACAAGGUCAAUGAUAUAAAAGAAAUGUGUUUGUCUAUCCACACUUCAUUGCACCCAUAUUGAAGGAUACAACUGAACUGGAAAAAAUAGUCAUGUGAGGCAUAGGCUAUCACUAAUUAAUUACAUGCAAACAAAAUUGCUGAUAAUAUAAUCUUAUUUCAGUGAAUCCAUAUGGACAUUUUUUUGUUAGGAAAACACAACUCAUAAGAUCUAAAAAAGGUUGCUAUAGGGAAAGCGUAGAGAACUGGACAUUAAGCAAUGUAGCAUCCUGGUAUGCCUUGCCUUUUUUAGAAUGACAUACCUUGCCUUCAUCCAUUUCUUACAUUGGAAUGCCUUGCCUUUGUCCGCUCCCAUAAUGCUUAUCGAGACGGAUGUGCCUACGCCCAGUUACUGUUAUUGCAUUACAUCUUCACACCUCUAAAAAUGCACAGUUAUCCAGUACAAAGGAACAACAAGAAAUUGUAAAACUAUUUGCUCUUGCGUCAGUGUAGCUCUGCCACAAGAUCGGCUGACCUAGAUGCAGUGGAGCACAUGGUCGGAUGAGCUGGACACAGUGGAGCUCGGUGACCAGCACGCAGGAGCUGGACUGCACAAUUUCUGUUCAUGAGCAAUAAAAGAAAUUACCCUUCCGACAAACAAUUUGGAAAAUGUACAACCUUAUCAGUUCAACAAGAUUUCAGGUGCUAAUCAAAUCAGAUACACACAACAAACGAAACACACUUUUCCUUACUGUUGAGCAUUUUGUUACAAAUUCUUCAAUUGAAACGCUAAGCAAGGUUGACUUUUACUCAAUGUAAAUCCUAAACAAGAACUUACAUUUUUCUUAUAACCAUCAGAAUAUCGAAGAACAAUUGGUUUAAGGAAUAUAUAUCCACAAAUUAAAACAGAAUCUAAGUUAAUGGGUUCAAAACAGGAGGUACACCCAAAAGUAAGUGUAAAUGGCCUUCACUUCAAAAACAGGAGGUACAUCCAAAAGUAAGUGUAAAUGGCUUUCAAACAAGUGCUUGCAAACACAAAUAUUCAUAAAAAAUCUUUUUUAGGAAAAAACAUAUUUAAUCUACUAAAUACGUGCAAUGGUGCAAGGGGAACUUACUUUUUUAUUUUCUUCUAAGGCCCUUACUUUCUUCAAAUAAGAUUCGUUCGGCAAAAUUAUCAGUGUACUAUUUGGAAUAGUCAAUUUUAUAUAUGAACAAACAUCUGUGAGAAGGUCUGCAGAGGCUUCAAACAAAAUUGCUGGAUGUCUCACCUCCAAACAAACUUGAUGGACGUCUCACCUCGAAACAUACUUGGCUGAUGUCCCACCUGUAACGUAGCUACAUCUGUGCGCAGCCAAAGUAGGAACAUUACGCAAAAGUAUGAACAUCAACCAAAAACUUGAUGCGUUCUAGCUGACAGAACAUUGCCUAUUUGAAUGCUCGGAUGAUAGCUGAACCGCCUUAAUGUCUUCUACUUCAGACCAUAGCAUACAAUUAGUGUUCUACAAUUCUACUUCAGACCAUAGCAUAGAUGUCACUUCUACUGCUCCCACGAAAUGGCACGAGAUGAUUGUGCCAUUUCUCAUUACUGGAAUAUAAGCUGACUAACUGCUAUUGAGUAAGAUAUAUGUAGCACGUAGCAAACACCCUAUAAUGUACAUUCCUUCUUUAUAUCAUCACACUACAAAAAUAUCAGUGCACAACAAAUAGAAAUCUAUGUAAAAUUGGAUGGCGUCCACAACUAUUCUUGUAACUUAACAAUAAAGUAUGUGACAUAUCAUGUUAUAUAUUUUCUUCAAGCCCACAGAACAUGUUGUAUAUUGUCCAAAAUAUUCCGUAGGGAUAUUUCCUAUCUGAAAAGUGCUGAAAAACAUCUUUGUUCUGUUGAAAUAACUACCAAUGACAUGAAUCAAGAGGUCGUCAAAAUUAUGAAUGAACGUCUCCGAAAAUAAAAUUUCAUCGGAUAGUACAUCAGAAAAUAUUGCUUUCAAAUAUAUAUUGUGUUCUAGCUAGCAUAUGAAUCUUCAUGUUCAUUAGGAGGUCACAAAUCAGGGGUGAAAAAUACGUUGGAUGAGAAAGGAUGGUGCACGUUUUUUAAAAGCUAAAAAGAUGUCUCACCAUGUGUUGGAUGCUUCAAUGCAGUGCGGAACUUGCACGGGAGAAGAACAUUACCAGCGGCUAGCCUCGAUCUCGCUCGGCCAUGUAGGACAAGUCUGAGCCAAUGAACCACGUAAAGAAUCAAGACGAUGACGUUUCGGCCCAAACCAAAAACAGAGUGGGGGCAAAAGACUCAUGGAGAAGAUGUUGAUACAACAGAAGUACAGAACCUCCAUCCACGACUCCCUUUUCUCCCUGCUGUUCUCCAGCCUCCUGCACAACAAUACGGAGAACAAACACCAGUCAAGACUAACAAACACGGUAUAUCAGAGUCGUGGACAUUGGAGGGGAAGCGGCUAAAGGUAUGCACGACUCAAACACGGAUCUGCUGAAGCACGGGCGUGGGAGCGACAGGGCGGCGCUGCGAUCCACGCCGUUGGAGCCUGGCAUAGAGAGCAUGUCGGGCACCAUGAGGAGCGGCAGUGCCACUGACGCCAUUAGCAACGCCACCAGGAUCGCCAUGGACGGCUUUCCCCGCCUCCCGACCCGCCCCGUCAUCCUGUUUGCCAUGUAGUUUAUGAGCUAAAAUAGAGCAUUUACUAAACUGAGGUAAAAAGCAUCGAGCAUCAUCAGCUAUAAAACAAACUACAUUUUCCUAAUAAUUAUGAUGGCACAGGCAUGAAAUACCCAUUGAACCAGUCAUGAGAAAUCUGAACCUUCGUCGGGUUGCCGUUGUGUAAAUAGGAGGCAUUUUUGUCUAUGUAACCUUGAGAGCACAGCACCGAGCAUGAGAAAUAUGAACCUUCCUCAAGUUUCCUUUGUGUAAACAGGAAAAUUGAAAUCCUUUGCCACACAUCUGAACCUUCAGAGAAGCUGCUAUCAGGGUUACAUAGAGGCAACAAAAACUACUCUCAAAAUUUCAUUGAUAGGCACAGAUAUUGGUCCUGAGAACAAAAUAGACAGCCAUGUUAUUAUUUGACAAAAGAAUCUGGCAUAUUUACCUCAGUUUAAUUAAGCUUCCAACGGAGACUAACAAAUUAUGUAGCCAUCAUUCCAAAAGCUUCGCCAGCAUCAAAAGUUGGAGCACCCUGCUGAAAGGGAUAAGGUAAUCUUAUCAUGUCAUUGUAGUAGAAGAAACAUAGACGCUCAUAUUACUAAAUAGCAAGGUUGGUGCAAAUGGAAUAAGCACAACAAUGAAAAACUGCAGCAGUGGUCGAGAAUACCUAGCGCGGCAGUCGCCUGAGUACGGUGGCUUGCCAUCUGGGCAGCCAUUCUAAGGAUGAAGGCGUUGGGCACAAACUUAAAAAUGACUCCAUGAUAAGAUAACAUAAACCUGUUGCCUGAGGAUGAAGCUAUCUUACUUGGAUUGCCCUAGCUUCAAGUAUCCCUGCAAUGCAAGCUCACAUAAAACACUCGAAAUCUUUUGGUCAAAAUCCUAGUUCACAAGUGCUCUGCAUAUAAAAUAAGUGCUACAAACUUUACACAGUGAUGUGAGGUUGGGUUGGAUGAAGUCAACUGUUUUGGGUAAUCCACCUACUAUACAGAUUCGGUCUUUCCAAAUCCUCUAUCAAAAACUGCAUAAUUUUGACUUGGACUCCAAACAUAAUGUGGAGAUCAAUCGCAAAAAAAAGGAGAGAUACGUCCCAUGCUUUCUACAGACUAUCUAUUUGCAUUAUUUUGAUGUACGGUUUAAAAGUAGCAGUCCAAUUUAGUUUCACAGUCCAAAAAUUAAUCUUUAUGUGAUUCUAUGUACAGUAACCUUGUAUGCGGACUUAGACCAUGUUACUGUUUGAAUUAAACUAUGCGUUCAACAUGAAAGUUGUAGAUAUCUUUAGUGGUGAGUAGAGCUAAAAGUGCAUGGACAGACUCACUAAAUAUUAAAGAGACCAAUUAAGCUAGUUUUCCCUAGGUUCUGAAACAGCUACACGCACUCUAACUUUCUGCAGGUUUGGCUCUUGUGCAGAUUACAUUUAGCUUUUAUACUUAAAAAAUAUUAACAAAUCAAUAUGUUAACCAAUAUCACCGUCAAAUCAUCAAUGCCCUGCCUGAAGCUCCUAUUGCAGUAGAAAAGGUCUACUGGAAACUGCUACUAUCUUUGCUGAUUUGAGGACACAACAAGUUACACUGGAAACUGCUACUAUCUUUGCUGAUUUGAUUAUCAACGGGAUUUCGUGAUCAUCAUUUCGCUGAUCAGACCAAUACUGUGCUAAUGCUCUGCUAAAUUAACCACUGGCUAAAAGGAGAAAAUACAGUUUUUUUAGUCUAACAAACAUGAAAAUUCUCAUAAGCAUAUACGUGUAACUAUGACAAGCUAACAUUAUUUUUGUGGCAAAAUUGGACCAAGUAUUACCUUCAAUCAUCCAGAAGAGGAACAUUUGAAUCUCCUUGAAAAUUUACAAUGGACAACCUGCAGCAAAGUGACGGGGUGAGGGUAAUUGGGAGAGAGAUGCAGAGUUGGGGCUCGGCCAGAGGAGGUUAGUCUCCAUCGGAAUGGCAAGAGUGCAGUAAGCAAAUCAGGAGGCUUUGGGAUGAAGAAAACUCACCCCUUUGCGGUCGGUCGGAUGGGGCGGAGCUCGCGCUUGGUGAAGACGCGAUCCCCGGCGGCGGCGACGGCGAGGAGGAGGCGGAGAUGGCCGGCUACAGAGGGCCGAAUGGGAUGUGCAGCUCGCUCCACCCAGGGAGGAAGGAUACCUUCCUGGAUCCAUCCAUCCAUGCUUGCAGCUUAGACGACCGGCCGUGAGUGGAUCUGCAGCCAUGGUGGCUGGGGGAGAAGACCGCGGCCGCGGGCGCCCUCGCUUGGGAAUGGAGGUGGAGGAGGAGGCAUCGGCGGCGGCAUAGGGCAUGGAUCGGCCGCGACACGGGGAUGGAUCGGCCGCGGAGGGGGCGUAGGGCUGGAUCGGGCGUGCGAAGGUCUGGUUGGCGACGGAGACCGAUCUGCUGCUCCAUUAGGAGUAGAGACUCGUCGCUGGUACGUGCGGCCGCACGGUUUUUCUAUCGCUGGUUAACCGUCGUAGGUUUUUUGUCACAGGUUUUCCUUCGAACGUCUAUUGAGGGUCGCACGUGGAAUGGUGCGGGUUCGGGACUCAGGAGCAGGUUUUUUCGGUUUGUGGUGGCUUAGUUAGAGGUGGGAGGAGGUACCAAAAUAAACCGUGGGAGGUGGGACUAAAAAAAAACCUGGAAGCGAGACUACCAACUGCUCCCUUAGGAGUAGAGACUACAAAAAAUCGUCAUGAUGACACCAAUAUAGGGAAAAAGUUUCCUCGCGAAGGUCGUUCCCUCAGGUAGCAUCAAACGAGCGAACAACUAUAUUCAGUUCAGACAUUUCAUCUAAAUGAUCUUUCCAACGAACGUGCGCUCUAGGCAUUGGUUGUGCCUAGCACUUCUUGAGGCUUUAUAUGUUAGAUUCCCCUUAAAAAAAAGGUAGCAUCAAACGAGCGAAGAAGUAUGUUCCGCUCAGGCGUUUCCUCUAAAUGAUCUUUCCAACGAACGUGUUGAGAUUUGUGCGAGGAGAUCGGCCACGCCACAUGCCGAGAAAACCCUUCCCAGCGAACGUCAGAGCAAUAACGUUUUCGUUCUCUGUUCCUUUUCUUUUUGAGAAACUCUCGCUCAUUCUUAUGUCAGCCUGGUCAUGCUAGGAUUUGGCGUCGCAUCUUCCAACUGCUCUUGCAAGUUCUCCUUCUUUUUGUAUUGAGAAGAGUACAAUUUUAUUACUGGUAAUUCAGUGAAAUGUCAGCGUGCGUCGCUAUAGGAGACAGCUGUACAGUGACUUGGGACUUCGUCGUUGCCCCUGAUGCACACUAGGUCAUGAGAGAUUGUCCAAUAGCACGAUAGUUGACGUGCAAACUCUAUUCCAAGUUGCAUUCCUUUCACGAGUACUGAUUAGCAGAAGUUCUGUUCCUCUAAAUACUUAAUUAAGCGCCGAGGCCAAGUCAUUCCAGUGCACCAAACCGCGUUAGUCUUCUUCUCUGUUAUAUCGCCACACACGCCAUUGGUAGCAGAUACAGAGUUUCUCGCUUGAUUGCUUCCAGACAUUGCGAGAGCCGAGGAGUACCAUGGCGAGCAGCUUCAGUUGCUCGGAACGUACGAAACUGACAUGGAUGUUGGCGCUGCUGCUCAUCUUGGUCAUGAUGCUUCGAGUCGAUGGCCAAUCUGGUAAUACAAGCCAUAUCCUUCGUAGCUUUUUUUCAUUCUAGAUCCUGCACCUGAUUGAUCCUGCUCCAUCUGCACAUUUCAGUUUACUUUAGUGUGCAAUUUUUAAAGAAUCACUUUGUUAAAAUCUUAGCAAUCCACAUAUUAUUAGCUAGAGCCUUCAGAAUAUCUAGUCGCGUGAGUCGUGAUCUUUGCGUAGGUUGCUCUAAACAAAAUAAUCCUUGUGUAGACCUUGAACUAGGAACGCGUGAAACUGAUACAGUGAUGCAUACUCUCAAUUUUGCGCAGGGUUCCUAAGCGUCGACUGUGGAUGGACAGGCAGUGCAGGUAGCACCUACAACGACAGCGCCACAGGACUACCGUAUGAUUCUGACGGAAAAUUUAUGGAAGGCGGUUUGAGCUCCAAAAUUUCUGCAGAGUUCAUUGCUGAUGCAGGGAACGAGCAACAAAAAACGCUGAGGAGCUUCCCUGACGGCAAACGGAACUGCUAUACGCUGCCAUCCGCCAUCGGUAAGAAGUUUCUGCUGAGGGCCAUGUUCAGUUACGGAAACUAUGAUGGGUUGAACAGGAGUAUGGACGGCUCGCCGUUCAUAUUUGGGCUGCAUAUCGGCGUCAAUUUCUGGGAGACAGUGAACUUGACAAAUUUAGAUCCAUCGCUCACAUUAUGGAAAGAGGUGCUCACCAUGGCUCCGGCCAACCUCCUGUCGUUCUGUCUGAUAAACUUGGGUUCAGGGACUCCGUUCGUGUCUUCAUUGGAGCUGAGGCCACUAGGAGAUGCAAUGUACCCUUUUCUGAGUACUUAUGUGUCUGUCAGCUACUUGAGACGGUUCAGAUUUGGGGACGCCGCUGAGUAUAUCACAAGGUGAGAAGGCAUCCAUAAUAUUUACUCCGGUUUCGGAUUAUAUCUGAAUUAUGUCUCUCCUGUAAGUGUGGUUUUAAAUUCUGUAGGCUAGGUGAAUGCAUUUCCAGUGCUUACUCUUUUGUUUCUUGAAUCCUGCAAUUGCUUCUAACAAAAACUAGUACUCCAUCCGUAAAGAAAUAUAAGAGUGUUUAGAUCACUAAAGUAGUAGUGAACUAGUGAUCCAAACACUCUUAUAUUUUUUCUACAGAGGAAGUACUAGUCAAUCUCACGGUCUCAAGAAUUAAGUUGGGAUUGGCAGUUCCCGUAGCAAUUAGGAUGCAAAUUUAUGACCCUUAAGAUACCCUCUCCGACCCUCCUUAGUUCAACCAAAUUAACUGUUGCAAAUUUGUUUCAUUUACCUGUUUUCCCUUGUCUUUGUGUGCGAUGAAGAUAUCCAGUGGACAAUUACGACCGGUUCUGGGCGGGUUGGUCUUUCUCUUUCAACACCUACCCCUGGAUCAGCCUGAACACUAGCAAACCAGUGAACAGGCUCAACAGCAUUGACGUCUUCCAAGUACCGGAGGUCAUCCUCCAGAAAGCCACGACCCUGGAUACAAACUACUCCUUUAUGGAAGUUAGCGUGGAAGUCGGUAGCAACCUGGACAUCAGGGGCAUGGAGCUUCUCCCGAUAUUCCAUUUCACUGAGAUAGCUGGCGACAUCCCAAACAGGACGUUCAAUGUCUACAGCGCAGACGAGUUGCUGUUCCAGGACGUGUCCCUGUCGCCGAUGCGGGUAGAGAGCAUGUACCCGACGAAUCGGUUCUUGACGAAUCGGUUCCUGAGCGGGUCCAACACUACGUCCUUCAUGCUGCGCAAGGUCCCCGGCUCGAAGCUCCCGCCGCUCAUCAAUGCGCUUGAGGUGUACUCGAUUGUUCGGACGGACAACCUCACCACUUCCUCCGAGGACGGUAAGAUCAGUCAUGACUCGUGAAUGAUUCCCACUGCAUAGACACCUGAAGGUUCCCUGCUCUGUUCAACACUGACAUGACCUUACAUUGAAAAAAUAGGGGAAAGUUGUUGUUUCAUGUUAAUUAAUAUUUAACUUCCUUUAUCAACAUAUACAACUUCUUUUAUCAACAUGUACAGCUUCCUUUAUCAUUGUCAUGUUUAGGAAGGUUUCCCUUGUCAUGUAAUUUAUUUCAUUUUGCUCUUGCAGUCAAUUACAUGAAAGAGGUGAAAAAACACUACAAUUUGGGAAGAAACUGGAAUGGAGAUCCAUGCUCCCCAAGAGAGUAUACCUGGGAAGGUUUGACUUGCGACUAUUCGAAUGGCAACCAGAAUCCGAGGAUUGUCCGAGUGUAAGAACACGACCAAGACCCAUCCGACACAGUUUAUCAUAUUUUUAACCUUUGGGGUACAUCACAUCAAUACCAACUAGUUUAACGCUACAUGUUGCUCUAAAUUAGUUUUUGCUUUCGAAGGUUGUAUGUUACUACCGAGUACAUUAGUGUUCACUCUCUUCUGGUUUGUAAGACCUACGUGCCCUAGAUCAUUAAUUUAACCAAUCAAAUAUGAGUUAUAUGCCUCAGAAGGUAUAUCAUUGAAUUCAUAUUCGAAAAAAGUUUCAAAUGGUAUACUCAUAUCACAUUGGUUAAAUUGACGAUUGAGGGAUAUGUGCGGGUCAUAUAAACUGGAAGGGAGGGAGUAGCUGAUAUCUUGAAAACACUGGUAAUUCAAACCCAAAACACUAUGUUUGUAAAUUAAUCACUUUUAUUAAGUGAGUUAUUAUAAUAACACGUGUAAGCUCAAUGGUGUAGGUAAAUUACGACUCUUAGUGAGAUAGAUUAUUUUGCAGAAAUAUGUCUACGAGCAAACUAAGAGGUGUAUUAGCUAUAUCAUUCUUCAUGAUGGCAUCACUGGAAAAUUUGUAAGUGAUCCCUACCGCAUAAUUUUGAUGAGCUAAAUGAAAAUAUGUUGGCAUAUUUUGUGACCUUGAGAGCAAAAAUAUAUGUAGGGAUUUAUCUCACAACAACUUGACGGGCACUAUUCCAAACUAUGAACUAAAGUCACUAAAAGUCCUGUGAGUUUCUGUACCGUUUCAACAUUCCGCUAAUGGUAUAAAUUUUAGAUUGAUGAUUUAGCUACUACUUUCAGCAAUUUGUCUUAUAACCAGCUUGACGGACCAAUCCCUAAUUCCAUUGUUCAAAGAUUUCAGGCCGGCCUACUUGACUUAAGGUUUGGCUUGCUCUAUUGCACGAUCACUAGUUGAUAUAAUUGUACUUUUAUCACCCGAAAGAAAAUGGCUCAAACCUCAGUUAUCACUAAAUAAUGAUACAAAUUAAUUCAAAGUUUAGGAACAAUUCUUUGCACAUAUAACAUAAAUGCAUUGGUUGAAAACAAUUGAGGAGCUAAGGGAAUUUUUGGUUCAUACAUGUACUUUGCCAUAUCAGUCAGGGAAGUUUCCUUUUUCUUCUGCCAUUGUUUAGUUAAUGCCAUAUUCUUUCCAGACCACAUUUUCUAAAUCAUAUCCGACUUCUCAUACACAUAAACUCUUACGAAAUUUUGAUGAAAUUGUGGCAACCAAUUUGGGCUCCACAAAAGGUGUGGCAAGCUACACUUUGGCCGUGUAUUGUAUUGAUCCAAAACACGCCCCUAGUACAUAUACUACUAUCUAAAAACUACUAAUGCUUUAUCACCUAUAGGUUUUCAAUAUGAGAGUGAGAUACAAAUCUAUUUAGAAACCAUGUAGUUUUAUUCUUUUAGAGAUUAAUUUAGUUUGAAAGCACUAUUAUCAGGUUGGUUACGUUAGAAAAUGGAGGCAUGUUAUAAUUGUAACGAGAUAGAGUUGUUACACCUAAGAUUUUGAGUUUUAAUAUGUUGUGUAAUUGCGUCACUAGACUAGAAGGCAAUCCCAUUUGCUCAAAAGGAAAAUACAUGUAUUGUUCAAAUACGAAGAACUCCAAACAUGUCAUGCUCACUGCAGUCAUAGUUCCAGUGGUAUUGGUAUCACUCCUAGUUGUGUUGGGCGUAUUAUGGAAGGUAUGCCAAAAAGGUAAAAUAAAAUGAUGCUCUCUCAAAUUUAUUUCUCAUAAAUUAAUAGGUCAUAGACAUUAGACAUGUGCUUCAAACCUUUAAUUCUAUUAACAACCAACUUCCUAGCUUUGCAGGGAACUCAGGAGAUCAUGAGGACUAUGAUAUUUAUGAAGAGGAAACACCCCUACAUAUUGAUAUCAGACGGUUCACUUAUGUAGAGUUGAAGUUCAUCACUAAGGACUUCCAAUCAAUCAUUGGAAAAGGAGGUUUUGGUACUGUUUAUCAUGGCAUACUGGAAAAUGGCGAUGAAGUAGCUGUUAAGGUGCUUAUGGAGACAUCAAUAGCAGAGUCAACAGACUUCCUCCCAGAGGUAUGACCUAAAUCGACUGAGAAAAAUCAUUGCUUUCUUCGAUAGAAACUCUUAAGUCUGUAAGAUGUCUAAAGCCUUUUGACAGUCCAUUUUCAUCAAACUAAUGCAAUUGGCUUGAACUCUGGGAUGUCUCUAAUUAUAUACGAUGCCGCAGGUGCAAACCUUGUCCAAAGUUCAUCACAAGAAUCUCGUGACUUUGGCAGGAUAUUGCCAAAACAAGAAGUGCCUAGCACUCGUUUAUGACUUCAUGCCUAGAGGAAAUCUUCAACAAAUCUUAAGAGGAGGUUUUUCUCUUAACUUUACUUAAUGGUUUCUAUCAAGCAUACUUGACUACAUGACUUAGGUAGAACCAAUCCAAAUUGGUGUUUGUUAUAUCUCUAGCUUCUCUUUCAGUUCUGACAAAGGCAGUUUGUAGUUGAAUUUUGUAAAAUUAACCAUUCAACCAAAUCUUAAAUUUUUCAGUCUGAAAAGCAAGUUGAGCAAGUCAGGGUUUUAUUACCUACAGAAUCGACAACUACGAAAUGAUCCAAAUGCCAACAACUUUGAUUAACCACUUCAAAAACCACCUACGCUCCCAAUUAUGUCAAUAUACUAGAUCAUAAUUGGUGCGUGUUGUUGCGUCCAUCUAUUUUUGCAAUGGGAUGAUAAGAAUAUACAAAAAAACAGACAGGUGGUAUAUUAUUAUGUAAAAUGUUGACGAUGUUAAUAAUUGACAAUUAAUACUACAUUGAACCAGGAAAAUUUAGAUCUAUCUCUAGUCAACUAGUCUUUCCAACGAACCAAACUUUCCCUAGGUAAGCAGGGCAUAGAACCAGAGUAACCACCAAAAUUAGGAUACUACAAAGUAGUAAUACCCUAGUAUGACAUACCACAUAGAGAGUAGCAGCAUGCGCAUGGCAUGCCAAAAUAGAGUAACCCGAAAUAGAUGGCAUAGGAUCAACUCUUCAUAAAGUAAGUAGACUGAUGCUAGGUAACUAAGGAAUACAAAGUUGUACGUAACCAUGGUACCAAACCAUUUGUUGAUCCUCUAUUGUUCUAUAAGAGCUAUAAGAAGAUAUGUCUAUGAACCAUGUCUACAUCCAUACAUGCCACUUUGAAUCAAAUUUCAUUUUCAGGAACAUGUAAAGACGAUAUGAGUGAAAGAACAUAACUUCAACUGUAUAAAAGUGAACUAUACAUAUCCGCUCAUUGUCAUUUCAUUGUAGGUCUAUCAACACAAGUAGCACAUCUAACAUUUAUCUAGUGCAUCCCAAAUUUUAAUAGCUAAUCAUGCUAGCAGAAACUUGGAAAACCAAAACCUGAACAACUAUAUGGCAUGUGAUCUUGACAACUGGUUCUUGUAUUUCCAGCAAAGAGGGAAAGAACCAUUAAAAGAAACAUGUAUGUAGCACCAUACAUGUAUUAUUUCAGUGUUGUUGCGUGUCAUUGUUAUCAAAUGGUCAAGUGGACUAACAUUACAUAUACGAAGCAUUCAGAUUUACCUGAAUGGAUGAAAUGAAAACAGUUGAUCCAAAGACAUACCAAGAACCAAUUGGCAACAUGGGAGGAAUGUUGAGAUAGUUGGACUUGAACACUAACAAAGAAUAAACAGAGGUGUCAAAAUAGACUAACCGAGGAUAUAAUGUAAAUGAGAGAUGUAUGCAAAUAAGAAAUUGUGUCUACAUUGUCCUUGUUUGUAACUGUAGUUCAUAUCCAGCUUUAGUGAUUACGAAAUCAACUUCCAAAAAUUCACCUCCACUAUAGUUUGUUGGGAAUCAAGUAGAACUUUCAUGGUAAUAUAUAUCAAGACAAGGUGGCCUAUUGAAAAAACACCUCAAUUACCAACCUCGGUUAGAAACUAGUAGGGAAGAAUCUGUGCGCCAGAGAGCUGUAGCAGGUUAUUGGCAAUGCCAAACACAGCAAAAACACAACUAACAAACUGCAGAGCAAAAGAAGGGAAAUCAUUACAACAUGAUCAAUGUGUUUCCAUGGCUUAAAAGGUACUAGUCCCGAGUUGUCCACUCUAAUUUUCCCCCUUUUUAUGUUUAUUAGUAUCUUCUAGUUGGAAGGCGAGUUUCUAUGUGAAUUCGACUAGAACUAACAUAACAUGUACACAUCCCAUGCUAAUCGAUAUAGAUAUCAUUCAGAUGAAUAUGAUGUGGUCAUGUGUACGUUAGUCCCAAUACUCUUUUUAAGAAGGGAUUCCUCCCCGAUUUAAUUUAACGAAACCAAAAAGGUUCAAGUUAUAGUUGAAAAAAGAACAUAUAAUAAAAAUGAUUGUUUCUGUUGGAAAACGUAGUAGAAAACAGAAAAUAAUCACCCUAUGAACACCCAGGAACAAUAUGAAGGUGCAUUAGAGAAUUGGAUCAUGAUCGUUACCAACUUUGAGUUCUAGCGGAAGCAAACAAGUCAAUGUAGAUCGUACUUGGAGUCCCUAGAAUAGUCAACUAAUGAUCCCGCAAAGCUCCCUCGAACGAUCCCCUUGAACCGAAGAACGAACGCAUGACUUCUCUACAGUUCGCAAGCGUACAAUCUUAAUGAUCUGUCAACACUUCACCGUCCUGAACUAAUCGCUGCUAGAGAAUUAGAGAGGAGAUUAGAGACACACGGGGCUUCUAAUUAUGUGGAUUAGAGGAACUAGAACUAACUCUAAUUAUCUCAACUAGAACUAGUAGUAUUGGACUAGAGGAGACACCUAAAACUUGUGUAUAGAAAAGGGGCCAAUACCAUUAGAGGGGGAGAGAGGGGCAGCCACCAAGGAGGGAAAAGUCCCCCCUUGGGGCGCCAGCCAAGGAGGAGUUGGACUCCUCACCUACUCCUCGCUUAGUCCAAUUCAGCCUCCCCUUUGGAAAGGGGGGCACCACCUCCACUUGGGCCUUCGUGACCCAAGACACACGGGGCCUUUAAGGCCCGUUGAUAUUUAAUUAAUUACAAAAGCGUUCUAACAAUUAUAGGGCCUUUUAUUAUUAAUAGAACAUCAUCGAAAACAUUUUUCACCUAUGUAUUAUUUAUUCGAAAUACCCAGUAUUGCCUAAUAACCUCUGAAACCCUUCCUAUGACCUCGAAACGCUUCUGGUUCCUCUCAGAACUUAUCCGAAUAUUAAUGAAACUAUUUCACAAAUAAAUCCUCGAUACUCUUGUCCUACUAACAUUUAGAAGAUCACGAUUACCUUAAGCUUGUGACCAUGUAGGUUCGGUAAAUCAUAAACGUGAACGAAACCCCUUCGUUCAAUGACCGAUAGCGGAACCGUGACGUCCAUAUCGAUCCCUAUGAUUACAUGAAUGACAUUCGAGUGAACCUUUGGUUAUCAUGUGAUGUUACCUUUGCUUCACGAUACUUUGUAAACCCAAGGUGAGAUAUAUUGGUAUCGUCUUGGGUCAUACACAUGCUCACUAUACCGGUCUCCUUGCUACCAGUUUUGUUCUUCUUUCUCGUUGUCGUGUUCCAUCAUCCCCGUGACGAUGUCACCUGUGUUUGGCCAGACGAUGAUGGAUGCCGUCACACCGAGAGGGACCUAAGAAUAUCUCUCCAAUGUUGGAGGAGCAAAUUUUACUCUCGAGCUACCGUGUCCCUUGUCAAACUUUUCGAUGAACCUGUAAGUUGUCGUUAUGUUCACCAAGUUACUGAUGACGUUUGAGCAACCCCAAAGCUCACUGUACGGUAAGAAUUGACUAUCAUACUCUCAUGGUCUAAGGAACUAAAAUCACAAGUUAAUACUCCAUGUUAUAACAAUUGAUACAUGAUGAUAUUAUCUCAAAGUAUAACAAACAAGUUUGGGUCGAUUCAAUAUGAUCGUUGUUCUAACGUCAUACUCUCAAUGUUGUUUUCAGACUAUUGUUACACUUAAUGAUACCUCAAGAUUCGGAAAACGUGAUCACCAACAACACUUGAGCUAGUCUUAUAGGAAGGAUUAGGAAUCUUAUUUUACUGUUUAUCGUUCUACACGUGCAUAUGAGUUUUCCACUGAAUCACAUGUUCCAGGAUCAUAGGAGUUAUAGCAUAGAAUAUAAACUCUAAUUAUGAAAAGGAAAUAUAGUAAAACGAUAUCACUGCCUCUAGGUCAUACUUCCAACAGUUUUGAGCUCAACAGAACAAUCACAUUCACUGAAACUCAUAUUGUUCAUUCUAUGAAAUUCACAUCAUUGAAGUGAUCUGGAGACACCAUCUAACAACAACAUGAUCUGGAGACACCAUUUGACAACAACAUGAUCAAAGUUCGGUCACCCUUUCGUCGGUGGCACCCGUUUCCUCCGGUACAUAUAAAUUAUAAUGGUACAAAACAUUGCAUAGAGUAAUAGACACUUUACGUUUGCUGAAUUCUCAAUGACAUUAGUGUGUUGCACACAUUAUAUAUAUAUCCUAAUUUGAGAUUUAUUUUCAUCUGCAAACAUCAUACAAAACCAAAAAAUACACAGGAAAAUAAAGUAUAGAAAGUGUUCCAGAUCAAACCAUAUGUAGAUUGAAGGAUCUGAGAACUAAAGAAGUGCAUCGAAGCUUAGCAACAACCAGCCGCAGGAGGUUUUCUAAGUUGUGUCGAUGUGACCGGUAAAAAAAUCCUUUGGAUCCGUAGUCCAUGACCCUCUUAAAUCCUCUGAAGUGAUUUAUGGAGCAGUGCAGCGGCCAUCUUGGAUGACAACGUGCAUAGGGACACCAGCUACACAGUCGGGUAUAGUAUUUGGUGUCAAGUAGCAGAGAUCCAGAAAGAGCCAACAUGAAGGGCACAUGAAGAAACCCUGGGGAUGGAGCUGAAGAUAACCUGGAGGUAGGGGAGCUCUAGGAAGUAUCUGUGGGAAAACCAAACACUUCCCUACAAUUAAUGGCCACCUACGAGUGGCGCACAUCAAUCACGAUGAAUGUUCCCGAAAACUAAAGGUUGGUUGCCCCUUCAAUCCUUGAGGACCAGACUGGUCAUACUGGGAGUAACUUAGCUAGUAACAUAACGUUUCUCAAGGCAAGUUUGCUUAUGUGACAUGUAGUUAAUAAGGAGAGAGAUGUUUGUGGUAACAUAAUAUGCAUGACACUUUGCACUAUGAUGCAACCGAAGACAAAAAAAGUCUACGACCUAAUAAAUGCUACCAUCUAUGAUACUACAUACAUGUUACUUUGCACUAUGAAGGUGAUAACAUAGACUAGUGUCAUAUGUAUGACACUAGUCUAAAUUACUCUCCACUAUAUGAGUAGCCUCAACUUCAUUUGAACAAUUCGUCGUUGCUUCGCCUCCACAUGCAUCACCCGCAACCUCGCCUCCACAUCAACCGGUCUGGUCCCCUCACUAGAGACGUCGACCGAGCAGAUAGCUCAUCGACCGAUUCCCGCAUCGCCCAGGGAUCACGUCCACACAUGCAGCGAUCGACGCUUGUGGGGCUGCUUCUCUUUUUCUCCACAACAUUCUUGCCAUUUUAGGGAUUUCUUAGAUAUACUUACGUGACAUCUAGCCCAUUUGGUCCAAAAUCAUAGAAAACCCCUGAAAUACUUCCUGGAGCAGCGACCCACUUCCGUUGAGCUCUAAGGUGGUCAGCGUACAGAGCCCAAGGGGGACCAGAAUAGCAUCCAACGACCGGCAAAUGCCCAAAGUAGCAGACCCAACAGUUAAAACACACUAAUGGUCUAAGAGAGCUCGAUUAGUGUACAAUUUUAAUGUCUCUAAAUGUUGCUUCACAACAUAAUAUAAAAACUAUCAGGAUAUAGUCGUCAGUAUGAGGGAAAAACUCUAAAAACUGACUAGUCUGACUUUGGCAUCCUAGUGAGUUAAAACUGAUUUGUUGAUGAUUAAAGGUGUGGUUCAUUUACUAGACUAUUAAUGAUGUCGCUAGUCAAGUCAAAUGUGUUGGUAGACCUACUUUACUUGGUAUAUACAUUGGACUAAUAAGUAAGACCACAAUAAUUACAUUCAAAGAGCCGCAGAUUCUAAGUAAUAGGUGCACACUUAACAAAUUGGGGUGAGCACAGCUACACUCUUGGAGUCAAUCAAUGAUUAUAAACUUGUACAUCUCCAACCCUGUAGAGAACACACUAACCAGAGAGGUACAUGUUCAAAUAAUACUUUAGUACUCAAUUCUCUUAUUAAUCACAUUUGUAACAAAGAAGAGCACUAGUAAAGAGAAGGAAAAGCAAUUACCUUUCGAAGAUUAACAUGCCUAUUUUGCAUGGUUUUAUAACCAAUUGAUGCUAUGGUUAAUAGUUGCAUCUGUAACCAGCAUUUGUUAGAUUAAAUAUGUUCAAACAUUAAAAAGGGCGAUUCUAUCUCACGUGCGCGUUGGUGCAGUUGAUUCUCGACAGGUGUAAGCAAUCCCUUUUUAGCAACUCACAUGAGCAAGAUUAGGAGACACACUAGGCCCCACCCAUUAAAUUGGGGGGGGGGGAGGUUAUAGUAGAGACAUGCAUGCGCAGGACCAAAAUAAAUGGAUCUAUUCAGGCGUUGCGACGCGUGCUGUGAAGGGAUAUUUCACAUAAAAAUUUGGGAUUUCUGCUGUCAUGCGUGUAGUAAAUGGCACUUGCAUUAAUUUGGUAUGUUUUGAUGCAGGAGAUGACUAUACCUUGAAUUGGGAACAACGACUUUACAUUGCACUUGAUGCUGCACAAGGUUCAAUUUCAUUUAUGUAUUCAUAUUUAUGUGAUGUGUAUUUAUGUGUUAUGGAAAAGUAUGUGUUUCAAUAAACUACAGGAUUGGAGUAUUUACACGAGUCAUGCACCCCAUCAGUAGUUCACAGAGAUGUGAAGACCCCCAACAUCCUUCUAGAUAAGAAUCUGGUUGGGAUAAUAUCUGACUUUGGUCUUUCAAGGGCAUUUAAUGAUGCUCACACACACAUAUCUACUGUUGCUGCUGGCACUCUUGGCUACCUCGACCCAGAGUACCAUGCAACUUUCCAGCUCACAGUCAAGACAGACGUUUAUAGUUUUGGCAUCGUACUCUUGGAGAUCAUCACUGGCCAACCCCCGGUAUUGGUGAACCCUCAAACCAUCCAUCUACCAAACUGGAUUCGUCAAAAGAUUGCUACAGGUAGUAUUCACGAUGUUGUCGACAAGAGGUUAUUGGAUCAAUAUGAUGCUAGUUCCCUGCAGAGUGUGGUAGACCUUGCCAUGAUGUGUGUCGAAAACGCAACCAUCGACAGACCGACAAUGAUUGAGGUUGUUUCAAGGCUCAAAGCAUGCUUGCCGGAAGUUCCAAGGCUAUUGCAACCAACGAUUUCAGGAGUUCCGCCAAUAAGCAGUGAGGGGGAUUUCCAGUUUGAUUAUACCGGUCGGAUGUCAAACACAAGCCUCUUAUCUGGCAGGUGAAAGGAAAUAGCCUAUUAUGUUAUUGUUGCAUCUGCCUUGGCAUGUCCCCAACGCCUUGGUCUGAUGCACGAAGGCGGCGCAACCAGUGCCUUGGAUACUUAUGAAGGGCCACAGCAUUUUCCUUGUUCUUUCCUCUAGUUCAAGAAAAAAAAUAGUAUAACCACAUCGUUCGAAAGCAAGGGUGAAUGAAGAAACAAGAGAAAACUCAUAUACAAUCUACUGUUUAUGGAAAUCAUGGAUACCACUUGUGAAUAUUUAAGGAGAGCACAAAUGAUUUAAUUAUAAUUGACGCACUCAGUGCAUGCAUAUCACUUGUGAUUAUUCAAAGGAAAGCCAAAAGAUUUAGUAUAAAGGAUGCAUUUGUUAUUAUCUAAAGGAUAGCAACAAGAUUUACUUAUAAAUGAUAUGUUUGGUACAUGCAUAAUAGUUACAAAGGAGAGUGUUACUUGUUAUUAUUUUGAUCAAUUUUGCACAAACACUUGGUACAUGCAAACUCUGGAUAUUUGCAUGCAUAUUCAUUUCUUAGUGGCAGCUAUGCAUAUUCAUGCACAUAUCCAAUUCAUGAGUAACAACCACAUAUAAAGUGUAACUCAAUGUGAGAUAUGAUUGCAGUUUCUUACUGAACUGGGGUAACUAAGGAUAAAACAUGGUAAACAAUGAGAGGUAUACAAAUUUAAGUGCUAGCUGUCCGGGUGCAACUAAAAUAGGUUUAGCAACUGUUUGGCGUGGAUCAUCGUUGGUGUUGUUUCUUUUCCCUUUUUCUGUUUUGUAUUUUUCCUCCUUUUGGUCCUGUUUAACUUUGCUCUAUGUUGACGUGAUCUUGUGUGCACGCCUUGGUGUUCUCUAUGUGCAUGUUAACCAUCCAGAGGUCAUGUGUAUAUUCAUUGUGUUUAUAACCCUUUUGAUGUUAUAUUACGAGUCAAUGAGAAGUGACAUUUAUGGAAGAAAAAAGUUGUCAUGUUGCCAAAAUCAACCCCUAUGAUCUCCCCAACAAAAAAACAAGGUUGAACGCCAGACACAAGCCAAACUCAGUAGAUCUCGCCAGCUUUACCAUUCCAUUACUUUAUUCAGUUUUGAUUAGGAAAAUAACUAAUAGAGGAAAGGACGUUGGUGGUCUGAGCUAGAAGCUUGUUUAGAACUGUACCGUUAUUUUGCUGAAGUUUCUUGGACGCGAUGUGAACUGACUUGUUACAUGUUGGGACUGUACUCAGUACUCCUGUUUGUCAAGAUGAAUGAGAAAGACACCACAUGCAAGCAAUAAGCCAACAACUCAACAAACGUGAAACGUGUAUGAACUUCCAUGAAACGGAAGUCUGAAACGACAUGCACGAAAUUGAGUAGAUUUCACAACCCUAGAAGCUCUGGUCCCCCGACCCCCGCGUCGCUCGCUUCAGGCAACACGAGGGAACCCUAGCAACCGCCGCCUGCCCCCCUCCCCCUCCCCCGCCCACGCCCUCUCCCGCGCCGUCGCCAUCGGAGGGCCGGCAGGCGAAGCUGCGUCGGGCCCUAGGAUGGUGGUGGCAGGUCUUUUAUUCCCCCACGUGCCGCCCCCGCCGCCGUCUCCAUCCACCUUCGUCUCCAUGCACCUCCACCAAUCCACACACCAUCAUCGCAGGAGGGCUAGCCGGCGCGACCGCGCCUGGUCCCUUGCCUCCUCCGACACGCCCCUCUCCUCGGUUGGUGUUGCAGCAUCCGCCCCAGUUCCCCCGAGCUAUGGGUGUCCGGUGGCCUUGGUUGCCCGGCGGCGGCUGCCCCUGCAGCGCACAUGCACGCCCUCCGCUGCCCAUGGUUGUCAUAUAUGUGGUUCCAGAUCUGCCCCCCCCCCCACACACACGUGAGUUGCGUCCCUUCCAACUCCUCCGGCUUGUUAGCAUGUUGGUGGCUCCGCAACCCCCUGUAGAUGUCCUUUGUUGGCCGGUCUCCAUCCCGGUGCAGCUCCGGCUUCGGUAUGUUCCUCGAGCUGCAUCUCCUCCCGACUCCUUUGGCACGCUGGCGCGCCUGCGUCUCCGGUCCCUGCGGCCCGGAUUUGCGUCCUCUCUAGAUCUUGCCUCGUUCGGGUCCUCCGGCCACCUUCGCUUCCCCUAUGCCAUCCCACCUAAUCGCCCAACCUCGCCCACCUUCAUGCCCACCUCCCUCGGCCUGAUCCAUAGCUCUCAGGUCCAGCGAUGUCGGUGCCUCCUUCGGCGGUGGACAUAGCUCGCAGUUUCAACUGACGACUUGGCUUCCUCUUCUCCAAAUCUUGCUCCGAUGGCUUGGGAUUGUUCAUACUCUGGCCAACGCGAAAUCCUUGCUCGACCUUUCGAUGUUGGCAACGGCGACAACUACGGGUGCCGUCACCUUCUUGAGGUGCUGCCAUGGCCGUCAUCUGUGCCCCUCUUCGAGCAGCAGGGGAAGAUCGGGCGGCGACGAUGUCUCGCGUCGUUCUCCUUCAUGAAGGCGUUGUCUUGUUUGUUCGCGGCGCCCUCGGUGACGGAUUUAGAGAUGUUUGUCGUCAUGUUGGGUUAAUUUGGGCUGCUUACAGGGCGGCGAGUUUAGCUGUGUUGUGUCUCUCUCUGGGUUGAGUAUCCCAUGUCUCUGCUCCGUGCACCAUGUUUACGCCUUCUGUGUUUGCGCCAUAUGUCGUACGAGCGCUUGUAUUCACUCUUAACUUCUUCUAUCAAUGCAAUGAUACGCAAGCUUUGCAUAUUCGCGAAAAAGAAAAAAAGAAACUGCAUACACAGUACAUUCUUCUCGACGUCCACACGUCCAGUCACACUCAACAUGCUAUGUGUUGUGUGUACGGCCAGUCGCUCUCAUGCAUUUCAUCGCACGGUGGAGAUCACACGGCCUUCCAAAAUAAACACUGCAAUUGACUGAUUUAGCUUGUCAAACGCAGGGUAGCUGGGGCCUAGGCCCUACUUGUCAUUGUGAGAAGGUACUUAUGUUGGUACUACCUCAUAACCUCAAUCACAUUGUCUCCACUGGGAAAAGCCGUGCUUGAAAGGUAUGGAUGAUUCGGUGUGAAAAGCUUACCGGGGUUAGCUUGACCGACCCUGCCCUUCUUCGCCAUGUAUAUUUGGAGGGAGAAUAACAUCUGCAGAAGCAGCGCAGCAAGGAGCACAAUCAAAAUCGAGGCGUACUUUUGUGGGCAGAACUUCAGGUAUAUAUUUCCCCAUCUCAUCUAAACAUUUUUUUUAAACCGGGCAUUACCCCUUUCCAUUACUCAUCAUAACGGAAAUAAUAACAGUUCAACAUGCCCAACAAGGAAACACAGAAAGGGGAAGUGAGUUCAAUACACCACUGGGAAACCCACGGUGAGCACCCGUCAUCGAGCAGCUCACUAUGGGGCGAAAACCCAGUGUCACCUGAAACGACUCCAAAAAUCACUCUAAGAAGUUUCGGCCCUCGAUACAAGCCUGAUCAGAUGGGCCACACCCAAAAGCUCGCGCAAGAGCAUAAAUCUAACCAACAACCAACCAGUUCAGAACACAUCAGACACCCCACCACUAGUGCAGAACCGAGCAAUAACACAGGUUCGUAAGGCCCUUUAGUGCCGGUUCCAUAACCGGCACUAAAGUGUGGGCACUAAAGCCCCCCCCCCCCUUUAGUACCGGUUCAGCACGAACCGGUGGUAAAGGGCAACCACGUGGCACGAGCUAGCUCCGGGGGCUGGAGCCCUUUAGUACCGGUUGGUAUUACCAACCGGUACUAUAAGGUUUGGGGGUUUUUUAGUUUUAUGAUUUCUUUUUCAUUUAAUUUUGUGUUUCCNNNNNNNNNNNNNNNNNNNNNNNNNNNNNNNNNNNNNNNNNNNNNNNNNNNNNNNNNNNNNNNNNNNNNNNNNNNNNNNNNNNNNNNNNNNNNNNNNNNNNNNNNNNNNNNNNNNNNNNNNNNNNNNNNNNNNNNNNNNNNNNNNNNNNNNNNNNNNNNNNNNNNNNNNNNNNNNNNNNNNNNNNNNNNNNNNNNNNNNNNNNNNNNNNNNNNNNNNNNNNNNNNNNNNNNNNNNNNNNNNNNNNNNNNNNNNNNNNNNNNNNNNNNNNNNNNNNNNNNNNNNNNNNNNNNNNNNNNNNNNNNNNNNNNNNNNNNNNNNNNNNNNNNNNNNNNNNNNNNNNNNNNNNNNNNNNNNNNAAUUUCUAGUAGAACCAAUCAUGCAUAUAUAUAUCAUCAAUGUCUCACAAACCACCAUAUUAAUUAAUUCACACAUACACAAAUGUAUAGCUAGCUAUAUACAAUUUCUCCUACAUAUGCAUGUUGCCUUCGGAGCCAGUGGCAUUAGCCUAAUUGGUGCCUUCGGAGCAUGAUGACAAUUGGAAGUGGUUUUCAUGGGGGCGGUAGCGGGUAAUAGUAUUCUCCCUUCGGAUUUAUGACCUGGUCGAGUAAAAAUCUCGCUAUUUCCUCUUGAAGUGCUUCUACGCGCUCCGUUUCUAGGAGUUUCUCCCGCACCUCUCUGAACUGUUAAGUAGGAGAUCAAUAUGCAUGUGUAUUAGUUGUGUGACUAGAUAUCGAUAAUGGUGUAAAAAUUGUGAAUAAUGUUCUGACAAGCGUACCCAUUCAUGUCUUUGAGAUCUGCUCCUUUGGGACGCUAUCAUGCGAAUGUUCUCGCAAACGCAGAAUGCACACAGAUCAGUCCCCUGCGCCUGCUUCAGGGCCUUUACGAGAAUGGAAUUUGAUCAGAUAAUAAUUAAUCAAGCAUGAUAAUUAAAGAGAUGGCAGCUACCUAGCUAGCUAGUACUACUUAAUUACUUACCUUGGGUCGAAACCAUUGAAGCUUUUUUUCCAUUCGCCAUCCGUGACGCUGAUGAACCUUGCCCAAGCCCUGCCCGCCGACAAAGAAAAUGAAUAAAGGGGUUAUUAAAUAGUUCAUAUCAUGAAAUGACGAACUAAAUAGGCCGAGAUAUAUAGUUAAUAAUGAUUAAAAUUACCUGUUGACUAUCUCAAACAAGAUGUUAUAGUCAGUUUUCACUUUGAGUAGUGAGUCCAGUAUUUCAACUGUUCCGUCGUCAACUUUAAUGAUACACAAGACCCAGUGAAAUCUGCAUGCACACGCGUUUGCAUGUCUUAAUUAAGCGGGCAUAUGUAAGCAAAAACAUGUAGCUAGCUAGUAGGCAAAAACAGAGAAUUUGUAGUACAAGACAGUGUGACUCACUGACAGUUGUAAGGAAGUAGUAUAUCUUCAUUGUAUUUGAGACGCUUCAAGAACUCUAGCAUGUUGUCCUCUACGUCCUUUUGAUGAUGUGGAUUUAUCCGCCAUGUGUAUUCAUUAACGGUGUUUGGGUCAAUGAACUCAAUGCCAUAGCGUCCACCUUUUCUCAUUUCAUACAUCUUCAUCCUGCAUAAUACCACAGAAAAGAAUAUAGUGAGGAUAAUUACAGGUAAUGAUUGAUCAAAAGGAUCACUACAUCUAGCUUGAGACUUAAAUUACAGAAAGAAAUCACUUACAGACAAUAGCAACUGGCGAUAGAUUUGUCGAGUGCGUCUUGAUUGUAUAACUGAAACAAUUCAGAAUACUCAACGGACAGAGCUUUCUCAUGGAAGUAAUGAUCCUCCUUGACAUUCACCAUGAGGGACAAUCGAUCUGAAAUCUUGGUAAUGUUCAUGUACCAUUGAUGCAAUUCAUACAUUCUCAUUGGGAGGUUCUUGACCUUGUCUGGCUCGACCAAAGGUUGGCCCCGGACAUAUUUCCGUUUUAUUUCAUCCUCUCUAAGCACAGGCAUGGGCUCGAUCUCGAGGAGUUGUCCAAAAGUGAUUUUGAGAACUUCAGCUUGCAUUAUAUGCUCCUCCGUUAUUACCACAUUGCCCACCUCAGGAACGUAAGCUGUUUCCCCACAAUAAUAUUGAGCGCGCGUACUGUCACGUGUUGUUGGCACAACAAGCGAGGGGAUCGAUUGCGCCGCCUGUUCUCCCAGCUGGGGAAUGGUUUUCCCGCAUUUUUUGACAGUUGCUUCUUGUUUGCUCGAUCCCGAGCUCGCCUCCUUACGUAGACGUGAUCGAUUUAACUUCCUGAUGUGGCGCUCAUAGUCUGUGUCAACAGGCUUGGGAGCUGGUGGUUGAGCCAUAUGAAUGAAGUGGUCAAUCGUUUCCUCAGGCACUUUCUCCCUUGGCGGCGGUGGCGGUUUCGAUGCAAAAUGGGCUUCCACCUCGGCCUUCGAUAUGGCUGCGAUUUCCUCCUCGGGCCUGUCAUAAGCCCUCUGCGGAAGAGGCGUGAGGCUUGGACCAUAUUUAUAUCGCUUGCCUCCGCUUGUACUUCCUGUACUACCUCGACUCGUACCGCUACGCACCAUAGCUACGGGGUGUCUCUUCUGCGAUUGCUGAGGCGGCGGAGACGGCUGACGGGGCUGAGUUGGACGAGGAGGAGUGGACGCCUGAAGUUGUGCCGGACUUGGAGGAGGAGUGGCCUGAGGUUGUGCCGGACUUGGAGGAGGAGUGGACGUCUGACGCUGUGGCGGACUUGGAGGAGGAGGAGUGGCCUGACACUUUGCCGGACUUGGAGGAGGAGUGGCUUGACACUUUGCCGGACUUGGUGGACUUGCAGGAGCGGGAGACUGCUGACUCGGUGGCGGACUUCGAUGAGGAGUCGGCUGACGCAGUGUCGGUGGCCUUCGAAAGAUGAUGCAAUCCUUUUUCCAUAGGAUGAUACGAUGUUUGGCCUCUCCGAGAAAGCGCUUGUCGUCAUCUUCAGGAAUGUCAAGCUGUAACUCCGAAUAUGGUGGGUCCACCACCUCAUCAACCAAGACACGAGCAUAGCCCGCUGGAAUCGGGUUGCAAUGGAAGGUUGCCUCGGGGGGAUUUGUAAAAAGCAACGGCGUCCGCCACCUUCAUGGAUAUGUUCGUUAUUUUGACGUGUAGCUCGCAGUUAGUGUUCUCCGUGAUGUCAUCCACGGGGUAUCUACCCAGCAUUGCGUCGUCCGGGGCGGCCGAACCCAUGCUGCUUCUCGGCAUGGAUGGGUCGGUGCUAUCUAAUGCUGGAUCAUCCGCUAGCUGCUGCAGCUGCUGAGACCCCCUUUGCUGGGUAAGUGAGUCGAUCUGCUCCUGCUGCCGCUGGAAUUUAACUGCCAAUUCCGCUUGACUUGCUUCUAGGCCUUGAAGGCGUUCACAGUCCUGCUUCCUCUGCUCCUCCUCCAUCUUCCUCUUCUUCUCCUCCGCAAUCUUCUUUCUCGCACGAGUUCUGUAGUCGGUGUUCCAGUCUGAAAACCCUUCAUACCACGGAAUAGCGCCCAUGCCUCGUGUUCUUCCUGGGUGUUCAGGAUUUCCCAGGGCACGCGUAAGCUCGUCGUUCUCUCUGUUGGGCUGGAACACCCCCGAUCGUGCCUCUUCUAUUGCAACAAGUAUCGCAUUGUCGGCUCCCUUCAGACUUGCCUUCGUCGAAACAUUGCCUGUCUUCGGGUCCAACUCCCCCCCAUGCGCAUAGAACCAAGUCCUGCACCUGGGGGGGGGGCAGCUCUUAGUAACCGGAGUGACACCUGCAUCCUCCAUCUCUUUCUCAGACUUAUCCCACUUAGGCAUUGCCACUGCAUAGCCACGUGGCCCCAGCUUAUGGAACUUAUCCUUUUUUCGGCAUUCUUCUUGUUUAUUCUCGACCGUUCCUUAGCUAAUUCCGAAUCCUUGAAUUUCAUGAAAUCGUCCCAAUGAGCACGUUGGUUCUCUAGUGUUCCCUCGAAUACUGGAGUCUUCCUUCCUCCCUUGACGUACUUGUCCCAUUCACGAUUCUUGUGGUUCUUGAAUGCAACCGCCAUCUUCCUAAGAGCAGCGUCCUUGACUUUCUGCACAUCUACUUCUGUGAAAUGAUCUAGUAGGGUGAAAUGUUCCAUGAGAGUAUCCCAAAGCAGAUCUUUUUGAUUCUUGUCGACAAAAGUAACAUCUGGACGUGGAGCAGCAUUCUCUUUGCCUUUUUGUCUUUUGUCUUUUGCUGGCUCUCUCCAUUCUUGAAGGCAGAUCGGGAGUUGGUCCUUCACAAGAACUCCGCACUGACGAACGAACUUGUCCGCAAUCUUCUUAGGCGCUAAUGGUUCGCCAUUAGGUCUGACUGCCUCGAUAUUGUACUUUACGCCCUCCUUCAACUUUUUGUUCAGGCCUCGUUUCGUCCUUUUGCCUGAAGAUUUGCUCGAUCCGGAUGGCUGAAAGAACAAAGAUCGAUUCGUUAAUAUAUCUUCAAGUCAUUUAAAACAUGUGAUGAUCACCAGAUACCUUCUUAUAUAAAUAUAUAUACCUCGCCAGUUUUUGUUGUUUCAGGAUCAAUAUGUUCUUCGUCAUCAUCAUAAUCGUAGUUCAUGACUUCAUCAAUUCGGUCAUCGCGAUCGAAUAUCAUAUCACCCUCUCCGGUGUUGUUUAGAAAUUCGGAGCCGUCAUAAUCUUCUUCAUUCUGAUCAUCAUCUGGCCCACGUAUCAUAUCGAACAUGGUCUAUUCUCCCUCUCUGUCGGUAUUGUCUGCCAUAGCUUUUAUUUAACUAAUCCAAAAGAAAUAUAAAACAAUUUAGUAUUCAAAUUACAUCGUCUCGAAUAAUAGAUAUAAUCUCGAAUACUUCGUCUAAAAUAAUAGAUAUAAUCUCGAAUACAUCGUCUCGAAUAAUAUAUAAUAUUGAAUAGUACAUCACUGGCUAGCUAAUUAAAGAUCGAAUACUACAGAAGAAUCUAGGUUACUCGCAGUUCCUGCGGCGUGGGCGGUGGACACCCAAAGAGAAGGAACCCUCACAGGAUCAUAGCUGAAGUGAGAUCCCCGAAGAUACUGCCAGGUAUUGGAGAACCUGCCGCCCUCUAACGCAGCCAUGUAGCGAUGGACGUGCUCGUCCUCCUCCCUGACACGGCGACGUACCACCUCCGGCGGGGCCGGAUCCCUCCGCACCGAAACUGGCCCACGCGAACGCCACAAAACGAGAUCAGGGUCGACGACGGGACCCGGGGCGGGGUUCCUCAUCAAGCGGCGCACCCCUCCAGGCAGCACCUCCUAGUGCCAGCCCGGCGGAGCCCAGUCCCGGACAUGGGUCGGCUGGACGUCGUCGCGGACGGGUCGACGGCGAGGAUGUGGGCCGGGCAUCGUCGAGAACAAAUACUAGCUAUAUGCCCGCAAAAAGUAACAUUUUUUUAAUGAUUGGAUUUUGAUAACUAAAAUUUCUAACAUUUCUACUAUUUCAAAAAUCUAUAUACUAUUUCAUACUAAUUAAGCAUCUAACACUAAAACAGAAAACACAACUUCUAUACAUCCAUUAAAAAACUGAAAAACAACAUUAUAUGAAAAAUUUCCAUACUAAUUAAACACUAAUUAUAUCCAUCUAACAUGCAUUCAUACAUAUAUAAUAGUGAAAAAAUAAUAAUCUAAAUAAUCUAAACUAAUUAAACAUACAAAAUACGUAUAUACUAAUAUAUACAUGCAUUAAUUCAUACAUAUAUGUGUGUGUGUGUGUNNNNNNNNNNNNNNNNNNNNNNNNNNNNNNNNNNNNNNNNNNNNNNNNNNNNNNNNNNNNNNNNNNNNNNNNNNNNNNNNNNNNNNNNNNNNNNNNNNNNNNNNNNNNNNNNNNNNNNNGGACGGGGGCGGCGAUGGGGACGGGGGCGGCGACGGGGACGGGGGCGGCGACGGCGACGAAGAUGACGGAAACAGAGAAAGAAACAGAGGGAGAAUGAAAAUUUGGUAAGUGUAUAUAUAGAAGGCACCUUUAGUACCGGUUGGGGCCAUCAACCGGUACUAAAGGCCUGUUUUGGCCAGGCCAAGCGGCGGGAAGACGAAGCCUUUAGUACCGGUUGGAGCCACCAACCGGUACUAAAGACCACCCUUUAGUACCAGUUGGUGGCUCCAACCGGUACUAAAGGCCUCGCGCUGCCACCCCAAAGUUUAGUCCCACCUCGUCGGGCGAAGGGCAGCCGCACUGGUUUAUAAACCCAGCCACGGCUACCACUUCAAACUCCUAUAUAUAGCAGGCUUGUGGGCCUAAACUCUGCGCGCUGCCCUAUGAGUCUGCUGGGCCUUUAAGGCCUGUAAUUACACACCUAUGGCCUAUCAGGCCCACAGGGCAGCGCCCCAAUUUUUUUUAUAGUUUUUUUCUUUUCUGCUUUAUUUUUUUCUAUUUAUUUUUGCGUACUUUUUUGUAUAGUUUUUUCUUUUCUGUUAUAUUUAUUUUCUUCUAUUUAUUUUUGAGUAGUUUUUCAUCUAGUUUGUCAAAAUUCAACAUUUUCAGAGUUCAUUUUGUAGUGAUUUUCAAUUUCACGGUCAUUUUGUAAACGAUUGAAAAAUAGCAAAUAUAUUUUUUUUCUUUUCUGCUUUAUUUUUUCUUCUAUUUAUUUCUGAGUAGUUUUUUCUUUUCUGCUAUAUUUAUUUUCUUCUAUUUAUUUUUGAGUAGUUUUUUUAUAUAGUUUUUUUCUUUUCAGCUAUAGUUUUUCUUUCUUUUCUGCUAUUUUUUCUUUUCUGCAAAACUUGAUGGUCAAAGUCUGGAGUUAUAACUUAAAAAAAAGAAAUGUCGACGUGCAAUUAGUUUUUGCCAUAAUAGAAGAAGUCCGGAGUUGUAAUAAGUUAUUAAAAAUAAAAAAGAGGUGCAAUGCUCGUUAAUUUGCUUCAAGCCUUUCGGAAUAGUGUAAACUGCACUACGCAUAGCUCCGUGCAGUCUACCGUAUUCCUGAAGGCUUGAAGCUAAGCAACGUGAGCAUUGAUCCUCUUCUUUAUCGUCUCUGCACUCAGGGCUUAUAAACCGCUCCUAGUCCCUCUCACUUCGCGAGGUGGGACUAAAAAACAGCUUACGUCUGGUUCAUCCAUGAACCGGUACUAAAGGUGCUCGUGGGGCCCCAGCCUUACCUGACACAACCUCAUUAGUACCGGUUCGUGGUACGAACCGACACUAAAUGGUGAUGGUGGGGCCAUAGCCUGACCGGAGGCUGACAUAGCCUCUUUAGGUACAAAAAAUUACAAACUUUCUGUUAGUGCCCGUAGUUUUCAAAUUUGAAUAGUUUAAAUUUUGAAUUAUUUGAAAUUAGUGUGAAUUUGUUUGCACAUAAAAUUUCUUCGUGUUUCAAAUGCCAAAACACAUAACUACCCUAACUAUUACAGAUAUUCCCCUCUGGGUGCGAAACACAGAAGAAAGUAAUGAUAGCUAGUGAAGCCGAUCACAUCCCAGAUCUUUGGGUGUGAAACUUUUUCUUCGCGUGUGUCCCUUUGCGCCGUAACCAUGGAAAAUCUUCAUCAUUUAACGGGAUGCUCGGGUCAAUAUUCACUGUGAAUGGAGCAAUUUCAUCAAACUUUUCAUAAUCUUCUGACUUGUCUGUCUUGUCAUCCACUCCCACGAUGUUUCUCUUCCCAGAAAGAACUAUGUGCCGCUUUGGCUCAUCGUACGACGCAUUCGCUUCCUUAUCUUUUCUUUUUCUUGGCUUGGUAGACAUGUCCUUCACAUAGAAAACCUGUGCCACAUCAUUGGCUAGGACGAAUGGUUCGUCUGCAUACGCAAGAUUGUUGAGAUCCACUGUUGUCAUUCCGUACUGCGGGUCUUCCAUUACCCCGCCUCGUGUCAUAUUGACUCAUUUGCACCGAAACAAAGGGACCUUUAAACCACGUCGAUAGUCAAGUUCCCAUAUGUCCUGUAUAUAACCAUAAUAUGUUUCCUUUCCCGUCUUGGUUUCUGCAUCAAAGCGGACACCACUGUUUUGGUUGGUGCUCUUCUUAUCUUGGGCGAUCGUGUAAAAUGUAUUACCAUUUAUCUCGUACCCUCUGAAAGUCAUUAUAUUCGAAGAUGGUAACUGGGACAGCAAGUACAGGUCAUCUUCAAUAGAGGUGUCAUGCAUGGUACGUGUCUGCAACCAGCUGGCGAAACUCCUGGUUUGUUCACAUGUAAUCCAGUCAUCAGACCGCUCCGGGUGUUUGGAGCGUAGCAAAUUCUUGUGUUCAUCCAUAUACGGAGCCACCAAGGCAGAAUUCUGUAGAACUGUGUAGUGUGCUUCAGUGAGAGAAUAUCCGUCCAUACAUAUUAUUUGUUCCCCUCCUAGCGUGCCUUUUCCAUCCAGUCUGCCCUUAUGCCGCGAUUCAGGAACACCAAUCGGCUUAAGGUCAGGAAUAAAGUCAAUACAAAACUCAAUGACCUCCUCAUUUUGAUGGCCCUUGGAGAUGCUUCCUUCUGGCCUAGCACGGUUAUGAACAUAUUUCUUUAAGACUCCCAUGAACCUCUCAAAGGGGAACAUAUUGUGUAGAAAUACAGGACCCAAAACGUUAAUCUCUUCGCAUAGGUGAACUAGGACGUGCGUCAUGAUGUUGAAGAAGGAUGGUGGGAACACCAACUCGAAACUGACAAGACAUUGCACCAAAUCAUUCUGUAACCUUGGUAUGAUUUCUGGAUCGAUUACCUUCUGAGAGAUUGCAUUGAGAAAUGCACAUAGCUUCACAAUGGCUAAUCGAAUGUUUUCUGGUAGAAGCCCCCUCAAUGCAACAGGAAGCAGUUGCGUCAUAAUCAUGUGGCAGUCAUGAGACUUUAGGUUCUGAAACUUUUUCUCUGCCAUGUUUAUUAUUCCCUUUAUAUUCGACGAGAAGUCAGAUGGUACCUUAAUACUGAGCAGGCAUUCAAAGAAGAUUUCCUUCUCUUCUUUGGUAAGAGCGUAGCUUGCAUGACCUUGAUGUAUGCCGUCUUCCCCGUGCAUACGUUGCUGGUCCUCCCGUGCCUUAGGUGUAUCUUUUGUCUUCCCAUACACGCCCAAGAAGCCAAGUAGGGUCACGCAAAGAUUCUUCGUCACGUGCAUCACGUCGAUUGCGGAGCGGGCCUCUAGGUCUUUCCAAUAUGGCAGGUCCCAAAAUAUAGAUUUCUUCUUCCACAUGGGUGCGCGUCCGUCAGCGUCCUUUGGAACAGGUUGUCCGCCAGGACCCUUUCCUAAUAUCACCUUCAAAUCCUUGACCAUAUCAUGUACAUCAGCACCAGUACGGUGGCGAGGCUUCGUCCGGUGAUCCGCCUCACCUUUGAAAUGCUUGCCUUUCUUUCUUAUGGGAUGCCUGCUCGGAAAAAAUCGACGAUGUCCCAGGUACACAUUCUUCUUACAACUAUUCAAAUAUAUACUGUCGGUAUCAUCCAAACAGUGCGUGCAUCCACGGUAUCCCUUGUUUGUCUGUCCUGAAAGGUUACUGAGAGCAGGCCAAUCAUUAAUGGUCACGAACAGCAACGCCUUUAGGUGAAAUUCUUCCCCCAUGUGCUCAUCCCACGCACGUACACCUGUUCCAUUCCACAGUUGUAAGAGUUCUUCAACUAAUGGCCUUAGGUACACAUCAAUGUCGUUGCCGGGUUGCUUAGGGCCUUGGAUGAGCACUGGCAUCAUAAUGAACUUCCGCUUCAUGCACAACCAAGGAGGAAGGUUAUACAAACAUAGAGUCACAGGCCAGGUGCUAUGGUUGCUGCUCUGCUCCCCAAAAGGAUUAAUGCCAUCUGCGCUUAGACCAAACCAUACGCUCCUUGCGUCAUCUGCAAACUCCUUCCCGUACUUUCUUUCGAUUUUUCUCCACUGCGACCCGUAAGUGGGUACUCUCAACUUUCUGUCUUUCUUACGGUCUUCUCUGUGCCAUCGCAUCGCCUUGGCAUGCUCUUUGUUUUGGAACAAACGUUUCAACCGUGGUAUUAUAGGAGAAUACCACAUCACCUUGGCAGGAAUCUUCUUCCUGGGGCGCUCGCCCUCGACAUCACCAUGCUCAUCGCGGCUGAUCUUAUAGCGCAAUGCACCACAUACCGGGCAAGCGUUCAAAUCCUCGUACUCACCGCGGUAGAGGAUGCAAUCAUUAGGGCAUGCAUGUAUCUUCUGCACCUCUAACCCUAGAGGGAAGACAACCUUCUUUGCUUCAUACGUACUCUCGGGCAAUUCGUUGUCCUUUGGAAGCAUAUCCUUUAUCAUUACCAGCAACUUUCCAAAUCCCUUGUCAGAUACACCAUUUUCUGCCUUCCAUUGCAGCAAUUCCAGUGUGGUGCCCAGCUUUUUCUUGUCACCUACGCAAUUCGGGUACAACAAUUUUUUGUGAUCCUCUAACAUGCGCUGCAACUUCUUCUUCUCCAAAUCACUUGCGCAGUUUCUCUUUGCAUCGGCAAUGGCCCGACCUAGAUCAUCAACGGGCUCAUCUGAUGCCUCUUCUUCAGCUUCUUCCCGCAUUGCUGGCUCAACUUAUUCCCGCAUUACCGGCUCAGCUCCUUCCCCCAUUGUUGUAUCAUCGUAUUCAGGGAACCCAUGGCCAGGAUAACUGUCGUCGUCCUCUUCUUCUUCAUUGUCUUCCAUCAUAACCCCUCUUUCUCCGUGCUUGGUCCAAACAUUAUAGUGGGGCAUGAAACCGGACUCAAACAGGUGGACGUGAAUGGUUCUUGACGUAGAGUAAUUGCGACCAUUCUUACAGCCAGCACAUGGACAAGGCAUAAAACCAUCCGCCCGCUUGUUUGCCUCAGCCGCAAGCAGAAAAGUAUGCACGCCCUCAAUGCACUGGGGAGAGCAUCGGUCAUCGUACAUCCAUUGCCGGCUCAUCUUCAUUACACAACACCGAAUAGACCAAAUUAAUACAAGUUCAUACAUAAAGUUCAUACAACACUUAAAUGCAACAAACAAAUAACUCUCUAGCUAAAGCAUUUAAAUGCAACAACAAAUGCGAUCAAGAUCGCAACUAAGGUAACAAUUGAUCCAACAACAUAAUGAUACCAAGCCUCACUAUCGAUGGCAUAUUUUCUAAUCUUUCUAAUCUUCAAGCGCAUUUUCUCCAUCUUGAUCUUGUGAUCAUCGACGACAUCGGCAACAUGCAACUCCAAUUCCAUCUUCUCCCCCUCAAUUCUUUUCAAUUUUUCUUUCAAGUACUCGUUUUCUCUUUCAACUAAAUUUAACCUCUCGACAAUAGGGUCGGUUGGAAUUUCCGGUUCACAUACCUCCUAGAUAAAAAUAUCUAUGUCAACUUGAUGGGCAUAAUUUAUCAUAAACACGAAAUGCAACAAAUAGUUUUAAAAGAGAAUAUACCACAUCCAAAUCAUAACAAGGACGAGGGCCGACGGGGACGGAUAUCAAAACCAUGGCACUAUGUAUAACAAACAACGUACGAGUAAGAUAAUUAUUAUAUGAGUAACUAUAUAUCCAAAUCACAGAAACAUCAAUUUUUUAUAUAAAAUUUCAUGAACAAGAGGCUCACCACAAGGUGGUGCCGGUGACGGGACGGUGCGGGCGAUCGACGGUGGUUACGACGGAGAUUUAGAAGGCACUAAGUAAACCACACCUACAUAUGCAAACUAAGUGUUAUUUUGACCUCAAAUUGCAUAUAAAUCAAAUACUACCACAUAUAAUUCCUCCCAAAUUACUAAAACCCACAAUUAAUCACUAUAUAAACUAAUGCAAGAGCUAAUCUAGCAAUGAGAGAUGAAAGGACAAAGUUGCUAACCUUGGUGAUCAUUUGAAUGGAUGAGGGCCUGCAAAUCUUGACAAAUUUGGCGCAAAUUUUGUGAUGAACUCGAGAGGGAGAAGGGAAGAACAGAGGAGAGGGAGAGGGAAAAGGGGGAAGAACAGAGUGCGGGUGGACGAAGGGUUUAUAUAGGACGACCUUUAGUACCGGUUCGUGCCACGAACCGGUACUAAAGGUGCUGGAAGGGCCCCACUCUGACAACAUCCUACCACCACUCUCAUUAGUACCGGUUCGUGGCGCGAACCAGUGCUAAAGGUUUGCCACGAACCGGUACUAAAGAGCUCCUCCCGGCUAGCCGUUGGAACCGGCACUAAUGGACACAUUAGUGCUGGUUCUGUUACAAACCGGGACUAAUGUGUCUCACAUUUGACCCUUUUUCUACUAGUGCACGCAUCCAGAGAAAGGCCACCGGGGGAGCGCCGGCUGAGCAUGAAGAUGGAGAAGCUCUGCCCCAGCUUCAUCGACCAUUACGCGUCGCAUCUCUUGGCGUAGCAUAGAUUCUCAUCAUGUUCGAGGCAUUCAUCCUCAGCAUCUUAGCCCCUCGCUCUAUAGCCUCCCGGUCUUCAGCGGACAGUAAACCUGCCCAAUAAGAGAUAUAACCACAAGCAAAAUAUACCACAUCAAAAGGAGAUCUCAGCUCUUUGAGCUCAAAGAUUUUUUUGUUUCGACAAUUCCACAUAGCCCAGCACAAAGCGGCCAAGCCAAAGGUGUAAAAUCUUUCCCCGUCAGGAAGGUAACAGUAGCACCAGGCAAAGUAUUGCCAUAGAUUAUUAGGGCAACGAUCAGUGCCAAAAACACACCCAAUUGUCCUCCACAUAACUCUAGCAACUGGACAGGUAAAGAAAAGGUGAUUAGAUGUUUCUUUCUUAUUGCAAAAAGCACCCAUCGGCCUACCCAGCCACCCACGUCUGCUCAUGACAUCCCUAGUCAGGACCGAAUCCUGAAACAGUUGCCACAAAAAGAUUUGUAUCUUUAAGGGGAUUUUUGCUUUCCAUAUCCAUCUGAAGUUGCACCUAGUGAUGUUCCUUUCCAAGUACUCAUAGACCGACUUAGUGGUGAAGUACUUCUUCCUCCCCAAGGCCCAGACGACCUGAUCAGGGUCGUUAGAGAGUGGCAAAACCCUCACCCAGGCCUGCAUCCUUCUCCAUUGAGCAAGAAGCUCAGGAUUUAGUCUUCUUCUGAAGAAGUUCACAUCCACAAUCUCGCUGAACUUAGCAACAAUUAUCUCUUGAUCAUUGCACACAUUGAAUAGAAUAGGAAAUUGGGUAUAUGAUACGUCUCCAACGUAUCUAUAAUUUUUGAUUGCUCCAUGCCACUUUAUCUACUGUUUUGGACUAUAUUGGGCUUUAUUUACCACUUUUAUAUUAUUUUUGGGACUAACCUAUUAACCGGAGGCCCAGCCCAGAAUUGCUGUUUUUUGCCUAUUUCAGUGUUUCGAAGAAACGAAAUAUCAAAUGGACUCCAAACGGAAUGAAACGUUCGGUAACGUGAUUUUCUCACCGAACGUGAUCGAGGAGACUUGGACCCUACUCCAAGAAGUGCCAAAGGUGGUCACGAGGGUGAAGGGCGCGCCCCCCCUACCUCGUGGGCCCCUGUUGCUCCACCGACGUACUCCUUCCUCCUAUAUAUACCUACGUAUCCCCAAACGAUCAGAAGAGGAGCCAAAAACCUAAUUCCACCGCUGCAAACUUCUGUAUCCAUGAGAUCCCAUCUCGGGGCCUGUUCCGGAGCUCCGCCGGAGGGGGCAUCCACCAUGGAGGGCUUCUACAUCAACAGCAUAGCCCCUCCGAUGAAGUGUGAGUAGUUUACUUCAGACCUUCGGGUCCAUAGCUAGUAGCUAGAUGGCUUCUUCUCUCUUUUUGGAUCUCAAUACAAUGUUCUCCCCCUCUCUCGUGGAGAUCUAUUCGAUGUAAUCUUCUUUUUGCGGUGUGUUUGUUGAGACCGAUGAAUUGUGGGUUUAUGGUCCAGUAUUAUCUAUGGAAAAUAUUUGAUUCUUCUCUGAAUUCUUUUACAUAUGAUUGAGUUAUCUUUGCAAGUCUCUUCGAAUUAUCCUUUUUGGUUUGGCCAACUAGAUUGGUAGUUCUUGCAAUGGGAGAAGUGCUUAGCUUUGGGUUCAAUCUUGCGGUGUCCUUACCCAGUGACAGAAAGGGUUGCAAGGCACACAUUGUAUUGUUGCCAUCGAGGAUAACAAGAUGGGGUUUUUAUCAUAUUGCAUGAAUUUAUCCCUCUACAUCAGGUCAUCUUGCUUAAGGCGUUACUCUGUUUUUAACUUAAUACUCUAGAUGCAUGCUGGAUAGCGGUCGAUGAGUGGAGUAAUAGUAGUAGAUGCAGAAUCGUUUCGAUCUACUUGUCAUGGACGUGAUGCCUAUAUACAUGAUCAUUGCCUAGAUAUGCUCAUAACUAUGCUCAAUUUUGUCAAUUGCUCAACAGUAAUUUGUUCACCCACCGUAGAAUAUCUAUGCUCUUGAGAGAAGCCACUAGUGAAACCUAUGGCCCCCGGGUCUAUUCUCAUCAUAUAAAUCUCUAUCGCUUGAUUUACUUGCUUUGCUUUUACUUUGCCUUUUAAUUUUCACUUUGCAUCUAUCUAUCAAAAAUACCAAAAAUAAUAUUUAUUAUCUCUAUCAGAUCUCACCCUCGUAAGUGACCGUGAAGGGAUUGACAACCCCUAAUCGCGUUGGUUGCGAGUAGCUAUCGUUUUGUGUAGGUACGAGGGACUUGUGUGUGGUCUCCUACUGGAUUGAUACCUUGGUUCUUAAAAACUAAGGGAAAUACUUACGCUACUUUGCUGCAUCAUCCUCUCCUCUUCGAGGAAAUUCAACGCAGUGCUCAAAGAGGUAGCAAGAAGAAUUUCUGGCGCCGUUGCCGGGGAGGCUCACGCAAGCAAGUCAACAAUACCAAGUACCCAUCGCAAUCCCUAUCUCUCGCAUUACAUUAUUUGCCAUUUGCCUCUCGUUUUCCUCUCCCCCACUUCACCCUUGCCGUUUUAUUUGCCCACUCUUUCUCAAUCUCCUCCUCUCUUUCCCGUUUGCCUUUUUCUCAUUGCCUCUUUUCUUUGCUCGUGUGUUAGUUUGCUUGCUUGUCGUCAUGACUAGUCUCAUAUCUUCUCUGUUAUCUCCCGAGAAUGAAGUUCUAAAUUUUAAGCAAAGGGAGGGAGAAAAUCUAAAAGAUGCUUCGUAUAGAAUUUGGAAUGCUCAAAAUAGAUCUACCAGGAAGCAAUCUACUUCAGUUCUUCUUUGCAAUUUUUACGUAGGAGCUAAUCCUUGGUAUAGAUAUAUCCUUGAUACCAUUACCGGAGGGAACUUUUUGGGUAGCCAUACUUUUGAUUCUUAUAAUGCUUUAAUAGAUAUAUUUGGCUCACCACCCCUUUUGGUUAAUGGAACUACGUUAACUUUGGAGCAUGUUAUGCAAAGGCUUGAAACUAUUGAAAAUAAAGUUGCUACCAUUGAAUCAAUUGAAAAUCUUGAUAAAAAGAUCCACAAUCAAAUUAUCCAAUAUGGAUCUAAGGUAGGAAUGACUUUGAAAAAUAUUAAAGAAAAAGAACCCAUAGUUAAUGAGAAAAUAAAUCUAGAUGCCGCAAGAAUUGAUAAACUUGAGGGUAUUAUUACCAACUUGGGAACCGCUUUUUCUUACGUUCAAAACACUCCAAGUUCUUCUACUAAAAAUACUAAGCUUAUUUAUGUUGCUAAGAAUAAGGGUGAAUCAUCUAGUAAGGAAACUGCGGAUCUUAAAUCUAUAAGUGUUCAUCCCAAUCUUUUUACCAUCAUUAAGGAACCAUUUGCUAUAGAUGAAUUUUUUGAUCUUUUGCCUGAAAAUUUGACAAUUACUAGGAAGAAAGAAAAUUCUAAAGGAGGUAGAUGCCUCAUUGAAGAAUUGCCUACCAAAGAUGGCAAUACCUAGAUCUAUCCUUGCUUUUAUGCCUAGCUAGGGGCGUUAAACGAUAGCGCUUGUUGGGAGGCAACCCAAUUUUAUUUUUUGUUUUUUUGUUUUUGCUUCUGUUUAGGAAUAAAUAAUCCAUCUACCUUCUGUUUGGAUGUGGUUUUAUGUUUUAAUUAGUGUUUGUUCCAAGUAGAACCUAUAGGAUAACCUACGAUGAUAGUUGAUUUGAUUCUGCUGAAAAACAGAAACUUUGCGCGCACGAAUAUAAUUUUUUUUAAAUCACAGGAAUGUGCUUUGCGUUGAUUCUUUUUGCUGUUGUUCAAUAAACAAUUUCUCCAGGACUUUCUAUUUUGGUAGAAAUUUUAGAGUUCCAGAAGUUUGCGUUAGUUACAGAUUGCUUCAGACUGUUCUGUUUUUGACAGAUUCUGUUUUACGAGUGUUGUUUGCUUAUUUUGAUGAAUCUAUGGCUAGUAAAAUAGUUUAUAAUCCAUAGAUAAGUUGGAAUACAGUAGGUUUAACACCAAUAUAAAUAAAGAAUGAGUUAAUUACAGUACCUUGAAGUAGUCUUUUGUUUUCUUUCUCUAACGGAGCUCACGAGAUUUCCGUUGAGUUUUGUGUUGUGAAGUUUUCAAGUUUUGGGUGAAUUCUUUUGAUGGAUUAUGGAACAAGGAGUGGCAAGAGCCUAAGCUUGGGGAUGCCCAUGGCACUCCCAAGAUAAUCCAAUGACACCAGUAAGUCAAAGCUUGGGGAUGCCCCGGAAGGCAUCCCCUCUUUCGUCCACUUCCAUCGGCAAUUUACUUGGAGCUAUAUUUUUAUUCACCACAUGAUAUGUGUUUUGCUUGGAGCGUCUUGUAUUAUUUGCGUCUUUGCUUGUUAGUUUACCACAAUCAUCCUUGCUGUAUACACCUUUUGAGAGAGCCAUACAUGAAUUGGAAUUUGUUAGAAUACUCUAUGUGCUUCACUUAUAUCUUUUGAGCUUGAUAGUUUUGCUCAUAGUGCUUCACUUAUAUCUUUUGAGGAUGAUAAUUUUUGCUCUAGUGCUUCACUUAUAUCUUUUAGAGCACGGUGGUGGAUUUGUUUUAAAGAAACUAUUGAUCUCUCAUGCUUCACUUAGAUUAUUUUGAGAGUCAUUAAUAGCAUGGUAAUUCGCUUAAUGUUAAUAUACUUGGUGUUCAAGAUAUGUGAAACUUUCUUUUGAGUGCGUUGAAUACUAAGAUAAGUUUGAUGCUUGAUAAUUGUUUUGAGAUAUAAAGAUGGUGAUAUUAGAGUCAUGCUAGUUAAGUAGUUGUGAAUUCAAAGAAUACUUGUGUUGAAGUUUGUGAUUCCCAUAGCAUGCACGUAUGGUGAACCAUUAUGUGAUGAACUCGGAGCAUGAUUUAUUUAUUGAUUGUAUGAGUGGCGGUCGGGGACGAGCGAUGGUCUUUUCCUACCAAUCUAUCCCCCUAGGAGCAUGUGCGUAAUACUUUACUUUGAUAACUUCUAGAUUUUUGCAACAAGUAUAUGAGUUCUUUAUGACUAAUGUUGAGUCCAUGGAUUAUACGCACUUUUUCCCAUCCUUCCACCUUUGCUAGCCUCUCUAAUACCGCGCACUUUUCGCCGGUAUCAUACACCCACCAUAUACCUUCCUCAAAACAGCCACCAUACCUACCUAUCAUGGCAUUUCCAUAGCCAUUCCAAGAUAUAUUGCCAUGCAACUUUCCACCAUUCUGUUUAUUAUGACACGCUCCAUCAUUGUCAUAUUGCUAGCAUGAUCAUGUAGUUGACAUCGUAUUUGUGGCAAGGCCAUCAUUCAUAAUUCUUUCAUACAUGUCACUCAUGAAUCAUUGCAAAGGCAUUCAUAUAGAGUCAUACUUUGUUCUAAGUAUCGAGUUGUAAUUGUUGAGUUGUAAGAAAAAUAAAAGUGGGAUGAUCAUCAUUAUUAGAGCAUUGUCCCAAGUGAGGAAAGGAUGAUGGAGACUAUGAUUCCCCCACAAAUCGGGAUGAGACUCCGGACGAAAAAAAAGAGGCCAAAAAAAUAAGAGAAAGGCCCAAACAAAAAAAAUGAGAUAAAAAGAGAGAAGGGACAAUGCUACUAUCCUUUUACCACACUUGUGCUUCAAAGUAGCACCAAGAUCUUCAUGAUAGAGAGUCUCUCAUUUUGUCACUUUCAUAUACUAAUGGAAUUUUUCAUUAUAGAACUUGGCUUGUAUAUUCCAAUGAUGGGCUUCCUCAAAAUGCCCUAGGUCUUCGUGAACAAGUGAGUUGGAUGCACACCCACUUAGUUUCUUUUGUAGAGCUUUCAUAUACUUAUAGCUCUAGUGCAUCCGUUGCAUGGCAAUCCCUACUCACUCACAUUGAUAUUUAUUGAUGGGCAUCUCCAUAGUCCGUUGAUACGCCUAGUUGAUGUGAGACUAUCUUCCCUCUUUUUGUCUUCUCCACAACCACCCUUCUAUUCCACAUAUAGUGCUAUAUCCAUGGCUCACGCUCAUGUAUUGCGUGAAGAUUGAAAAAGUUUUGAGAAUGUCAUAAGUAUGAAACAAUUUCUUGGCUUGUCAUCGGGGUUGUGCAUGAUUUAAAUAUUUUAUGUGGGGAAGAUGGAGCAUAGCCAGACUAUAUGAUUUUGUAGGGAUAACUUUCUUUGGCCAUGUUAUUUUGAGAAGACAUGAUUGCUUUGAUUAGUAUGCUUGAAGUAUUAAUUUUUUUAUGUCAAUAUGAACUUUUGUCUUGAAUCUUUCGGAUCUGAAUAUUCAUAUCACAAUUAAGAAGAUUUACAUUGAAAUUAUGCCAAAGUAUCACUCCGCAUCAAAAAUUCUUUUUUAUCAUUUACCUACUCGAGGACGAGCAGGAAUUAAGCUUGGGGAUGCCUGAUACGUCUCCAACGUAUCUAUAAUUUUUUAUUGCUCCAUGCUACUUUAUCUAUUGUUUUGGACUAUAUUGGGAUUUAUUUUCCACUUUUAUAUUAUUUUUCAGACUAACCUAUUAACCGGAGGCCCAGCCCAGAAUUGUUGUUUUUUUUGCCUAUUUCAGUGUUUCAAAGAAAAGGAAUAUCAAACGGAGUCGAAACGGAAUGAAACCUUCGGGAACGUGAUUUUCUCACCGAACGUGAUCCAGGAGACUUGGACCCUACUCCAAGAAGUGCCAGAGGCGGUCACGAGGGUGGAGGGCGCCCCCUGGGCGCGCCCCCCUACCUCGUGGCCCCCAUGUUGCUCCACCGACGUACUCCUUCCUCAUAUAUAUACCUAUGUAUCCCCAAACGAUCAGAAGAGGAGCCAAAAACCUAAUUCCACCGCCGCAACCUUCUGUAUCCAUGAGAUCCCAUCUUGGGGCCUGUUCCGGAGCUCUAUCGGAGGGGGCAUCCACCACGGAGGGCUUCUACAUCAACACCAUAGCCCCUCCGAUGAAGUGUGAGUAGUUUACUUCAGACCUUCGGGUCCAUAGCUAGUAGCUAGAUGGCUUCUUCUCUCUUUUUGGAUCUCAAUACAAUGUUCUCCCCCUCUCUCGUGGAGAUCUAUUCGAUGUAAUAUUCUUUUUGCGGUGUGUUUGUUGAGAUCGAUGAAUUGUGGGUUUAUGAUCCAGUAUUAUCUAUGGAAAAUAUUUGAUUCUUCUCUGAAUUCUUUUAUGUAUGAUUGAGUUAUCUUUGCAAGUCUCUUCGAAUUAUCCUUUUUGGUUUGGCCAACUAGAUUGGUAGUUCUUGCAGUGGGAGAAGUGCUUAGCUUUGGGUUCAAUCUUGUGGUGUCCUUACCCAGUGACAGAAAGGGUUGCAAGGCACGUAUUGUAUUGUUGCCAUCGAGGAUAACAAGAUGGGGUUUUUAUCAUAUUGCAUGAAUUUAUCCCUCUACAUCAUGUCAUCUUGCUUAAGGCAUUACUCUGUUUUUAACUUAAUACUCUAGAUGCAUGCUGGAUAGCGGUCGAUGAGUGGAGUAAUAGUAGUAGAUGCAGAAUCGUUUCGAUCUACUUGUCUUGGACGUGAUGCCUAUAUACAUGAUCAUUGCCUAGAUAUGCUCAUAACUAUGCUCAAUUCUGUCAAUUGCUCAACUAAUUUGUUCACCCACCGUAGAAUAUCUAUGCUCUUGAGAGAAGCCACUAGUGAAACCUAUGCCCCCCUGGUCUAUUCUCAUCAUAUCAAUCUCUAUCGCUUUAUUUACUUACUUUGCUUUUACUUUGCCUUUUACUUUUCACUUUGCAUCUAUCUACCAAAAAUACCAAAAAUAUUAUGUAUUAUCUCUAUCAGAUCUCACCCUCGUAAGUGACCGUGAAGGGAUUGACAACCCCUAAUCGUGUUGGUUGCUAGUAGCUAUCGUUUUGUGUAGGUACGAGGGACUUGUGCGUGGUCUCCUACUGGAUUGAUACCUUGGUUCUCAAAAACUAAGGGAAAUACUUACGCUACUUUGCUGCAUCAUCCUCUCCUCUUCGGGGAAAUCCAACGCAGUGCUCAAAGAGGUAGCAGUACACAUCGGCUGUUUCUCACCGCAAGGAUCCAUCCACAACUUGGCAAGGUUGCCAGAUCUCAGAACAACUUUCCUGCCAGCCAUAUAGUGCUCCUUAACUUUCAUGAUAGCUUUCCAGAUAGGAGAAUCCCCAAACCUGCUUUUAACAGUUGCCACUGUAUCUUUUUUUGAAAUAUUUCGCCUGAAUCACCUCCUGCCAGAGCCCCUGCUGGGUCUCUAGCUUCCACCACCAUUUGGUGAGCAAGCUAACAUUCUGUUUAUGCAGAUCUUUAACACCCAAGCCCCCUUUCUCUUUCGAGCGACAUAUCCUGGGCCAUUUCACCAGAUGGUAUCGUUUUCGCCCCUCAUGUUCUUGCCAGAAAAACCGCUUACGGUGUUUAUCCAGCUUGCUAAGCACCCCUUUAGGAAUCAAGAACAUUGACAUGUAAUAGUAAACAAUACUGGUUAGGGAUGAAUUAAGAAGGAUAAGAUGCCCCCCCCCCCGAGGAUGCAGCAUUGCCAAUCCAUGAUUCACAACACUUAAGGAAUCUUUCAUCCAUAAAAUCCCAGUCUAAAAUACGCAGGUUCGAGAAGCUAACCGGCACCCCAAGGUACUUCAUUGGGAAGUGGCCGAUACUACAAUUGAACAGAUCCGCAUAAAAAGAUAUAAUCUCAUUGCCUCCCCCCCACACAAGAUCUCACUCUUCAUGAAAUUUAUCUUGAGGCCUGACAUAAGCUCAAAAAAGUAGAGCAGCAGCUUCAGGUUAAUGGCUGCCUCCUUGUCAUGCUCAAAAUAAAUUACCGUAUCGUCUGCAUAUUGCAGAAUUGCUACACCUCCCUCGAUUAGAUCCGGUGUCAGGCCAGUUAACAGCUUUUCUUUCUGCGCAUUGGUAACCAUCUUAGAGAGGGUUUCCACAGCAAGAUUGAAUAAAAAGGGGGAAUAUGGGUCGCCUUGACGAACCCCUUUGUGGCUCUGAAAGUAGGGCCCAGUUUCAUUAUUCAACUUAAUACUCAUAGUGCCAUUGUAAAGAAUCCACCCAACCGCACCAGGUUCGGCCAAAUCCCCGGUUUUUGUGGCAUUCAAGGAGGAAUUCCCAGUUUAUCUUAUCAUAGGCUUUUUUGAAGUCCAGCUUAAGCACAAUCCCCACUUUUUUCUUAAGAUGAGUAUGGUGCAAUACUGUGUUUCAAACAAUGUGUGUGUGUGCGUGCGCGCGCUCCAAAAUUGCAAAACUCCCCCCCCCCCUUGGUGGACGGCUCUUUGAUCUCGUGUUCUUCUUUGUCUGCCAUUAUUAUAUGAUCUUGCUUGCUUGUGAUUUCGUUUUUAUUAUGGUGUGAAGAGAGAAAGGCAUCUCCUAUCAAAACAUGAGCAUGUGGCUCCUCCAAGCAGCCUGGAGAUGACUACAAGGAAGACUAUCCAACAAUAGUUUGACAUAAAAGGAGUUAUUUACCUGUCUAAAGUGCAUCUUAGCAACCAAAAAUUGUACCUUAUGCAAGAGUGUUCAACAAUAAUGGGGUUAAUAUAAUCAGAUAAUGCUAUACAAUGAGAGUAAUAGGGUUAUAAUCGAUAUAAACAAUGUGUGGGCCUUGGGCGCAUUCAUUGCCAGGGGCGUCACCUCACAUCCGGAAGAGGCUUCGGGCCCACGGCUCAGUGAUUUUCUAGCGCCAGCCUGAGCUGUCCGCCUUACACAGACGAUUUACACACCUCCAUUCGGUUUUCUGGUGCACGGCUCUGAGUUGAACCAAAAUGAAUUCAAAGCUAUUGUAUUUGAUUUCAUGCCUCACAGGGAACUUGAUAAGUGGUUACAUCAGGACAUAUGUGCACCCAAUUCAGUCAAAGUUCUAACACUAAUGCAGAGACUGAGCAUUGCUGUUGAUAUUGCCAGGGCACUAGACUAUUUGCACAACAACUGCCAGCCAUUAAUAGUUCACUGUGACUUGAAGCCCAGUAACAUUCUUCUUGGGAAGGGCAUGGUUGCUCAUGUUGGGGACUUUGGCCUGACGAAGAUUCUCACUGAUCCAAAAGGCGAGCAAUUGAUCAACUCGAAGAGUUCAGUAGUGGGAACAAUUGGAUAUGUUGAUCCAGGUAACUCACUUUUUAUCCUGUUUUNNNNNNNNNNNNNNNNNNNNNNNNNNNNNNNNNNNNNNNNNNNNNNNNNNNNNNNNNNNNNNNNNNNNNNNNNNNNNNNNNNNNNNNNNNNNNNNNNNNNNNNNNNNNNNNNNNNNNNNNNNNNNNNNNNNNNNNNNNNNNNNNNNNNNNNNNNNNNNNNNNNNNNNNNNNNNNNNNNNNNNNNNNNNNNNNNNNNNNNNNNNNNNNNNNNNNNNNNNNNNNNNNNNNNNNNNNNNNNNNNNNNNNNNNNNNNNNNNNNNNNNNNNNNNNNNNNNNNNNNNNNNNNNNNNNNNNNNNNNNNNNNNNNNNNNNNNNNNNNNNNNNNNNNNNNNNNNNNNNNNNNNNNNNNNNNNNNNNNNNNNNNNNNNNNNNNNNNNNNNNNNNNNNNNNNNNNNNNNNNNNNNNNNNNNNNNNNNNNNNNNNNNNNNNNNNUGCACUGCAGAGUCUGGUGAAGGGGGUCAGAUAUCUCCAUGUGGGGAUGUCUAUAGCUUUGGUAUCGUGCUCCUUGAGAUGUUUACAGGAAAGGCGCCUACACAUGGCAUGUUUACCGGUGGAUUUACCUUACUGGAGUAUGCAAAGAUGGCUUAUCCAGCACAACUGAUGGAGAUUAUUGACCCCCUUCUGCUAUCAGUUGAGAAUACACGGGGCGAUAUCAAUAGUAUCAUGUACUUUGUCACAAGACUUGCCCUAGAAUGCAGUAGGAAAAGACCAACUGAAAGGUUGUCCAUUCGAGAUGUUAUUUCUGAGAUGAACAAGAUAAGGGCUUUGCCAUGCUGCAGAAUUAACUAGUCAAAGCAGUUCUAGGUGAUUGAACAUUAGUGCUUUAGUCGCAAGAUAUGCUAGCUAGUAGAAUAAAAAUCAGUUGAGGGUUAGUAUAAGAUAUAUGAAUUGUGUGCACAUGUAUUCAUCAGUUCUGUACUUCAUUAAACCAUAAUUAUUUCGCAUAUCUCAAGGGAAAAUAAAAAUGUCAAGAAAAUCAGUUUCUUACUUAGGAACAACAAAAUAUAAAGUACUUAUUACUUCCUCCAUUUUGGAAUUAGGUGACGUGUUUUUAGUUCAGAUUUGAACUAAAACCAUGUCACUUAAUUCCAAACGGAAGGAGUGGUUCGGAACAGUAAAGUACGGUGAUAUAGGGAGAAAACAUAACUCUGCUUGCUUUGGAAUAGGAGGGCACUACCCGCAUAACAAACACGGAAAGUGAGAUGUAUUUUUUAUAGCAACUGGUAAAUGAGUAGGGCAUUUUGGAGAUCGAACUCCAUGGAGGCCUUAAUUUUGAAAAUUUCAAAAUUCAAACUUUUCGAUUUAAAAAACAUCUAAAAAUAAAUACACAUGUAUACAAGGAUGUAAUGUGUAUGUGGUUAAAUUUUCAGGAAGAAGUGCCUAGAAUCGCGAGCUUUCAAAAUAAAAUAAAAUUAAGGAUGAACAGUACAUUUGCUAAAAAGCCCCUGAUUUUUUUGUAGGUCUCAUUUUGAUGUGUUUCGACCUUAAAAUUUACACACAUGUACAUUAUGUCUCUAGGUAUAUGUGUAUUUUUCAAAAAAAAUGAAACUGAAAAGUUUGAAUUUUGUGUUUUCAAAUUAAGGCCUGCAUGGAGCUCCAUUUGGCAUUAUUUGCUGGUAAAUAUAAUAACAAGGCAGUUUGUACCUAACAUACAGCCUAGACUAUAUAAGAUAAUUAAAUAGUCGGUAAAAAUAUGAAUGUGCAAGAAUUCUGAUGAAAAUAGUGUUUAGUGUUCCCCUUUAUGUUCCAGAGCAAAAAGCUGGUCUUCAGUUUACCGCUAGAGCUGCAUACAAGUUGUCAAACAGGACGGUUCAGUCAGUUUCACUGUAACAUAUUUUACCAUUUUUUUGCCUAAGUAUGGGCACAUGACUACAUUUAUUUACACCUAAGACUAUCAAUAUACGCAUGUGUAAUUGCCCAGAGCGCUAGCCAUCUCAUGAAACUCCACGAAAGAAUAUUCAAGGGAUCAGCAAGUCAUAUUCGAGUACUGACUGGAAUUUCUAAUGCCCGACAGAUUGAAAUUAUAGAAGGAUUUACCCUAUUUAUGGUACUUUUCUGAAACUAAAAAACAAUUUAUUCAUGGAAAUUAUGUUUAUAUGUGAAGGCUCCACCCAAGAUAUGACAACUAGAUUGGUAUGAACCGGAUCCCUACCAGGGCGUGGUCUCAGGUUGUAGGGGUGGAAGGAGGGAUGGCGUGAAGGACGGCGUGGUCGCCGGCGCUGGGGCGCCGCCGUUGCUUGCGCGCGCGAGAGAGAGAGAGAGAGAGAGAGAGAGAGAGAGAGAGAGAGAAAGAGAGAGAGAGAGAGAGAGAGCAGGGCGGCGGCUAGGGUUAGCUCUCCCUGCUCCCUAAGGAAGCCAAGCAAAUAUUAUUGCUUCUUGUUUGAUUAGAUUGAUACAUCUCCUCUCCUUAUAUAAAGAGGUUUACUUGUCUCCCAAGCAAGCGACUCUUAUCUCUAAUUAACACUAAGACUAACGGGCUAUACCGUCAGCCCAAGCCCAUUAGGCCAUUACGUACUCUAACACUACACCCCAUCUGGACAUGCAGCUUGUCCUCGAGCUGGGACCUAACCAAUUGAUAGCCACGACUCGACGCAACACAAACCUAACACCUAAAAACAAGCCUUUUACAUCUCGGCUUGUUUUAUGACUCUCAACCUGAAAUGAACUGUGACGCUUUAUUUUGGACCCCUGAACAUAAAGUGGACACCAUCCGCACGUCGGACGUGCACGUGUACAACCACCUGGAUCCCAUGGAUAUCAUCUGGACAAAAGAAGUGCAUGUGUAUGGUAACCUGGAAGUGGUCACAAGAGCGACCAGCAGAGGCGCCCUCGCGGCGGCCGGCGGCGGAAUGCAGUGGUGCUACCAGUGCGCACCUGUCGGUGACACCAUGCCUUCUCCCCGCGGGACGGCUGUUAGUCUGCACCGCACAAAGAAGAGUGGAGGGCCUUUGAUGGAGAAUGACGAGGAGGGGUGUGCCUCCCCAACCGUCGAUGUCACAGACGUUGAGGUCGCUGUCCGCGGGGAAAACAGCAUGCCCGCCGCCCGUGGGGGAAACCACCUGCCCAAAAUCCCCGACGCAUCGGACGAGAUCGAGAUCCUUUGCGCAGCGAAGCGCAACUUGGAGGAGCUGCAGCUGCGGACCACGCAUCUCAGGCACACGCUGAUGCGCUAGGAGGCCACUCACAGCAGCCUGCAGCCUCACCGCUGCCGACACGUGAUGGGUAGCGAUCCAAGUCGAAAGCGGUGACGGCGACGGCGGAAACUUGAUCUGCUGGAUGGGGACGCCCUGGGAUGGCGGCGGGCGUUGAUGGGAACGAGGUCGUCGGAGUCCCAUCGCAGGGCAUCCCAUACUGGUACGAGAUGACCGGUGCCGAGGUCGCCGCCGAGGGCGGCGGCGGCAGGGGUAGCCACUGUUGGUGUGGCGGCUGAGGAGGUGGCUGCUGGGGAUGCGGCUGGGGCGCAUAGGGCCCGACGAGGAAGGCCCUGAUGCCUGCCAUGGCCUGCCGUAAUUCUAGGAUUGUGGCUAUCAUCUGCUCCGGGGUGAGGAUGAGGGCGGGCGGCGCCGGGGCAGAGGGUGCAAUCGCCCCUGAGGACGCCAGCACACCCACUGCCGGCGCGCCAGCUGUGUGGGGCAGCAGCGCCGACGAAGACGCUGGUGGCAGCGGGUGGGUGUGCGGCGGCGGCGGGUGGAAAACUCGGUGGAGGGCUGGACAUGAUCGAACCCGGGGAAGUUGAUACCAAUAGGUAUGAACCAGAUCCCUACUAGGGUGUGGUCUCAGGUUGUAGGAGUGGACGAAGGGAUGGAGUGGAGGACGGCGUGGUCGCCGGCGCUAGAGCGCCGUCGUUGCUUGCGCGCGCGAGAGUGAGAGAGCAGGGCGGCGGCUAGGGUUAGAUCUCCCGGCUCCCUAAGGAAGCUGAACAAAUAUUAUUGCUUCUUGCUUGAUUAGAUUGAUACAUCUCCUCUGCUUAUAUAGAGAGGUUUACUUGACUCCCAAACAAGCGACCCUUAUCGCUAAUUAACUCUAAGACUAACCGGCUAUACCGCUAGCCCAGACCCAUUAGGCUAUUACGUACUCUAACAUAGAUACUCUGUAUUACUCAUGAAUAUCUAAAAGACAACGAAAUGUACAAAUGUAAGAUUUCUCAAACUUCGUCAGAAAAGUCUGUAGGUUUGGCACAACCAAGUAAAAGCAGGCAUGAUUUUUUUUACUGAAACUAUGUUUAUUUACCAUGAUGAACUACAGUCCAUGUUAACAAACAUUCUGAAGCUUAAAAUGUUAGUCAUACCCCCAGAGAACUUGACAUCCCUGAAUCCCUGCAAAAUAUGUGUGCCACGGUAGAUCACUAGAGAAGUUAAAGCUGGAGAACCCAGAAUCGUUCAUCGAGCCCGUUCCCUUCUUCAAUGCAGUUCCAAUAUAAACAUUCACUUAGAUCUAGCACCAAAUCAAAAAUUGUAAACCUUUACGGAUCAAUGCCGCCAACAAGGAAUCGUCUUCAGGUACCGGGCGAGGCGACGGCUCCCCAAGACAGGGUCCAGCCAGCGCGACGUAGAGGGUGCUGCCCGAUUCUUGGACGGUGGUGGUGGUGUAGGCAAGAACCUCUAGCGGGAGGUGGCGGGCGCGGGCGGCGAGCAAAGACGGAUCGUCGGCGAGGCGGCGGCAGCGCCGGCAAACUGCAGGGCAGCGGAGGACAGCGUGGGCGGGGAGGCGGAAGAGGAUUUCCGCGACGACGUCGUCGAAGAGUUCGCCGGGCUGCUCCAUCGUCCUCAACUCGUCUUCGAAAUGGCGAAUCUCGCCGCCGUCGCCGACACGUUGAGAGGCAUCUGCGCGACAGUGCCUCAUAGUCUCCGCCCUCUCCAGAUUUUGACACCUAACUUGGGCACACAUCUCCACCCAAGGAGAUGUCGAGCCUCCACCGGAUCUCCUUCGCUCUGCCCCAGUCGCCAGCCGGCCACCAGCGCCUCAUGUCGUGGCACUUCUCCCUCCCUCCAUCUCCUUUCAACUCAGGUUCUCUGGCUUUUCUGUGCAGCUCCGCCGUCGUGGAGCUCACCGGGAUGUUGAUGGAGGUCAAUGGGGAGAAGAGUGGGGGAGAGUGGUCAGCCAACUCCUUCAGUUCGCUCGGUUUGAACAUGUAUAUCGAACAAAGGAAGCUGACGUGGCUGCCCAGGGUGCUUUUAGAUGCGUCCAGUGUGAUUUGACGGACAAAUCAAUGUUCAAUCCCAAAUGCUAAAAAGUGGAUGCCAGACUUUUAGCGUAUGGGUCAUUUAAAAGCAUCUAGACUUGCAAAGAAAAUCAUAGUUCAACAAACUGGACAUGCCAAAAUGAAAUCAAUGUCCGAGCGUGACGGAUGGCCUCGGAUCACUGGUCGGGCGCCUGCUCCGAGAGGAAUGCGUUGUGCUCCAGGCGGAAUGCGUCAUGCUCCGCCUGCAUCCGGGCUACCUGCUCUGCGUGCAUCCGGUUUGUGUCUCCGUCGCGGCGGUCUGGGUCGGGCUGGACGACAUCUCCGGUGGUGGAUCGGGGCCGAUGGUGAGGAUUUGGAACAAGGGUGAAGGACGUCGAGGCUACGGACGCGGUAAAUGUUGGAGGGCGGCCGGAGGAGGAGAACGGAUUUGAUGGAUUUGGUGCAAUUUGCAUGGGAUCGGGUUGUCGGAUCUGACGUGACGGGCUUGUCUGGGCGCCGCCAUAUCCGCCCCAUAUCUGGACUGGAUAUGAGAGGUGCCGGUCAGCCCGGGCGUUCGAGGCCCGUUUAAGAAGCAUGUCUAAAUCGAAAAGUCAUGCCCGGUCAGUAACCGGACGGCCCGCCCGGGCGUAUGAGACGGGUUUGAGGCGUCCGGCUAUAGAUGCUCUAAUGGCCUCUCCCUAUAUAAAGCAUAGUCUUUAUGGAUAUCAAUUGUGUGGAAAGAAUGGUCUAUAUGUAGGAAUUACAGGUUGUAAUCAAUAUCCAGGUAAAGCAUGGUCUAUAUCUGUCUCUCCUUAUAUAAAGUACUCCCUCCGUCUAGGUGAGUAGGUCAUCUUAGGUUGUGCACCGUGACCAAGGAGGAGGAGAAAACGAGAGAACUUAAUGUUCAUUUGCUAAUUAAUAGCAUUGCAUGCAAUGAGCUAACCACUGCAUGUCGUGUUUGGUAGUCUCAAGUCAUUAAAAGCAUGCACACCCCACAUUUCUUAUUGGUUGAUAUGUCAAGAAACAAGAAAUGAGGUAGAAUUUAAUGCACCGCGCCUAAGUGUUUUGAGAUUAUUUGAUUUCCGUAAGAUGACUUACACACCUAGACGAAGGGAGUAUGAUAUUUAUGGAUAGUAAUAAUUUCAAAAGAAUGGCCUAUAAUUAAUAGAAAUGACUUCAUGGAUAGUAGUUAAUUCCUGGCCAAUAUACCUACCACAUUAAACAAAGAAUGAUCCAUAUCUGCUCUACGUAUAUAAACAUCCACAAAGAGCAGUGUUUUCAUCGACGAAUUGUGGGAAGAUAGAAGAAGAAAGAGAGAACCUACUUGGUUGGUUGGUUGUAGUAUGGCGCUAAUCAAGAGUCACACAGGGGUUCCAUGGUUGGUGGCACUUGCGGCUAUGGCCAUCAUCUUGUUCUCCCAUUGCGCACAAGGUUAACACAUGGGUUCCUUUUUCUCUCAGUUGCAUGGGUUCUCUUUUUGUUACAUCAUUGAUUGAUAGACACCAUCUCAUAUAUAUACACACACACAAAAAAAAAACAUUUUAACUACUAUUUUUUCACACAGGCGUGGACAAAUGUAUCAAGAGUGGCGUGUGCAUCUCCGUCUGCCCUACUUUGUGUCUCGAACUGGUCGGUGAUGACACAAGGUACUACUGCAAGAGCGAUGAUAGUGAAUGUUGUUGCCCACCCAACACGUUGACAGAAUGGUGCAUUAGCAGGCCAUUCUGUGAUCCCUCGGCCUGUGAGGAAUUGUGCAAAGGAAAUCACUUCUAUGUUGGUGGAGCCUACUGCAAGAAUAUUACCCACCCACUGAAAUAUGUUAAGUGUUGCUGCCCCUUAAAACACAACGCCGCCAUGCAUGGCUAAUAGAGCAUGAGUUGUUGUAUUAGCCUCUAUUUAUGUCACAAUUUUCAUAGUAUGUUAUCAUUAGUCAUUGUCCUAGAGGCUAAUAGAGCGGCUUAUGUUCGAGCUAGUCAAUUGGUGGAUGCCCAAAACUAUAACUGAUUGUGGAUAUCCACCAGAUUUGCUUGUUCUUGCUAAUUAAUUAAUUUAAGGAAUAAAUGCUAGUCUGGAGAGAUGGAAUUUCUGAUUAUGUUAGCUAGUGGUGGCCGUAGCGGUUAAAUCAAUAGGGAUCAAUUCUACACUAAGUACACCCUCCCUCUACUUCUUCCCCCUCUAGAUUUCAGUUUGACGCCUCUUGGCUCCUUAUUGAGGGUUUCUGUGACCUCCUGGGGUCUAAAAUCAGUGCGAUUCUGUCUGCGCCUCAUCGUUCCUUUGGUCCCAUGGAUGAUUGGCAUAAUUGUUCGGCCUUGCUUCGCAAAUUCCUUCGGGGAUGGUCCCGGAACUAUUCGGCCCAGGAACGCAGGGACAAGGCCCUUCUUUUGACCCAGAUUGAGAUCCUUGAUGC
rnacentral:lncRNA from 1 species